GUAAUUGAGUGUACCAAUGUCCUUAAUGCUUGGUGGAAGAAAACAAAUUGGAGUUCUACUAAAAUUUUGUGUCGUCAAAGAGUAUGGCAAUGUAAACGAGGUAAAUCUGGAAUUUUUCAUUUCUGAAAACCUGGAGGGAGAGAAUAGCUUCAAUUGAAGAGAUGUAAUGUAAGAUGUGCUUGCAACAAUUCUAUCACUUUGAUGCAACCUGCGUCGCUCUAAAUCCAUAUUCAAGCUCUCAAGUUUUGAGCAACCACACAAAACAAGCUUUUCAAGUGAAUUCAAUCUACUCAUUUCUUUUGGAAGUUCCACAAGACUUUUACAAUUCUUCAUAUUUAAGAUCACGAGACAAUAUAAAUCACCAAUAGAUUCAGGACUAAAUGGAUGCAGUUUUCAAGUAUUAUCUUUUCCAGGCCUGGGGAUCCUGAGAAGUUUGGGGUUCUGAUGAGGUCAUGCAAGCCACGCAGAUAAAAUUUUUUCAAAUUUGGAAGAGUCUGCAAAAACAAUUACAUUUAGUUGUAAACAAAACUAGAUACUUACACUUGUUUCUUUCAAUACUGUAAAGGCUUCCAUGUGAUGCCAUAUUCUUUGACAUUUGGGUGAUUCUUGACGAGCAAUUUCCCUUCUCAUAUCUCUUAUGAGUUGAUGCAUCCAUAACUUUUUAUAAUUUUUUAUUUUGACAAUUUCUACUAGACAUCUAUUAAUGAGAUUGUCAAUUCUAAAUAUUGCACCUAUACCGAGUCCAUCUAGUAUCCUAACUGCAUAAUUGUAAUCCAUUCUAUUGAAGAAACAAGCAAUAUAAAAAAAUAAGUUCUUUUGAUUAUCAUCAUCAAUAGAGUCGUAACUUGUUGCAAGAACCUUUUGAACUUGAAAAUUCGGAAUCAAUAACGUUGGAAGUCCAUUACAAUGACAUACUAUUCUCCAAGAGUCCUCUAAAAAAUCUUCAACUGGGCAUCCAAAGGCAUUCCAACUGAAAAGCUCACCAUCAGCUACAAUCGAAGCCUUAUUUCUAGUUGUUACAAUGAUUUUACUUCCUUGGAAAAGCCAACGUUGCAUGCCAACAAUUGCAUUGAAUUGGUACCAUUUGUCUACAUCAUCGAGAACAAUAAGAGUUCUUCUGCAACAGAAUGCACCCUUAAUCUUUAUAAUCCCUUCAUCGACAUCAUUUAUCUCAUCAGCAGUCUUGUUUAGGAUAUCAGAAAGAAGUUCCCUCUGCAGACAAACUACACCAUUGGAUUCGUUUGACCUUUCUCUAACAUUUGAUAGAAAGCUCCUGCCUUCAAAUUUAUAAAGAUCAAGGGUGCAUUAUGUUGCAGAAGAACUCUUAUUGUUGCUCCUACCUUCUCCACGAUAGAUUGGACAACCUGUGCCUCGUACCUGCAUCAGAAAGAAAAAUGUAAUGUAUAAUUCUCUCCGUAAAGUUUCAAAAUCUUAGCAUCCUGGAAAAAAGAAAUCAAACCAGGAUGUGCGUCAAUGAUGGAUUGCUACUUUUGCAGCUAUGUUAUCACCACAUAUUAAAACCAAAAAAGGAAUAAUGUAGAAAUCUUUGCUUUUCCAGGUAGUCAAGGAAAAAAAAGAGAAAAAAGUAUCUUUUAUUUUUAUUUUCCUUGUAUGUUCUCUGAGUUGGGAGUGUUGUAGUUUCCCUAAAUUGUAGUGGUAUUAUCACUUAUCGUCUAAAUGCUUGACUACAAACCUGAAAAAAUUAAGAGUUCAGAACUAGCAUUCUAGUAUUAUGUUAUGUGUAGUGGUAUUAUCACUUAUCGUCUAAAUGCUUGACUACAAACCUGAAUUAAGGGUUCGUGGAGUUCACAGUCUUGGAAAAUGGUGAGCAGCAGCAAGGGGAUGAUGAUCAGCUGGAGAGAACAGCAAAUGGGGAUGGUAAUGUCCUCAUUGAUAAUUUUCAUUAAUUUGCAGAGCUCUGAUUCUGGAUGCUACUUUAGUUGUCUUGAGGUAGUGUCAUCUUACAGAACAUCUGUUGACUUUGUACUUUUUGAUGCUUUAUGUAAUACUUCCUCUGUUCCUCCUUUCGCUUUCUUUACUCUGACUGUUUCUUUCCUUUUGCUUUCUCUCUGGUUUUUCUGCUCAGGAUGAAGACGAUGGUGAUGAAAGCGUGAGGUGCUGCUGGUUGAAUGGAAGCUCCCUCCUCUGUGUUUUAUCGUUUUCGUCUCUGUAUUUUUUAGUCUUCUCCUUCGUUCCCCUAUGUUCUCUGUUCCUUUUUGUCUCUUCGUUCCUCCCUGUUCUCUGUUUUUAUCUUCGUCCCUUCUGCCUCUCUUCCCUUCAUGUACUGUGUUUGCUCUGUUCUUGCUCUUCGAUCCCCCUCCAUAUUCUUUUUUUUUUCUUUUUUCUUUUUUUUAAAAAACCCCUCCCUAUAGCAAGAGAAUGCGAUGCGGUUACCCAGAUAAUAAAGAGCUUAUGGGACUGUUAUUGCAGAAGUUUGAAAUUCUACAGAAGGUAACCUUGUGUAUGUGCAACAACACAGGUCGAGCUUUUAAUACCUCCAUCACUGCCAUCGGGCCACUCCCACCGCCUCCUCCACUCAGUUCUUAAAAAAGAAGCAAAGAUGGGGUUUGUGCGGCGUUGGCCAUGCUCUACAAGAUCCUCAUAAUGUUGAUAAAAAGAGAGUCAUAAUGUUUGAAGUCAUGGGUGACAGUGCAGUGCUGUUAUAUGAAAACUGAUUCAAUUGCAUCGAUCAUUAAUCGAAAUCAAGAUCUUAAAGUAACUGUUUUUUAUAAAAAGAAAAGGUCUCAUAGGCAGUCAAAGUUGUUGGCUACUAUAGAAAAUUUUAGAUUUCCACCUUUGUUAUUGAAUUUUAAUUCUAUAUUUUAAUUUGAUAAUUUUCAAUCAAAAUUAGUUUUUAAAUUUUAAAUUUUGAUGAUUAUUUUAUUUUAUUUUUACAAUAAAAAUAUCUAUAUUAAUUUAUCAUGAAAAUUUAAUAAAAUCAAUUCAAUUUUUAUUUAAAAUGAAAUAUAUUUAAAUUAUAAAAUCCUCUUAGUCAUACAUGCGUAUUUAUAUACUUAUUUAUUUUUUUAUUGCAAAUAAACUUGUUUCGAGAGGGUAUAUAUAGAAAUAAAAAAAAAUUACUAAUUAAAUUUUACUAUGUGUUAUUUUUAUUUUACUUUUUACCUAAAAAGAUAACAUAAAAUAGAUAAAAUAACAUGAAAAAGAAAUGAACAUUUACAUAUAUUUUGGUGUUAACACGAUAUUUACAUAUAUUUUGGUCAAUAGAAGGUUAACAUAUAAAAUAAGAUAUUUAAUAUAUUUUAUUAUAAAUACAAUAUUCUAUAAAUAAAAAUUAAUUAAUUAAAUAAUAACUUAUUACAUUUUUCAAUGUGAAAGCCAUUAUAAAUAUUUAUAAAUAAAAGAUCUCAUGCUAGACAAAGAAAUGAGGAAGAUUACUGGAGAUACAAAACUCUUUUCAUGAUAUGCUUUUCAAGAAAAAAGAGAACAGAGAGAACUAUUUCAAAAGCAUCUACUUAAUGAAAUCUAUUUCUCCAGGAUUUUUUCAUUUUAAUGAAGCCUAAAGGAAUAUAAGUUCUAGGCCCUUCUUUGCAAAACACCACCAACCGAAAUCGCAAUCUUCAUCUUCAGUACGGAAAGCACAAUAAUAAUUUCUAAAAAUACGAGAAGCUAUUUCUACUUUGGGUACGUGUGCUGCAUCAUCAUCAUCAUCGCUACUGUUGUGGGCAUUGAUAACUUCAUCCUUUGAUUGGAUAUCAUCAUCCUUUCCUUCCUCUUCAUGCAACCAUUGCACACCAAUCAUCCUUAUUUGAAUAGCUGGAUCAUGUGGAUGCACUGAAAUACUCACGUCAUCACCAUUAUCAAAUGUAGGAUCAUCGCCCUCUAAUUUCCAGUGGCUUAGCGAUUGGAUUUCACGAAGACCAGGCGCGCAAAACACAGGGUAGAUAUGGGUUUGACAAUUCAAGGAUCGACCACUGGUAUUGUUUCUGAUUUCAAUAAAAACUUCAUCAUAGAAAGUGUCCUCUGAUUCCAAUAAUGUAUUCACCCAACCUGUGAACAGAUUAAAGCCACAUAUCCGGUGCGCAGGAAGAGGUGAGGAUAUUUUGAAUGAAAAGUUAUCUACCAACUCAUUCUGAAUUGGCCAUUUAUCCUCUUCUUCCUCCUCAUGAAACCCCCUUAACAUCUCAUCUUCAUCAAAUACAGAUACGACAACGUUGAAUAUGCCAUCUAUUAAUGUUAUCUGUACCACCAAAACAAUGUCUAUAAAAUCAGCCAAAGAAAAAUAUUCAAAUGUAGAUUUCAAAGAAAAUAACGUGGGCGGCGAGGGAGGACCUGAAAUCUCGAUGGUUGCAUUUGAGCACCAACCAUUUCCAUUAUUCUAAACAUGUGUGAGUCAAACUUUUGGAUUAAUUCUUGCUUUAUCCGAUCUUGGAACUCGACAAAUUGAUCACAACCAUCUUCUUCAGUCCAACUGUUUGGAUUUUUAAUUCUUCGCAGUGAAUAGCAAAAGGACACAUCUAACGAAUCCAAAUGGGAUGGAAGCUCUGGGAGUGCCUGAAGCAUUUUGCAAUUUCUUAAAUAUAGGUGUCUGAGUAGACCAAGAUCCUUGAUGCUUUCUGGAAGAAAAAGAAUUGGAGUUCCACUUAAAUCUAGACUCUGCAAGAAGCGUGGCAGUAAAAACGAGGUAAAUCUCAACAUUUUCCUCGUUGAAAACCUAGAGGGAAAGAAUAGCCUCAAUGGAAGAGAUGAAAUGAAUAAUGUAAUUGCAACAAUUCCAUCACUUUGAAGCAACUUGCGCCCCUGAUGAUGCUCUAACUCCAUAUUCAGGCUGUUAAGAUUUGAGCAACCAUCUAAAACCAAUUGUUGAAGUGAAUGCAAUCUACUCAUUUCUUCUGGAAGCUCCAUAAGACUUGUACAAUUUCUUAGAUUUAAGAUCAACAGUCUUUGUAAAUCACCAAUAGAUUCAUGAAUUUGAACCAAACGGAUGCAGUCUUCAAGUAUUAGCUUUUCAAGGGCUGGGAGACCCGAGAAGUCUGGGGUUCUAAUGAGAUCACGAGAGUGACGGAGAUCAAGAACUUUCAAUUUUGGAAGAAACUGUGACAAUACAUGAAUUUAGUUGUUAUCAAUUGAAAACGAGAGAGAUAGCUAUAGAAACUGUGACAAUACAUGAAUUUAGUUUAUACAUACCAGUUUGCCUUUCCAAGCAUCAACUAGACAACAUCUGGAUAGAUCAAGAACCACAAGCUUCUCCAAGCAUACGUGAUUUGGUAUGGAUCUCGAAGACAAUCCAUGCCAACAUAACCAUAUCAAAUUCUUGGGAAAGUGCUCAAGACUUCCAUGAAAAUUAGUGUAGUUUAGUUGGAGAAAUUUUACAUCUGUCAUCUUUCUAAAAGCAUCCGUGCUGAGGAUAGGAAACAAACUUGUUUGUAAUUUUCCCUUAUCGGAAAAAUCAGAAAGCCAUUGUUGAAAGAAGUUAAGCCUGCGGCGCUUUCGGCUUACCAUUGAAUUAGUACAGACAACUUUUGCAUAAUUAUCUUCCAUUAAUGCAUGCAUAUCAAUAGUAAGGCCACGCAAUUUUUCAGCAUCCUGCAUAAUAAUAUUAAAAGUACAUGAGAAAGGAAAGUAAAUGAAAGAAUAUGUUAAGGCACCACAAUCCAUUUAAGUAGACAUAUAAAAAAAUUGAGCUACUUACACUAGUUCCUUUCAAAACGGUAAAAGCAUUCUCGUGACGCCAUAUUCUUUGACAUUUGGGAGAUUCUUGACGAGCAAUUUCCCUUCCCAUAUCUCUUACUAGUUGAUGCAUCCACAACCUUUGAUCAAUGUUGAUUUCAACAAGACAUAUAUCGAUGAGAUUGUCAAUCCUAAAUCUUGCACCUUUAUCGAGCCCAUCCAGUAUCCUAACUGCAUCAUCCACAUCCAUUCCAUUGAAGAAACAUGCGAUAUCAAGGAAUAAGUUCUUCAGAGAAUCACCAUCAAGAAAGUCGUAACUUAUUCGAAGAACCUUUUGAACUUCAAAAUUAGGAAUCACUUCCAAUUGUUGUAAUGCGCUUUCCCAUAUUUCUCUUCCUUUUCCGGACAAUGAGGAGCCAAUAACUCGAAGAGCUAAUGGAAGUCCAUUACAGUGACGUACUAUUCUCCAAGAGUCUUCUACAAAACCAUCAACAGGGUCAGCUUGUCCAAAGACAUUCCAACUGAAAAGCUCAAAAGAUUUUUCAAUAUCUAGCGGUUCGACUUUGCACCGGACCCACUCAAUAUCAUUAGCUGAAAACAGACCCUUAUCUCUGGUUGUUACAAUUAUUUUACUUCCUUUACGAAGCCAAUUUUGCAUGCCAAUGAUUUUAUUGAAUUGGUCCCUUUUGUCCACAUCAUCUAGAACAAUAAGAGUUCUUCUGCAACAUAAGGCAUCCUUAAUCUUCAGAAUUCCUUCAUCUUCAUCAUUUAUCUCAUCAACAGUCUUUUUUAGGAUGUCGGAAAGAAGUUGCCUCUGUAGGCAAACUAUAUGCUUUGAUCUGAAAUUUGACAGGAAGCUCUUUCCUUCAAAUUUAUAAAAGUUCUGGUUAAAAACACUCUUAGCUAUGGCUGUCUUUCCAACUCCACCAAUUCCAUAGAGUAAAGCAAUGGCAGCACCAUGGGAUCCGUCUUACAACCAUGAGUUGAUAUCUUGUACUAGAGCAUCUCUUCCAAUGAAAUGAAGGGGGACAUGAAAUAUUUUUGGAUCCAAAUGCUUUGAGACAUUCUCCACAAUAGAUUGGACAAAUUGUGCCUCGUACCUAAAUCAAAAGGUAAAGUACAAUGUAUGAUAAUUGCUAGUCUCUCUCUAAACGAUAAAAAUAAACAACAUUUAGCUAAGAAAUUAAAGCAGGUUGCGUGGCCAUGAUUGAUAGUUGAAUUUGUAGGUGCGUUAUCACCACCUAUUAAAACCAAAUCAUGGGGAAAAAAAAACAAACAAACAAAAAGAAGUAGAAUUUAUAAGUACUUUAUUUUUUUUUCUUCUAUUUUUUCUUAUCAGUCUUCCUUUAAAUACUUAACCGAAAGAAAUUAAGAGCUCACGACCAGCAUUCUAGUCUUAUGCCAUGUGUAGUUUCAUAAGAGAUACAACUUACCCAUCUCCUAAAACCAUUCCAGCUAAAUCUGCAACUUCCUUCAAAGCAAUCCUCCACCCGUUCACCCGCUCCAUCUCCCCCUUGAAGCGCUUUUCUUGUUCCACAAAUGUUGCAGCGAAGCUCCCUGUUUGAUUUCUGACUUCAGAUGGAAGCACAUCAUAGAAAACUAGGAAAACUAUGGAGCCUGUAGUCCUCCUACGUUCCAUGAUCAUUACGAGUUCAUCGAGGCACCAUCUCGACGAAGCAUAGUUUUUGGAGAACACGAUUAUCGAUAUUUUUGAUUCUUGUAUUGCCUUCUGGAGCUCGAAAUCUAUAUUCUCUCCUCUCCGAAUUUCAUCAUCAUCUCUAAAUGUGUGAAUCCCUGCAUCAACCAGGGCCUUGUAGAGGUGAUCCGUAAAGUUCUUGCGGGUGUCUUCACCUCUAAAACUCAAGAACACUUGAUAUUUACAAUUAGAAAACCGAGAAGAGUAGGAUUGAUAUUUCCCAGCAGCCAUUUCGAGUCUAGCAAAGAUAAGACUUUUGAAAGAUCUGAACAGGGAAAAAAAAAAAACGUUGCAGGAUUGAUGUCGAUAGUUCAAGAUCGACACAGCACACCAAUAAGCUGAAGUAUUCAUAUAAUAUUAUCUUACUUUUUCUGUAAAACAAUUUUCAAGUUAAUUCCCUGCAAUCAACUCCUCCAUGCCCUUUCAUAAAAAUAUCUGUACAUAUGAUAAAUCUCUAUGCUGAUCCAACGAAAUCGGUUGACGAGAUCAUUCCACAAUAUAACAUGAUACUAAUAGAGAUAAUUAGAUCAAUAAUUAGUUCCUAACAUCGAAGUGAUUCUCAGUUACAGCAGAGUUACAUUCCGCAAUAUAACAUAAUACUAAAAGAGAUAAGAGAGAGAAAGUACCUGCAAUCUUCACUUUCCCUUCGCUGAUGUUCUCUUAUCAGUUCAUCAAUUUUCUGCUUUUAAAUCAACCUUAAAAGUCUCUGUGAUACGGACCAUUUCCGUGUUAGGACCUUUUUUUUUUGUUUUUUUAAUUUGCUCAAAAUUGAGAGAGAAAGCGUGGAACCACUAAAAAAUUGAGUUCAAACGUAGUUUUUGUGAAUUAAUUUUUAUAUAUUUUUUUAAUUGAGUUUUAUAAAAUAUUGUUUGUUUUUGUAUUUCAAAAGCGUUUUUAAAAAUUUUUGAUAAUUUUUUAUUUUUUUUCAUUUGCUUUAAAUUUUUUUUUUUUUGUGUUUUUAGAUCAUUUUGAUAUACUGAUAUAAAAAAAUUAAAAAUUAAAGUACAUUAUUUUAAUGCAUUUCCAAGUAAAAAGCAUUUUGAAAAACAACCGCAACUUUACAACUACCAAACAUUUUAUACAUGUUUUUUGCUGUAUAAAAACUUCAACCAUAAUUUUUACCAAACACAUAUCUAAAUUCAACUAACUUUAGUUAAUCAUACUUUUUUUAAAUUUAUAUUUUUCAAAUUUUAACUACAAAAACUACCUCAAAAACAAAUACAUUUAAGUUACUACCGGUUCAAGACAUGGGCGAAUGGUUUUAAAAUUGAGAGAGAAAGGGUGGAUUGUAAUUUUAAGACAAGUCAUCCCUACAAGUCCACUCUCUCUAUGGUAUUUUCCAUGGCUAAUUAAUGGCGGAAGCAGAAAGUCGGAAUGUCUAGGCUUGACCAGUUAUGCAUGCAAAAUUUCGGUGCCAGGAAUUGAUGGCUAUAUAUUGACAUGGUGAAGUAAGAAUCAAGUUUGAAAAAUCUAAUUAAGAGGAAAAGUUUAUAUAUGUUUUAUAUCUGUUUGCCAUUAAUUUUUCCAUUACGUCUAAUUGCCUUUUUCUAAAAUAUCUCCUGUAUAUUCCAAUCAGUUUCUCUGACCUCACAUGCUUUUAUAAUUUUUUUUUCAUAGAACAUCGUUAGUAGACCAAACAACAAGCAGUUGUAAGUGGUAAAUUAAUACCAAAACGUAUUGUAUCAAAUGUCUUUCAAGUAGUUGAGCAAAGAAAACUGAUCAUACUAAAAACAAAUGGGGAUUGCUUUCAAUUUACUCCUAACAUUUAGGACUAAUGCAACUUUUCUUUUUUAGUUGUUUCACUGCUAGAAAACUAGCAAAUAGCUAUAAAAAUACCUACAAAAAAUAUUCCACUAAUAAGAUAGAAAAUUUAUGCAAUUUAUUUCUGACAUAGAUAACGAUGAAAUAUGUAAUAUCAAAAAUUUCUGAUCAAAUAAAGAAAAUAAAUAAAUAAUAAAAAUUUCAUUUUAAAAUUUCACUCUGAAGGUACUCAACGAGCUCGUAUCGUAAGUGGAUGUCUAUCUUUCAGGUGUUUAUUCUUUAUCAGUACCUAACAUUUAAUGGUCGUCAGAAGCAUUGUUAAAAGAACUAGCAGUGAUUAUGUUCAUAUGACACGCAAUUGACUUUCUCCUUGACAUCUACACAAAUUAAAAAAAUUAAAAUGUCAUAAACCAUUCCUAUUUUUAAAAAAGAAAAAUUAACAACACCUCUUCUAUACAAGAAAACAUAAUUUAAAUUAAAUUACUAUAAACCAAUUGAUUUUAUUCAAUCUGUUUCCUAUCAUCGAGUGAAGAGUUCACUCAACUUGUAUUUGACCUAAUUUUAAGAUUAUUUUUUUUAAAAUUGUUUUCUAUUAUACAUAUAUUUAAUGGGAAGCCUUUAUUAUGUUUCAAAUUGUAUAUAUGUUGAUUAGCCAAUUGCAUGUAAAUGAGUUUAAUUCUGAACUAAUUGCCUAAAAAUAAUUUUAAUAAGUGAAAGUUAAUUUUGGUUCUUAUAUAUAUAUAUAUAUAAUUUUGAUUUUUUUUUUAAUUUUAUCCCUUAGAAUUUGAUUUUUAUAUUAACCUUGAUUCUUAUUUUUAUAAUUGUUAUUUGCUUUUCCCUUAUCAUUUUUUAAUUGAAAUUUUUUUUAUCUAUCAAAUUUGGUCCUUAUUUUUUUUAUUGUUACUUAUUUUAUUUUAAAUAUUUUAUGAAAUGGUAAUUAUUAUUAUUUUAAUUUCUUCAUCUUUUAAUUUUUUUAUUUGUUAUAUUUGAUCUUUAUUAUUUUUAUUAUUAUUUGAGAUAAUUUAUGAAAUUAUAUUUUUUAACAAUUUAAUUCUCAUUCAACUUCUUAAUUUGUAAGAUUUGUUCCUCAUUAUUUUAAUAAACUUGAAAAAAUAAAACAUUAAUAAGUUAUUUUCCAGCUUAUUUUCCAUAACAUAACCAAAUACUGGACAAUGUUUUCCAAUUUAUUUUUUAUUAUACUACCAAACAUCGAAAAAUAAUUUACUUUCCCAUAAUUCACUUAAAAAAAAAAACUACUUUCCAGCAAACAAACGAGGCCUUAAUUCUAAACUAAUUACCUAAAAAACAUUUUAAUAAAUGAAAGUCAAUUUUGGUCUUAUUUUCUUGUUAUUUCACAAACAAACCCUCAAUUGGUCACAAUCUUUAAUAAUCUUUUCAAUUAUGCCACUUGAUUUCUUUGAUUGAGCACUUGGUGUCUUUUACAGUAUGGUCAUUGAUCUUGAUAUUCUUUAAUUUCAUCCUCAAUUGCCCUUUUGUACUUUUAAUUUUUUUUUAUUUCACCCUUGAUUAAAUUAAUUUGCCUUUCAAAACUUCAACACCCAUUCAUUUUAGUCUUUGAACCUUUAAUUAUUGCAAUCUCGACACAAAUUGAUUCUCAACUUUGUUUUUUCUUUAAUUAAGUCCCUAGUUGCAUUAAUUAACAUAAACUAAAUUUCAAUUAAGUCCCUAGACUUAUUGAUUCUUCUAAUUUCUAACAAAUUGACUUCUAAACUUUAUUUUUCUUUCAUUUUAGCUCCUGAUCGGGCCACUUAAACCUUUUUAAAGUUCAAUUAGUUUUUUUUUUAGUUUAAUUGAAAACAAAACUAAAAUUUAACAAAAUUUUCUCGUAUGAAAAAAAUUCAAACAAUUAAGAACAUAAAGAAAUUUAAAAAUAAACACACACAAAACUUAGAGAAGAAGUAGGAGAAUUCUUACCUUAUAUUAGUUGUGGGUUAAUCUGAGAAUAAAAAAAAUGACAUGUUAUGAGUUAAGUAACAAAUAAAAAAUUAAACAAACCGAGGAGAAAAGAGAAGGAGAAGCCAUACCUGUUAGAGAAAAGAGGGUCGUUGCUUGAAAAGAGAAUGAGAGAGAGAAGAGAAAGAAAGAGUGAGAGGUUUGGUUGACAAGAUAAAUAGCAAAAGAGGAAGAGGGAAAAAGAAAAAAGAGAGAAGUUGUAGCAUCCCUAUUUUUAUUCCGGGACAAAUUCUCAAUUUAACAUGAAAAUCCAGGAUAUUAUUGUUUUGCUUAUCAUAUUAAUAGGAUGCUCUAAUGAAAAUUAAUUAGCAGCAAACAUUAUCUAACGCAGGCACAUGAUUUUCAUAUUAUACAAUAAAACAUCCAACACAUAAACAACUUAAUAAGUUAAGGAUUGCUUAUUCGAUUUCCUAUCACUGAAAAGUUCUCUGCGAUGUUUCUGAUAAAGCAGGGUCACGAUGGGGAUGCGUUUGAAGUGGGAUGAUAAUAAGAAACACACCUGUUGAAAUUAUUCAACCUGACUAACUUUUUUCUACAUUUAGACCACCUGGGGGUUAUGGUUGUGUUUCCAGCAACAUCCUUCAAGAAUGCUCGAUUGGGGAGGAGCUUAGGCCUAUUGUAGGUAGAUCACUUAAUUGCUUGCCAAGUAUGCUAUAAUGUGUAUCGCACCUGACAUCGCGGCAGCUUUGUUGUUACCCAAUUUUUGACCCACCUUUUUAAUAAAUUUUUCGAAAAAUCCAAAAAUAGUGAAAAACAAAAAAAAUCCAAAAAAAUAUGUUUUUAAAUAAAUUUGCAAUGUUUUUAGCAUUUUCAACGUCUUCUAAAAAGAAUUUUAAUUUUCAAAGGUUUUUUCGAACGCGUUCGACUUUUCACGCGUCAUUUUUAAAAUCAUUAAUUUUUCUCAUAUAAUUGACGUUGAUUUUGCUCGUUUUUAAAAAUACAAGAAAAAAACAAGAAAAAUCAAAAUUUACAAAAAAAAGAAAGUUGAGGGAUCAAUUUUGAUACCCGGUCAACAUUUUACCUAUAAAUAUGGGUUGAAAACUCAAAGGAGGGAGGGGGGUCAUUUUGUAAUUUUGGGGAGGCAACACAAAAGGGGGGAAACCCUAAAAAACUAGACUGCUUCCUCUCCCUCACGAAGGACCAGCCGCCAGCCCCUUCUUGGUUUUGAUUUUUUUCCAGCCGCUGGCUCCCCGACAGAUCCCCUUUUGAUUUUUUUUUUCUUCCUCUUCCCGGCCGAUCACCGAGGCCAGCCUCUCAUCAGAUUUUUUUCCCUUUUUCUCAUCAGCCUCAGCUGCUCAAGCCCCCUCCCCGGUUUCAUUUUUUUUUACUUAAACCGGCCAGCCCCCAUAGUUCCCUUCUGAUUUUUACUUUUUUUUUUUUUUUUUCUGGCCAGCCCCCCGGCUCCCUUUGGAUUUUUUUUCCUUCUCCCUCUUGAAGCCAAGCAGCAGCUCCCGGUUUGAUUCCUCUUCUUCCCUGCUCAUCGGCCACCCGGACAAGCCACGGUCGCCACAUCUUCCUCUCCCCAGCGGCUCACUACAAGAGACAGCAACCCCCAGCCCCCUUGCUGAUUCGAAUUUUUUUUCCUCUUCUUCCUCUCCCCGGCCAUCGCUGCUCUCCCUCUUCUCGACAGCCUCUUCCUCUCAGCCGAGAGAACCCACACCGUCCCUCUACUCUCUCAGCCGACAACACAGGCUCCUCCACCACCGGCCGCCUCUCCAUCCUCCCCGAUCUCUUCAUUUCCAUCACCCACCGAAGAACCUAGCGGCGGCCGACAACAGCAACAUCCACAGACGCCGUCACCUUCCUCAGCCUCCAGCACUCCUUCCACGACAGCCGCCAGAUCAGAAGAAGAAGACCCAGAACAGUACUGCCACCGGUUGACGAAGGAACGAACGGACGCCGACGUUGUGAAGAAGAAAGAUAACAGAAAAUAAUAGAUCUAAAAAACAAAAAAACAAAAUAGAUCUGGACAAAAAAUGGAGUAAAAUCAACUGUUGUGUGUUCUCUUUUCUUGACUACAGGUCAUCACCGGCGAGGAAGAGAAGAAGCUGAGCAAGACCGGCUUGUUUUCUGGUAUUUUACGGCGGCGCGUGAACCCACGUUUAGGGACUAUUUUGUAAUUUUUAAAUUAUGUAAUGUAAUUUUCGUUUAGUGUUUAAUUUUUUAUAAUUUUUGUAAUGUGAUGUACAAAAAAAAAACAUGUAAAAGAAAAGAAAAGAAGAGAAAGAGAAAGUGAUAAUAGAAAAAGAAAAAGAAAUGUUUGUGUGUGCUUGUAAUUUUUUUUUUGUAUGUUAUUGAAUAAAAAUAAAUGAAUUUAAUUUAUAUGCACAAAUAUCUAAAGGACAGAUAAAAAUCAUGUUGUAUUUUCCAUGGAAAUGUAGAACAUGUAUCUACAUAUAGUCUGGAAAAGUAAUAACUGAUUUAUCAAAGCCUUAGAAUUGGGCUAAAAUUUUAUUUUUUAUAUCACAUCAAGUCCACGAAGCUUGAAAGUGAAUGUGGUGUGUAUUUUUGUUUAUGAAUGUUUUUUUUUAUUAUGAUAAAAUUGCAAGAAUAAAGAAGAAUUUAAUAUUCUGAUUUGAUCACGGAUAAAGAAUUAUGAACUUACAUGUAAGUUGUAUUUUCUAAAAUUCGAUGAAAGAACAGAAUUUUUAAAACUUCUUUAACACAUCAAGUCCACAAAGCAGCUUACCUCAGGUAGGGUGCGUUAGGGGUGCUAAUAGCUUCCCUAACCACAACCAGUCCUUUACCCGCGAUCUUUGACAAGACCAGUACAUCAGGUUUCCUAGUAGCCCUCAAUGAAUUACUAGGUGGUGACUCCAACGAACCAAAACAAGAAUAACGAGAAAGAGACGAUAAAAAUCGCCAGCCGAUGCCGCGCGGAUUUUUUCGACGUGCGACAGAAUGACGACUCCACUGGGGAAGGUAUUGUUUUCAACAUUAUUGGACUAAGCUUUGUAUAUUUGAUGUGUAUGUUUUUGCAUUUUUGUCUUAUUUUAUUUUUGUUUUAUCCAUGCAUUUUGUAGAAUUAUCUCAUGCAUCACAUAGUUAAUUUUUUUAAAGCACACACAAGCUUCAGGUUAGGAGGGGGACUAGCAGCUUACCUUACGACUUUUAGUCAAGGUUUAAGUUUGUGUAAACCCCAACUCUUCGUUGAGUGCUUAGACUGGUAAUAGUUGGACACGUGCCAUCUCAUUGCCUACAAGCCCCCAUAUUGCCUCCACGAGGGCGAUCACUGGGACAACGAGACCCUUUUUAGAGACCAAAUAGUAAACCUACCUUUUGUCUCACUUAAAAAGAUUAGAACCUGCCUUUAGGAUGUAUGCUCCGUAUACAUUGUUUUGCAUCCGAGCAAGCCCUUCUUGAAGCAUCUUGAACUCCAGACUUAUGGGUGACACAAUGACCGUCGCUCAGAAAAUUUUCAUUGUAGAGUUUGUGCAAGAAUCAAGAUUCUUGUUUCAUCAUACAAGAGUUGCGACCAUAUGUCACCCCUCGAAGGGCGAGUUCGUCAUAUAGAUUACAUAUUCAUACAUUUAUCAUGCAUGUACCGGGUUGAAAGGUAGGUCCCCCGCACAAGCUGUGCUGCACGUGAUUGAAGAAAGAUGAUGGAAGUGAAGAAAGGUGUCAGAUAGAGGCUCAUUAUCAGAUUAAGGUUGAGAGCAUCAAAGGUGAAGUAGCUAGACUCAGAUUUGCUCGAACAAGUGUUGAGCAUCAAAUGGAAAGAGAAUGUCUGCACAGUCUUCUGUGGGAACACUGCUUGUCACGUCCAAUUGAAGCUGCCUCUCCUUUUCAGUCAUGAACAACAGCAACAAUGCCUUCAGUCAUCAACUAAUGACAACUCUGAUUCUUGUCCAGUUGCACUGUUAAGUGUUCAUCGCCUCCACAUCAUCUAAUGGAACCAAACGACUACUAGCCUCUUGUACAUGGUGCAUUAGUCUGCUUUGAAGUUACCCCAAUUAUGAGCUCAAUUCCAGUUCAGCAGCACAAGAUGUUGGUCUGAAAAACCAUGAUUAGACACUGAACUUCUACGUGGUAAAGCUCUCUCUGUAGAGAUUUAUUUGUGGAUCUGCCAAUGGGAAAUGCAAAAGGGGAUGUAUUAAUUUCAUAUGCUUUGAAACUUUUUCCCACCAGUGGCACGAGCAAAACAUUGUACUAGGCAGAGGAGUCAGGCCUGGUCUGAAAAUAUGAGUAGUCGUCGAACUUCAACGUGGCAAAGCUCUCUCUACAAAAAUCUGUUUAUGAUGCUGCAAGUUGAGAGUGCAAGAGAGGAUUUACUAAUUGCAUAUGCUACAAAUAUUUCUCUCAUCAGUUUCAGCACGAAGAAACUGUAGCAUGUUGAAGAGCCAGAUUUGGUUUGAAAAACAUUGAGCAGACAUCAAACUUCAACGUUGCAGAGAUCUCUCGGCAGGAAUCUAUUUGUGGAUCUGUAAAUGGGAAAUCCAAGAAGGGAUGCAGUGGUUUCAGAUUGUCCACAAUUUUCUCCUACCAGUAUUGGCAUUAAAACGCAAAAGUGGCUGUUUGCUGCACCGUUAGUGAGGAAUCAAAGAGGAAAUAGAGGAGUUGUGGAUUCAUCAGUUUCUCUUCCAAUUUUGACAAUAUAUGAUUCCAUACAUUUUUGUUUUUGCGCACUGCCAGGAUUACCUAGAUAUUAAGAGGUUUCCAACAAUCCUAAAACAACAACAACAACAUUGGAAGAUUGACAUGAAGUUGUGUAGAUUGCUAAAAAUUGAACAAGCUAUCAAGAUGGGAAAGAUUGAAGGUUCUGCCAAGGAUUCCAGAGAAACGAUGAGAGAUGAAUCAAAAGAAGACUCUGACGAUGGAAAACCUUAAUUAUGUUGGUCUAACCAGUCUUGUUGUAUCAUCGACUACUCCAAAUGUCUUUGCCAAAGAUAGACAUUCUCUGCUAUGUGGGUUUAUUUACCAGAAUCUGCCAGAUUCUAGACUUUUGCUAGACUCGACAAAUCCCAUGCAACUACCAUUUUCUAGGUGGUAUAAUCCAACAAGAGAUGUGAUGUCAUGGUGGGGUCCUCGACCAUUUCAAUGGAAUAGUUGCAAGAAUUUCAAUUGAAUAGUUGUCAUGUGAGUUUAUUUGAGCAUCUGCUAGAUUCCAGACUUUUACCUGACUCCGAAAAUCCCAUGCCACCAUUUUCUGGUGGUUUAAUCCAGACAAGAGAUGUGAUGUCAUGUGGGGUCCUCAACCAUUUCAAGUGAACAAUUGCAAGAAUUGCAAGAAUUGAGUCUGAAAGUUGGUGAGCAAGAGAAAGUGGAGUUGAAGGAGGGUGUCAUUGGCUAUAUUGUCCCCGAACAUCUUCAAAAUGACAUGUGAUCGAAAAGUGCUUGGCAAAACACAGAUAUUGCCAGAAAAGCUGAUUCAAGAAUGGUGAUGAACUGUCAAUCAUAUUGUUAUGGAAUUCUGCAUUUUGUUUUGGAUCACAUCUCAUCCUUCAACGAAACAUGCCUUGCUUUUGUCUCUUUGUUGUUUUGAAAUCAACAGAUGUUUAGCAUUUUAUUCUGACAAAAUAUUUUGAUCAAACUCCAACAUGCGAUAAAGGUUAAUCAAUCCGGAAGAUUAAAAGUGUUUUGAUUACAGAAAUGACUCGAUGCUUGAAAAUGACAUGAGGUGACUAAACAAUUUUGAACUCAUACCUCCUGAAACUGAACCACACAUCAUAUAGCUAAGUUUUAACAGUAUGCAUAAUGACAUGUAGUGGAUUCGGUAGUUAUGGACUCGUGAAUCAUGAUUCUUACAAGUCCAAUCAUUACACUGGAUGAGGUCAAAAUUUAUCGGUUCUAACCGACCUUGCUUGAAAUGAGAAAAGGCCAUCUUUGAUAUCCCUUCACUUUCUAAAGAUUAUAUCCCUUGUAGUCCCAUUUUGAGCUGGAUAAAUAUUUUUUCAUGAAAACCCUGACUAGGAUCACACCCCACACUGGGGGCAAAUGAGAGAUAUUUUGAAGACAUUGAUAUGAUUAAUGGAUAAAGAGGAAGGCUUAGAACAAAAGUCCAAUGAUUGAGAGAGAGCUAGAAGAAAACACAUAGACUAGGGGCAUAUAAGAAAAUUUUGAGGAAGGCUAUGAAAAAAAAAGAGAAUGAAAAAAAGGAAGUUGAAAUUGCCCUCACUUAAAUACAAGUCAAAGAUAAAGGAAGGAGAACGCCUAUCAAGUCUAUAAAGAGCAAAAGAAAUUUCAAUCAAGGAAAGGCACAACAAAAGUCAAUACCAGAAAAAAGACUUAUAAACGUGACUUUUGGUGUCCAUUAUAAAGCCUGAUGUUAUCAGAUGAUUAAGGUUGGUUAUUCAUCAAGGAAAGGUGGAUUUGCAUUAUGACUUAUGUUAAGAAAAGUCUGAACUUUGAGGUUAACAAGGUUAUAUGUCGUUUCCUCUACAAAGACAACAAUAGAAAAGAGUUGAUGAAUAAUUGAUGUUGAUCCUAGGUCUUUGAAACCCUCAAACACCUUUUGAGCCUUUGAAAUUCCUUUCUUUCAUAGCCAUGAACCAUAGCCUGCAUUACGUGCUUUUAAAAGCCCUUUUUAAUCAAGCAAGCAAUUUGAACCGAUAAAUGGCGCUCUCAAAACUUGAAGAGCUUUUCCAUAAGGGUCGUGACUUCAUGAAUUAAGCUAUUGGUUAUUAUGCAUGCUGAUAAAACAAGUGCUAAGAAAAGAAAUAACCUUUCUUGAUAAAGCCUAAGUGUGACUUGUUUUUGAAAUUCACGCAAAGGUCACCUCAUCAUAGACUAUCAAAUGAUAUACCCAAUAUCAAGGAUUCAAAUUGAUACAGAGAACCAUGGAAAAAGCCAUUUUAAUCCUACAUUGGGUCAAUUUCUGUUUUCAAAAUGCAUGACAAUCAAAGGACUGUGUAUUUCGAAUAACGUGUGUUGGGUCUUUGAUUAAAAAGCUUGAUUUUCAAAAAGGACAUCUCUGAUUUCAUUUCAACAAACUAGACUUUGAAUAGACAUGAUCUUUGAAAUAUGAGAGUUGAUUCCAGAACAAGGAAGAUUAUCAAACACAGAAGAACAUCGAUUGAGUAUGCAAAAUCGUUGAUAGAAAUGACAUUGAAGUCCUCGACACUCCUUGAAAAGUUGAGCAGCUGGGGGCAAUACAGUAGACCUUGAAAAGGAAAAACAAGCAGUGCUCAGAUCAGCUAUGAGGCAAUGAUUAAAUGAUGAAUCAGUGAACUGAAGACAAUGAUGUUCAAAGACAGAUAAUCAAUGAACGAGCACAUUCAGAUCAUACUGGGGGCAAUGUCAUUCCAAAAUGGCCCAUGCUCUAGUGAACCCUGUCGGCAAUGGAGAAACAAGGAUGUACUUGAAGGACACUUUCAUAUCAUCAUCUUUUGAAACAUGGCUAGCAAUCGAUGAAGAUACACAGAUGAAUGUAAUUGAAUGGUGAAAAGAUGCAUACCACCAAGACUGACUGUGGAACAAUGCUUCACUUGAAGGACAAUCUCAUAUUGUCAUCUUUGAAACAUGGUUAUGACAGAUGUUAUCACACAACUGCACUGAAUGAAUGUCGGAAAGGCACCCACCUCGAAGACUGAUUGUGGGAUAACUUGUUUUGAAGCCAGAUGAGCGCUUCACAUGAGUAUGGGUGAUAAAAGCAGCAUCAUUGAUGAGGCUGAGACAUUUCUUUUCACAAUCUGAUUAGAAGAGUUGAAAGGAAUCUAUUGAGGAGAACACUGAGCAUACAACCAUGAGCCUUUGUACUGCAAGCUAUGAGAUGCAUGACUGGAUGACUGAAUGAGUUCCAAGAAGGCUGAUGAUAACAUGUACUUGAAGAGUACUGUUUCAACUAGAGGCAAGUUCAUGACUGAUUAACAAUCUUGAUGGGUAUUGGCAUGAUGCACACAAUCAAUCAGAGGAUAAUUCUCAGAAGAAGCCAGGAGAGAAAAUCCUUCAUGAUGAAUCAAGCAGUACCACACUUGGGGGCAGGGUCAAGCUUGAUGAACGAUGCAAGCAGUAAUUGUCGAAGACAGCCCGGGAUGGGCACUGCAUUUACAACUAAGUGGAUGGCUAGCACAAGAAUGAGCCAAUGCAUCGGAAGAACAAAGAAAGCUUUGGGAUACAAACAAGGGCACCCUAUGACGAUGGAGCAUCAAAGAGGUGGGGACCUAUGUUUCAAAUCAGGUAAGGAUGCAUGCAUAUCAUCUAACCUCAAAAAAAAAAAAAAAAACCAUUUGCACAUAUUUUUGAAUUGUUACAGGAAAAUCCUUAAUGAGGUCCAGCAAGAUGGUGGAAAAAGAAAGAAGCAUUGUGGUGAUGAUAAUAAAGAAUCGGCUUUGAUCAUGGAAUAAAAGGACGAUGGGAUGAACCCUACCAUUAGAAAAAUCCCAAAGAAAUGAAUAGAUCAACCUUGCAAUCAGGAAGCCUCGAGUUUUCAACCCUUGUAGUCAGGAAACACCGAGUUUUCAAACCCUAUGAUCAGGGAUUAUCAGGAAGCACCAAGUUUUCCAGCCCUUCUUCUGUCAUCCCCUCAGGGACUUCGCCAGGUAAGUCCUAUUUUUCACACUUGUCAUAUCACAUUCUUUCCAUCUGGGUAGGUCACCCAUGACAAUGAGACCGCACUUCAUCAUAUUUUUUCCAUCUGGGUAGGUCACCCAUUACAAUGAGACCACACCUCAUAUUUUUUCCAUCUGGGUAAGUCACCCGUCAUAAUGAGACCAUUUUUUUUUACACAUUCUUUUGUUUUGGUUAAAUGAGGUCGCUAGAUGGGAUCUCAUGUAGCUUUGGUUAAAGGAAAUUUCCAGAUGGGAUUUCAGGUUAACCGAGUUACAUAUAUUUUCGUUCCAGUUGAAUGAGGUCGCCAGAUGGGAUCUCAUGUAGCUUUGGUUAAAGGGAAUCUCCAUAUGGGAUUUCAGGUUGAUCGAGUUACACACAUUAAAGGGGAUCGGCAAAGGGAUCUCAGUUUAACCUAAGUGGAAAGGAUUUUGGUUCUGGUUGAAGGGGAUCGACGAAGGGAUCUCAGUUCAGUCUAACCACACAGACCUUGGUUAUGGUUAAAGGGGAUCGAUGAAUGGAUCUCAGUUUAACCUAACUGGAAAGGAUUUUGGUUCUGGUUGAAAGGGAUCGACGAAGGGAUCUCAGUUCAGUCUAACCACACAGACCUUGGUUAUGGUUAAAGGGGAUCGGCGAAGGGAUCUCAGUUUAACCUAACUGGAAAGGAUUUUGGUUCUGGUUGAAGGGGAUCGACGAAGGGAUCUCAGUUCAGUCUAACCACACAUUCCUUGGUUAUGGUUAAAGGGGAUCGGCAAAGGGAUCUCAGUUUAACCUAACUGGAAAGGAUUUUGGUUCUGGUUGAAGGGGAUCGGCGAAGGGAUCUCAGUUCAGUCUACACACAAGACCUUGGUUAUGGUUAAAGGGGAUCGACGAAGGGAUCUCAGUUUAACCUAACUGGAAAGGAUUUUGGUUAUGGUUAAAGGGGAUCGACGAAGGGAUCUCAGUUCAGUCUAACCACACAUUCCUUGGUUAUGGUUAAAGGGGAUCGGCGAAGGGAUCUCAGUUAACCUAAGUGGAAAGGAUUUUGGUUCUGGUUGAAGGGGAUCGACGAAGGGAUCUCAGUUCAGUCUAACCACACAUUCCUUGGUUAUGGUUAAAGGGGAUCGGCAAAGGGAUCUCAGUUUAACCUAAUUGGAAAGGAUUUUGGUUCUGGUUGAAGGGGAUUGGCGAAGGGAUCUCAAUUUAGUCUAACUACACAAGACCUUGGUUAUGGUUAAAGGGGAUCGACGAAGGGAUCUCAGUUUAACCUAAUUGGAAAGGAUUUUGGUUCUGGUUGAAGGGGAUCAACGAAGGGAUCUCAGUUCAGUCUAACCACACAGACCUUGGUUAUGGUUAAAGGGGAUCGGUGAAGGGAUCUCAGUUUAACCUAAUUGGAAAGGAUUUUGGUUCUGGUUGAAGGGGAUCGGCGAAGGGAUCUCAGUUCAGUCUAACCACACAGACUUUGACUCUGGUUAAAGGGAAUCACUAGAUGAAUUUCAGGUUAACCGAGCUACACACCGAUUUUUGUUCUUGUUAGAUCGUCAGAUGGGAUCUCAGGUAAACCCAAUAAAAGGGCAGGUCGCCCGUGAAAACAGACCAGUGUGAGUGUAUGGACAGGUCACCCCUGAAAAUAGACCAAAGUGAGUAUGUGUGGGCAGGUCGCCCGUGAAAACAGACCAGUGUGAGUGUAUGGGCAGGUCACCCCUGAAAAUAGACCAAAGUGAGUAUGUGUGGGCAGGUCGCCCGUGAAAACAGACCAGUGUGAGUGUGUGGGAAGGUCGCCCGUGAAAAUAGACCAAAAUGAGUAUGUGUGGGCAGGUCGCCCGUGAAAACAGACCAGUGUGAGUGUGUGAGCAGGUCGCCCGUGAAAAUAGACCAAAGUGAGUAUGUGUGGGCAUGUCGCCCAUGAAAAUAGACCAGUAUGAGUGUGUGGGCAGGUCGCCCAUGAAAAUAGACCAAAGUGAGUAUGUGUGGGCAUGUCACCCAUGAAAAUAGACCAGUGUGAGUGUGUGGGCAGGUCACCCCUGAAAAUAGACCAUUGUGAGUGUGUGGGCCGGUCACCCCUGAAAAUAGACUACUUUGUGAGCAUGUGGGCAGGUUGCCUGUGAAAAUAGACCAGUGUGAGUGUAUGGGCCGGUUGCCCCGGAAAAUAGACCACGUUGAGCAUUUGUGGGCAGGUCGCCCGUGAAAACAGAUCAGUAUGAGUGUGUGGGCAGGUCGCCCAAGAUAAUGAAAUUAUUUUCCUUUUGUUUUCUUUACAAAGCUUACUAUGCAAAGUAUUGAGAAGUUUUGCUUCGUAAGCAUUGUAAAGAGGGAGCAUCUGUUGUUACCCAAUUUUUGACCCUCCUUUUUAAUAAAUUUUUUGAAAAAUCCAAAAAUAGUGAAAAACAACAAAAAUCCAAAAAAAUAUGUUUUUAAAUAUAUUUGCAAUGUUUUUAGCAUUUUCAACGUCUUCUAAAAAGAAUUUUAAUUUUCAAAGGUUUUUUCGAACGCGUUCGACUUUUCACACGUCAUUUUUAAAAUCAUUAAUUUUUUCUCAUAGAAUUGACGUUGAUUUUGCUCGUUUUUAAAAAUACAAGAAAAAAACAAGAAAAAUCAAAAAUUUACAAAAAAAGAAAGUUGAGGGAUCAAUUUGAUACCGGGCAACAUUUUACCUAUAAAUAUGGGUUGAAAAACUCAAAGGAGGGAGGGGGGUCAUUUUGUAAUUUUUGGGGAGGCAACACAAAAGGGGAACCCUAAAAACUAGACUGCUUCCUCUCCCUCACGAAGGACCAGCCGCCAGCCCCUUCUUGGUUUUGAUUUUUUUCCAGCCGCUGGCUCCCCGACAGAUCCCCUUUUGAUUUUUUUUUUCUUCCUCUUCCCGCCGAUCACCGAGGCCAGCCUCUCAUCAGAUUUUUUUUCCCUUUUUCUCAUCAGCCUCAGCUGCUCAGCCCCCUCCCCGGUUUCAUUUUUUUUUUACUUAAACCGGCCGGCCCCCAUAGUUCCCUUCUGAUUUUUAAUUCUUUUUUUUUUCUGGCCAGCCCCCCGGCUCCCUUUGGAUUUUUUUUCCUUCUCCCUCUUGAAGCCAAGCAGCAGCCCCCGGUUUGAGCCGACAACACAGGCUCCUCCACCACCGGCCGCCUCUCCAUCGUCCCCGAUCUCUUCAUUUCCAUCACCCACCGAAGAACCUAGCGGCGGCCGACAACAGCAGCAUCCACAGACGCCGUCACCUUCCUCAGCCUCCAGCACUCCUUCCACGACAGCCGCCAGAUCAGAAGAAGAAGACCCAGAACAGUACUGCCACCGGUUGACGAAGGAACGAACGGACGCUGACGCCGUGAAGAAGAAAGAUAACAGAAAAUAAUAGAUCUAAAAAACAAAAAAUCAGAAUAGAUCUGGACAAAAAAUGGAGUAAAAUCAACUGUUGUGUGUUCUCUUUUCUUGACUACAGGUCGUCACCGGCGAGGAAGAGAAGAAGCUGAGCAAGACCGGCUUGUUUUCUGGUAUUUUACGGCGGCGCGUGAACCCACGUUUAGGGACUAUUUUGUAAUUUUUAAAUUAUGUAAUGUAAUUUUCGUUUAGUGUUUAAUUUUUUAUAAUUUUUGUAAUGUGAUGUACAAAAAAAAAAACAUGUAAAAGAAAAGAAAAGAAGAGAAAGAGAAAGUGAUAAUAGAAAAAGAAAAAGAAAUGUUUGUGUGUGCUUGUAAUUUUUUUUUUGUAUGUUAUUGAAUAAAAAUAAAUGAAUUUAAUUUAUAUGCACAAAUAUCUAAAGGACAGAUAAAAAUCAUGUUGUAUUUUCCAUGGAAAUGUAGAACAUGUAUCUACAUAUAGUCUGGAAAAGUAAUAACUGAUUUAUCAAAGCCUUAGAAUUGGGCUAAAAUUUUAUUUUUUAUAUCACAUCAAGUCCACGAAGCUUGAAAGUGAAUGUGGUGUGUAUUUUUGUUUAUGAAUGUUUUUUUUUAUUAUGAUAAAAUUGCAAGAAUAAAGAAGAAUUUAAUAUUCUGAUUUGAUCACGGAUAAAGAAUUAUGAACUUACAUGUAAGUUGUAUUUUCUAAAAUUCGAUGAAAGAACAGAAUUUUUAAAACUUUAACACAUCAAGUCCACAAAGCAGCUUACCUCAGGUAGGGUGCGUUAGGGGUGCUAAUACCUUCCCUAACCACAACCAGUCCCUUACCCGCGAUCUUUGACAAGACCAGUACAUCAGGUUUCCUAGUAGCUCUCAAUGAAUUACUAGGUGGCGACUCCAACGAACCAAAACAAGAAUAACGAGAAAGAGACGAUAAAAAUCGCCAGCCGAUGCCGCACGGAUUUUUUCGACGUGCGACAAGCUUUAAAAAAAAUUCCAUGGAAAAAAUAAAUUUUGACAUCUUGUUCUUCGAUGAAAAAAUGUGUUAUUUAAAUAGUCUCCACCUAAUAUUAUGAUCACUAGAAACCCUAAUUGAUCAACAAAGAUUCUAUGGUACGGGACUAGUUACAUAAAAAGAAAGAUAUUAUCACUCCUUUAACGUUUUGCCUGAGGUAGGCUGCAUUGCUGAUUUUAUCUUAAAUUACUAAUAGUUUGUUGGUUUAUGCUAUGCUGGUUUGCUUGUAAUAUUUCUGACUUUGAUGUCAAUGAAUAUUCAACCACGGAUACUUCCAACUCUGACUCUGAGUUGCAGGAUUGAUGUCGAGAGUUCAAGAUUGAAGUGUUCAUAUAUUAUUAUCUUACUUAAUUUUUUAGUAAAACAAUUUUCAGGUUAUUUCCUAGCAAUCAACUCCUCCAUGCCCUUUCAUAAAAAUAUUUGUACAUAUAAUAAAUCUCUAUGUUGAUCCAACAAAAUCGGUUGACGAAAUCAUCAAUAAUUAGUUUCUAACAGUGAAUUAAUCGAAGUGAUUCUCAGUUACAGCAGAGUUACAUUCCGCAAUAUAACAUAAUAUUGAAAGAGAUAAGAGAGUGUUAGAGAAUAAUAUAAAUCAUAUCUUGGAGUCUCACCUAACAGCUUAAGCUUUUGGGUUGAAUUGGUUCUUUGACAUGGUAUUAGAGCUUUAAUGACCAAGCGGUCACGAGUUCGAAUCUCACCAUCCCUAUUUAUUUGAUAAAAUUAAGCACAAGGUAAUGUGGGCAUGUGCAAGUUUCAAGCCCAAAGGGCUUUCACUUAAGGGGGUGUGUUAGAGAAUAAUAUAAAUCAUAUCUUGGAGCCUCACCUAACAGCUUAAGCUUUUGGGUUGAAUUGGUUCUUUGACAAAGAGAGAGAGUUACCUACCAUCUUCACUUUCCCUUCGCUGAUGUUCUCUUAUCAGUUCAUCAAUUUUCUGCUUUUAAGUCAACCUUACAAGUCUCUGUGGUAUCGGCCAUUUCCGCGUUAGGACCAUUUUCUUUUUUUCUUUUUUUCUUCAAAUUAAGGUUAUAAAAUAAUUAAAAUAUAUAUAUAUUUAUAUUAAUACUGAGGAUUUUUAAUUUAAAUAUUGUAAAUUUAACUACUAUUAUUACAUCAAGAAAUAAAUAAUAUUGAUAUCAAAUAUUGUUUAUUGUUCGAUCAAAUUCUGCAAAUGCUACGUCAUCAAGCGAUCUCUUUCUAAUUUUUUGAAUAAAACACAAUUAAAAAUAAAAAUAAAAAUUAAAUUUUUUUUAACUGGGUCGGACUCGACAAGAACAAAAUUAGAAUUGCAAUUAAAUUCUACAAAUACUAUAUUAUUAAGCAAUCUCCUUCAAAAUUUUCAAAUAAAACAUAAUCAAAAAAAGAAAAUACAGAAAUACAAAAGAGGAAAGGCACCACAAAGUUUAUGAAUCACUGGAAAAGUAGGACAAAAAAAUAGCACACCGACCACUUUUCUUUUCUUUGCAUGUUGAUGAUGAUGACACCAAGCAUUCAAUAUUCGCAAGUGGUUGAAGGAAACUCGAUUGUGGUAUCUAUUUAGUUGUUUUUUUUAAUUAUCAGUACGGAACCAAAACACGGCAAGAAGCAUGAAAAAAUUGAUUCAUCACAACCUACGGUUCAACCUUAUUUUUAAUAGGUCCAUAAGCCAGACCACAGUUUCUAUUUAUAACCAAACACUAGUUUUAUUAAGUUUUUUUUUAAAAAAAAAAGCAGUAGCUACAGCUUAGCCAAACGUGUGUUUGGUAUUGUGUUUUGGAAGUGUUUUUUUUUAAAAUUAAAAUUAUUUUAUUUUUUUAUUUCAAAUUAAUAUAUUUUUUAUGUUUUCAGAUCAUUUUGAUAUACUGAUAUCAAAAAUAAUUUUUUAAAAAUAAAAAAUAUAUUUUAAUGUUUUUUGGAAAGAAAAAUAUAUUUUUUCAAAUACGCUCUAAUAAAUUCCGAGUAACUGCGUUGUCCAAUUAACUCAAGUUAAUUAUUUUAUUUUUUGUUUUAAAAAUAAUUAUUUGAUGUUGAUCCGAUUCAAUUUCAUCAAGUUAGCAAGAUUUAGUUAAAUUAAUAUUUUUUUAUUUAAAUUUAAAUUUUAUUUAUAAAAAAUCUAAUUCACGAGUUUUUUAUAUAUGAGAACAAACCAUUAAACACCUCAAAUUCCAUCGUAUUCAUACCUGCCAUCCCAAUGAUUCAAUAUUUCAGACGAAGUCUACUACUGGGCCUAAGACAUGGGCGAAUGGUUUUAAAAUUGAGAGAGAAAGGGUGGAUUGUAAUUUUAAGAUAAGUCAUCCCUACAAGUCCACUCUCUCUAUCCAUGGAAAAUUUUGGUGCCGGGAAUUGAUGGCUAUAUAUUGACAUCGUGAAGUAAGAAUCAAGUUAGAAAAUAAACUCCAGAAGUUGAUGGCUAUUCACAUCAUUUCUGUUUCUCUCUUUUCUCUCAAAUCUUUUGCUUCGUGGUUGGUAUUACUGCAUAUAUUCCUUUAACAAUUUUUUUACAAUUUCUUAAAGUCAGGGCUCUGAGUAGACCAAGAUUGACAGCACACCAAUAAGCUCAAGUAUUUAUAGGGUCAUCAAAAAUCCGAUAAAUCAAGUAAAUUGAGAAAAUCAGAAAAACAUUAACCAAAAAACCCAAAUUAAAAAAAAAAUUGAUUAAACCGAUUAGAAUAUUUCAAAAAAAUUGAUUAAACAUUAACCAAAAAAUCCCGAUUCGUUUUGGUUUUCGGUUUUGUACUGCAGAAACCGGUUAAACUAGGAAUACUUUUAGCACUUGAUCUUGCAUCAGGAGAAUGGGUUGGGAAAAUCAACAGAGCAUGCCAUGAUAUAGCUCCAACAACCAACCAUUAAAAAGUCCAAGUGGUCAGAACUUUGUGGCUUUCGCGUCUCCUAGAACAACUGUUGCUGCAAAAAACCAGGGAAAUGAAAACACAUUCCAAGAUCCUCAUAAUGUUUGAGGUCAUGGGUGACAGUAUAUGAAAACUGAUUCAAUUGCAUCGAUCAUUAAUCGAAAUCAUGAACAGAUUGCGUCUUUUGAUUCAGGAUAACGAGACUUUCAAAUCAAGAUCUCAAAGUAACUGUUUUUUUAUGAAAAGAAAGAGUCUCGUAGGCAGUCAAAGUUGCAGGCUACUAUAGAAAAUUGAACGUCUUCCACUUUUGUUAUUGAAUUUUAAUUCUAUCUUUUAAUUUGAUAAUUUUCAAUCAAAAUUAAUUUUAAAAUUUCUAAUCUUGAUGAUUAUUAUAUUUUAUUUUUACAAUAAAAAUAUCUAUAUUAAUUUAUUGUUAAAAUUUAAUAAAAUCCAUUCAAUUUUUAAUUAAAAUGAAAUAUAUUCAAAUUAUAAAACUCUCUCAAUUAUAUUUUAAAGACAUGCCUAUUUAUUUUUUAUUAUAAGUGAACUUAUCUCGUGAGAAUAUAUAUAGAAACAAAAAAAAUAAUUACCAAUUAAAUUUCAUCAUGUAUUAUUUUAUAUUUUAUAUAAAAAGAUGAAAUAAAAUAGAUAAAAUAACAUGAAAAAAAUGGACCUUUACAUAUAUUUUGGUUAAUAGAAAAUUGACACAUAAAAUAAGAUAUUUAAUAUAUCUUAUUAUAAAUAGAAGAUUCUAUAAUUAAAAAUUAAUUAAUAAAAUAAUAUCAUAUUACAUUUUUUAAUAUGAAAGCCCUUAUAAAUAUUUAUAAAUAAAAGUUCUCAUGACCUUUCUUUGCAAAAUACCACCAACCGAUAUUGCGAGCACUGUAUUUACCAUGGAAACCACAAUAAUAAUUUCUAAAAAAACGAGAAGCUAUUUCUACUCUGGCUACCUCUUCCUUUGAUUGGAUAUCAUUUCCUUCCUCUUCAUGCAACCAUUGGACACCAACGGUCCUUAAUUGGAUAGCUGGACCAUGUGGACGCACUGAAAUACUCACGUCAUCAUCAUUAUCAAAUGUAGGAUCAUUGCCCCCUAAUUUCGUGUGCAAUAUCAAUUGGAUUUCACGACGAACACCACGCUUGUUGAUCAUAGAGGAGACAAAGGAUUGACAAAGCAAGGAUCGACCACUCGUAUUGUUUCUGAUUUCAAUAUGAACAUUACUAAAGCCACGGUAUGCUGACGUCACACAACUCAUGAACAGAUUAAAGCCACAUAUCCGGUGCGCAGGAGGUGAUGAGGAUAUUUUGAAUGAAAAGUUAUCUACAAACUCAUUCUGAAUUAGCCAUUUAUCCUCUUCUUCCUCCUCAUCAAACCACCUCAACUUCUCUUCAUCAAAUACAGAUACGAGAAGGCUGAAUAUGCCAUCCAUAAAUAUUAUCUGUACCACCAAAACAAUGUCUAUAAAAUGAGCAAAAGAAAAGUAUUCAAAUGUAGAUUUCCAAAACAAUAAAAUGGGAGAGGGAGGACCUGAAAUCUCGAUGUCUGUAUUUGAGCACUAACCGUUUCCAUUAUUCUGAACAUGUGAGAGUCAAACUUUUGGAUUAAUUCUUGCUUUAUCCGAUCUUGGAACUUGACUAAGUGAUUUGGAUUUGCAAGUUUUGCAGUGAAUAGCAAAAGGACACAUCUAACGAAUCCAAAUGGGAUGGAAGCUCUGGGAGUCUGAAGCAUUUUGCAAUUUCUUAAAUAUAGGUCUGAGUAGACCAAGAUCCUUGAUGCUUUCUGGAAGAAAACGAAUUGGAGUUCCACUUAAAUCUAGACUCUCCAAUAAGCGUGGCAGUGAAAACGAGGUAAAUCUCAACAUUUUCCUCGUUGAAAACCUAGAGGGAAAGAAUAGCUUCAAUGGAAGAGAUGAAAUGAAUGAUGUACUUGCAACAAUUCCAUCACUUUGAAGCAACUUGCGCCCCUGAUGAUGCUCUAACUCCAUAUUCAGGCUGUCAAGAUUUGAGCAACCAUCUAAAACCAGCUCUUGAAGUGAAUUCAAUCUACUCAUUUCUUCUGGAAGCUCCAUAAGACUUGUACAAUUUCUUAGAUUUAAGAUCAACAAUCUUUGUAAAUCACCAAUAGAUUCGUGAAUUUGAACCAAACGGAUGCAGUCUUCAAGUAUUAGCUUUUCAAGGGCUGGGAGACCCGAGAAGUCUGGGGUUCUAAUGAGAUCACGAGAGUGACGGAGAUCAAGAAUUUUCAAUUUUGGAAGAAACUGUGAAAAUACAUGAAUUUAGUUGUUAUCAAUUCAAAACGAGAGAGAUAGUUAUAAAGAGAGACUCGAUGCAUACCAGUUUGCCCUUCCAAGCAUCAACUAGACAACUUCUGGAUAGAUCAAGAACCACCAGCUUCUCCAAGCAUGCGUGAUUUGGUAUGGAUCUCGAAGACAAUCCAUGCCAACAUAACCAUAUCAAAUUCUUGGGAAAGUGCUCGAAACUUCCAUGAAAAUUAGUGUAGUUUAGUUGGAGAAAUUUUACAUCUGGCAUCUUUCUAAAAACAUCCGCGCUGAGGAUGGGAAACAAACUUGUUUGGUCAGUUUGUAAUUUUCCCCCAUCUAAAAACUCGGAAAGCCAUUGUUUAAAGAAGUUAAGCCUGCGGCGCUUACGGCAAACCAUUGAAUCAGUACAGACAACUUCUGCAUAAUGAUCUUUCAUUAAUGCAUGCAUGUCAAUGGUAAGGCCCCGCAAUUUUUCAGCAUCCUGCAUAAUAAUAUUAUAAGUACAUGAGAAAGGAAAGUAGAUGAAUGAAUAUGUCAAGGCACCACAAACUAUUUAAGUAGACAUAUAAAAAAAUUGAGCUACUUACAGUAGUUCCUUUCAAAACUGUAAAAGCAUCCUCGUGACGCCAUAUUCUUUGACAUUUGGGAGAUUCUUGACGAGCAAUUUCCCUUCCCAUAUCUCUUACUAGUUGAUGCAUCCACAACCUUUGAUCAUUGUUGAUUUCAACAAGACAUCUAUCGAUGAGAUUGUCAAUCCCAAAUCUUGCACCUUUAUCGAGCCCAUCUAGUAUCCUAACUGCAUCAUCCACAUCCAUUCCAUUGAAGAAACAUGCGAUAUCAAGGAAUAAGUUCUUCGGAUAAUCACCAUCAAGAAAGUCGUAACUUAUUCGAAGAACCUUUUGAACUUCAAAAUUAGGAAUCACUUCCAUUUGUUGUAAUGCGCUUUCCCAUAUUUCUCUUCCUUUUCCGGACAAUGAAGAGCCAAUAACUCCAAGAGCUAAUGGAAGUCCAUUACAAUGAUGUACUAUUCUCCAAGAGUCUUCUACAAAACCAUCAACAGGGUCAGCUUGUCCAAAGGCAUUCCAACUGAAAAGCUCAAGUGAUUUUUUGUUAUCUAGCGGUUCGACUUUGCACCGGACCCACUCAAUAUCAUUAGCUGAAAACAGACCCUUAUUUCUGGUUGUUACAAUGAUCUUACUUCCUUUACAAAGCCAAUUUUGCAUGCCAACGAUUUUAUUGAAUUGGUCCCUUUUGUCCACAUCAUCUAGAACAAUAAGAGUUCUUCGGCAACAUAAUGCAUCCUUAAUCUUCAGAAUUCCUUCAUCUUCAUCAUUUAUCUCAUCAACAGUCUUGUUUAGGAUGUCGGAAAGAAGUUGCCUCUGUAGGCAAACUAUAUCCUUUGACCUAAAAUUUGAUAGAAAGCUCUUUCCUUCAAAUUUAUAAUAGUUCUGGUUAUAAACACUCUUAGCUAUGGCUGUCUUUCCAACUCCACCAAUUCCAUAGAGUAUAGCAAUGGCAGCAUCAUGGGACCCAUCUUGCAACCAUGAGUUGAUAUCUUGUACUAGAGGAUCUCUUCCAAUGAAAUGAGGGGGUACAUGAAACAUUUUUUGAUCCAAAUUCUUUAAGACCUUCUCCACAAUAGAUUGGACAAACGGUGCCUCGUACCUACAUCAAAAAGUAAAAUACAAUGAAGAAAACAACAUUUAGCUAUGAAAUUAAAGCAGGUUGUGUGUCAUUGAUUUGAUAGUUUAAACCAAAUCAUGAUUGAAAAAAAAACAAUGAAGAAAUCAUGAGUUUUUUUUAUUUUUGUUAUAUGUUUUCUUAUCAGUACACUUAACUGAAAGAAAUUAAGAGUUCACUACCAGCAUUCUAGUCUUAUGCUAUGUAUAGUUUCAUAAAGAGAUACAACUUACCCAUCUCCUAGAACCAUUCCAGCUAAAUCAGCCACUUCCUUUAAAGCAAUCCUCCACCCAUUCACCCGCUCCAUCUCCUUGUUGAAGCUCUUUUCAUGUUCCACAAAUGCUGCAGAGAAGCUCCCUGUUUGACGUCCGACUUGGGAUGGAUCCACAUCAUAGAAUACUGGCAAAACUAUGCAGUCAGCAUUCCUCUUACGUUCCAUGAUCAUUACAAGUUCAUCGAGGCACCAUCUCGACGAAGCAUAGUCUUUGGAGAACACGAUUAUCGAUAUUUUUGAUUGUUGUAUUGCCUUCUGGAGCUCGAAAUCUAUAUUCUCUCCUCUCCGAAUUUCAUUAUCAUCUCUAAAUGUGUGAAUCCCUGCUUGAACCAGAGCCGUGUAGAGGUGAUCGGUAAAGUUCUUGCGGGUGUCUUCACCUCUAAAACUCAAGAACACUUGAUAUUUACAAUUAGGAAACCGUGAAGAGUAGGAUUCUUGAUAUUUCCCAGCAGCCAUUUCGAGUCUAGCAAAGAUAAGACUUUUCAAAGAUCUGAACAAAAUAAAACAGUUUCAAGAUCGACAGCACACCAAUAAGUUGAAGUGUUCAUGUAUUAUUAUCUUACUUUAUCUUUAAAACAGUUUUCAAGUUAAUUCCCUGCAAUCAAAUCCUCCAUGCCCUUUCAGAAAAAAAUCUGUACAUAUGAUAAAUCUCUAUGCUGAAUGAUAAAUCUCUAUGCUGAACCAACGAAAUUGGUUGAUGAGAUCAUCAAUAAUUAGUUUCUAACAGUGAAUUAAUUUAAGUGAUUCUAAAAGAGAUAAGAGAGAGAGAGAGUACCUGUAAUCUUUACUUGUAAGACCAUCUCCCGGAGAAAAUGUUAUUUUGAAGAGUUUAAUUGAUAUAAUAAUAUUUUAAAUAGUAUAAAUAUAUUGUUUUAUUUUUUUUAAUAAGUUUGAUGUUAUUUUCUUUUAUAUAGUUAUAUUUAAAUGGUUUAUUUUUUUGUGGUUUUAUUUUGUUGGUUUUGAUAUUUUUAAAAGAUAUGUAAGAAUAAUAUUUGUGGGAAAGAAAAAACAUUUUUAUAAUAUUUUAAAAAAAAUAUGUAAAAUAAACAUAAAAAAACUAAAAUAAUAUUACGUUGGAGAUGCUAUGAAGUCAGCCUUAGAAGUCGCUGUUGUAUAAUUACCAAAAGGGACAUUACACACACACACACAACUAGGGGUGAUCAUUUUCGGUUCGGUUUUUGCCUAAAAAAACCAACCAAACCGAAUUAUAUUUUUUUUAAAAAAAUCAACCGAAACCGAACCGAAACCAAGUCAAACCGACCGGUUUCGGUUCGGUUUGGUUCGGUUUUUAAUGUUAAAAAACCGACAAAACCUAUAAUAUAUUUUGGGCUGUUUCUAAUGGGCUUUUAAUUAAAUUUUUGAUGGGCUUGUAAUUAAUGAUAAUAUUGUCUACUUUUCUUAUAAGAUUCUUAACCAAAUCAAUUAUUUUUUUGGGUUGUUUUUUGCAACUGAGUAUUCAUUUGUUGCCUUCCUAAUAAUUUUUCAUUUGUUUUGUUUGAGGGGGCAGGACUCCUGCUGCAGAUAAGUUUAAAUAACGCAUACCAACAAGUUAAAAUACAAAUUACAAAGCAUUGCCUUCAAAGGGCUUAACAAAAACAACAACUAACAUUAUCAUAAAAUACUUCAAUAGUCCAAUUGUCACCAUCGAAACCUGAAAUUAAAAAUAUAAAAUUAUAACUUGAUGAAUUAAAUUAGAAGAUAUAAAAAUAAAAGUAUUCCACGUCAGAUUUGAGCAAUUUUCAAGAGAAAUUCCAAGCAAUAGAAUGAAAAUUGGAAGCUGAACAGAGAAACAAAAAUCCAAAUAGAAGCAGAAACAAUUUUUCAUAUAAAGAAUAAAAUCAAUAUGAUUUUCCACCAACACGUACACUGAAAAUCAAAAGAUUCUAUACUCUCCUCAGCCAGUCUUCCUUUCUUCCCAACAGACUUCCUAAUUUCAUCUUGUGCUUUCUUCAUUGUUCUUGGAUUCCUAGCAAGCUCCUCCAUUGCCCAGACAGUUAUGGCACCAGCGUGGACUCCGCCUAGGAAUAUAUUAUGAAACUCGAGAGCAAUAACUCUUAAAUUAAUCUUGAAUCUAUUAAUUGUAAAGCCCACUAGUUAUCUUUGACUAUAUCUAUCCGUAUACAGCAAACAGAGCAUAAUCUGGGAUUCAUGCCGCAGAGAGUGGUGGUAAUUUUGAGUGAUUAUGGAGAUGAGGUUAUGUCGCAGAGGGUGAUGCUAUUCUUGAGAUGGAUUUGCGAGGCUUGAGGAGAAGGGAGGUGAGGAUGGAUGCAUGGAGGGUUUUAGAGGACUUCAAUGUGAAAAAAGGUGAGUGAAGAGGCCGGAUGAUAAAAGAGAGAUGUGGGUUUUUUUAGGAAGGGUAAAGAAAGGCAAGAGCUAAGUUAUGUUGUAAUAAUGUUUUCUUGUGAUUUCUUCACUGUCAAAUGAUUCUGUUCUCUCUUUUGACACUAUAAACUAAAUACAUAUAAGGAAUCUCAAGAAAAUAAGCACUAGAUCAAAAUAUAUACAUUCCUUUCAGUGCUUAAACAUGAGUUUUCAAUUAUCAACGAAAAUAAGCACAAACAUGGGUUUUCAAUUCUACGAACAUUCCUUUCAUUGCUCAAGAAUAAAAACCCAAUUAAAGCAAUCACAAACAUUUAAAAACCCAAUAAAAAACUACAAAUAGUUACCUUAGAUAUGGAUUUUUGAGCAUUCAAAACAACAACCGUGUCUCUGACCUCUGCAUUGAAAAGAAAAUACAAUAAAUAUAAUAGAGGAUAGACUAAUUAAUUAAUUAAAACGGAAAAAACAUCAUUAAAACUUACUGAAGAGGAAAGGCCACCUAGAUAGGUUCUGCUGUUCUGGAACACGUUGAUCUAUUAUUGAGACUUGAGAGUUGAGAGGCUUGAUUGGUUUCAACUUUCAAAUUUCAGCUGAUGCUUGACGUUUCUCUGGUUGUCUGUGUUUGAGAGUCUAAGACUCUAAGGAGAGGGGGGAGCGGCCGCGGGUGCUGGUGUUAGGAUUUCAGCUGAUGCUUGGCGUGUCUCUGGUGUUUGAGAAUCUAGGGAGAGGCGGCGAUUGCGGGUGCUAGAGUUAGGAUUUAGCUGAGCGUGUCUCUGAUGUUUGAGAGAAAGAGAAGGGGCGGCCGCACUGCUAGGGUUAGGUUACUGAAGGCAAAUAUUUUUUUUCUAUUUAUAGUAUUGUUUUUAUUAGAAUCGGUUCGGUUCGGUUUGAGUUUACCGGUUUCAACAGAACAAAACCGAAAACCGAACCGAACCGGAAGUUUUUCUAAAAAUUCUAAUCGGUUUAAUCGGUUUUUUUUCUCGGUUCGGUUUUUUCGGUUAAUUUUUGGUCGGUUUUCUCGGUUAAAUCGGUUUAUCGGUUUUUUUCUCACCCCUACACACAACACAUAAUCCCUCCCAUCAACUCACACGGUUCUUCUUUCUUCACCCACCAGUAAGAAAAAGGCACGUGGAGGAUAAGGCUCUCCAUAUCUGACUUGGAAAGUUUACUAGGGCCUGUAAUUCUAGUUGCAUCAUUUGAAUCUGCUGAAAGUAAAGUAGAUUUAUGAAGAAUUAAUCGAAAAACAAAGCAAUUGGUUAAAUUAAAUAAAUUAGUCAACUAGUAUAAUUUUUUUAUUAGUGUUUCAUUUAAAUAAUUUAAUUUCUUGUUUAUUUAGAAUUUAUUAAUUUAAAUAAUUUAAUUUCUCAUAUAUAAAAAACUCGUGAAUUAGAUUUUAUAUAAAAACAUAAAAAAUAUAUUAAUUUAAAAUAAAAAAAUUUAAUUUUUUCAAAAAACACAUGAUACCAAGCACAUCCUAUAUUUGUAAUUGGACCAGUCUACAACUGGGCCCAAGACAUGGGCAUGGUUUUAAAAAUGAGAGAGAAAGGGUGGAUUGUAAAUUUAAGACAAGUCAUCCCCACAAGUCCACUCUCUCUAUGGUAUGGAACGUUUCCGCGUGAGGAAUUUUCCAUGGCUAAUUAAUGUCUAGGCAUGGAAAAUUUUGGUGCCGGGAAUUGAUGGCUAUUGACAUCGUGAAGUUAGAAAAAUUUAAUUAAGAGGAGACGUUUAUGGCUAUUCACAUCAUUUCGGCCAAAAAUUCUAUCGAAAAAUUAAGGGGUAAGAAACCCAGGCGAUAAGGAUUGCAUAAUGACAUAACAGAAAACCAUGUGAAUAGAUCAAAGCCACAUAUCCACUGGAUAUUUUGAAUGACAAGUACUCUACAAACUCUUUCUAAAGUAGCCACUCCUGUUCUUCCUCCUCAUUUUCAUCAUAUUCAAGGACAAUGUGGAAUCUGUUGCCCUAAAGUUGUAUCUGUUCCAUCAAAGCAGAAUUUAUAAAAUGAGCAAAGGGAAAAUUUUCUAGAUAUACAAGAACAAAAACGUAGAGUUUAAAUAAAGCAGAACUUAUAAAAUGAACAACGGAGAUCAAGAAUUUUAAAUUUUGGAAGAGACUGUGAAAACACUUGAAAUCGGUUGCUGUCCAUUGAAAAUAAGAGAGACUAGAUACAUACAAGCUUUGGUUUGGAUUGGAUAAAGAGCCACAAGCUUCUCUAAGCAGAAGUGCUUUGGUUUGGAUCAUGUAAAAACCCAACCCUUUUAUUUUAAUUUAUUAUUAUUUUUCUUAAAAAAAUAAAUAAAUAAAAUAAAUGAAGAAUAAAUUAAAAUUUGGGUUAACAGCAAGUAGAAGUUUUGGGAUUUAAUUAAACUUUGUGUUAGUUUUAUUAACCAAAUUAAGAAUUUAAUUGAGGAAUUGAUAAGUUUGGGACUUAAUUGAACUUCAAAUUAGUUAAUUAAUGAAAUCAGGAGCUUAAUUAGAUAAAUAUCAAAGUUAGGGUUGAUUCUAGUUAAAAUUGCAAGAAAUUAAAAUCAAAGGACCCAUUUGCAAAUGGUGUUGAGAUGUAGGAGUCCAAUUAAAGUUUAUCCAGGAGGCUUGCUUACAAAGCUUUCAAAACAUCAGACCAAAACGAAAAUGGCCAUCAACACUGUUCAUCUUCUUCAGCGAACCAAACCAGAAACGGACUCCCCACGAUCCCAAUUACUCCUCCAAUAACAACGGUCGGUCGCCUCAUUAUUUAGAGGCGACUGCAUGGCAUUCUCUGGCUAUAUAAAUAGCCAGAGAAAGACCAUGCACACGGGGGACUGGGGGAAGGAGAAACGUAAAGAAGAACAGGAAAAAAAAAAAACAGAAGAGAGAAACAAGGGAUGACAGAGAAGAGAUUGAAGAUAAAAACAGAGAGAAAGAACGAACAUCAGUGAAAAACUAAAGGGACGCCCUUGUCUUCUUCUUUGGUGGCAGCUCCAAAAGCUCCAUUUUCAGCAGCCACUGCUGUUAUUGCUUGAGAAGACCAAAAAAUAUAGAGGGAAGAACUGGAAAAGGGAACAAACCAGAGAAAGAGGACAAAGAAAAAAAAAGCAGCCGAACAGAGGAGAGGGAGUGAAAGUAGGAAACACAGAAUCCGCAGAGAAGAACAGAGCAUAUACGGGGAGACUAAAAGAAAAAUAGAGAAAAACAAACACAGGCAAAGGUUGCACCGAGAGAAAGCAAAAGAAAAGAAAGAACCAGAGGAAAAGUAAACGAAAGGAGGAACAGCACGCCAUCGCCUUCAUCCUGCUCCCAGGUAAGUGUCUCCAAUUUUGCAAAAUAAUUCAUCAACACUGUGUAUUAGAGAUUUAAUUACAUGGCGACUGUAGGAAGGGUUUGUGAACAAUUCACGCAUGUUUGUGGGUAAAAACUGCCCACUAAACCUAACCCAAAAAAAUAAAAAAAAAGGUAAAAAAAAAUAAAAACAAGUAAAAUAAAAUAAAAUAAAUGUAUGCAUGCAUACAUAAAAAAAAAAAUUUGGUUUAUUGGUUUAUUUACUGAUAUUAGAGUCAAGAAUAAAAAUACUUAUUUAAAUUUAUUUUAUUAUAUUUUGUUAUUAUGAUUUUCUAGCUACGUAAUAUUUACUAAAAUCAGAGUUGAAAAUAUUUAUAGUUGAAUAUUCACUGACGCUAGAGUCAGGAAUAUUACAAGCAAACCAUUAGAACAUAAACCAACAAAUUUUUAGGAAUUUAAGAUAAAAUCAACAAUGCAGCCUGUCAUAGUCAGGAAAUUUAAAAAGUGAUAAUAUCUUCCCUUUUAUAUAACCAGUCUUGUAUUAUAUAAUCUUUGUUGACCAGUUUGGGUUUUUAGUGACCAUAAUACUAGAUGACGACUCUUUAAACAAGAUCAUUUUCCAUAAAAAAAAAAACAAGAUAUCAAAUGUCUGAUCUUUUCUCUUAUAAGAUUUCAUUUUUACAUGGUCGCGCGUGUUAGGAUAUUGGCAUGCAAACCCGACAAGAUAAAAGGCAAAGAAUAGGAUAAAAUGAGAAAUGAGACACACAAGAAUUUACGUGGUUCACCCAAUUGGGCUACGUCCACGAGCAAGUAUAGAAGGAUUUUACUAGUAAUGUGGGAAUUACAACCUCUCUCAAAUAAUAGGAGAACAACUAAGAAUCUCUCUAUUACUAGGAGAAAACACCUCACUUACUCUCUCACAAAUACCUCACAAUUUUGUGGGAUUAUUUUCCCUCUCUCACUCUUCUCUUCCUCUCUUGUUUCUCUCUUGUGGUGUGUUUACAAUGCUUGGAUGCAUUGCCUAUUUAUAGGCAAACAUCCAUGCAAAUACAAGGGGUAAGGCAAGUGGCACAAGUUUGGUGCCUACAAUUUGUGACUAAGGAAGGAUGGCUUCACCACCAUUGUUGACUCCCACCCAUUGUUGACUAGGUGGCUGGUUUGGUGGCUAGCUUCACAUUCUCCCACUUGAAGACUUUGAUGAUUGAAUCAAGUCUUCACACUUCAUCAUUUGUGAUUCUUCUAUCCUUUCAAUACUUGCCAUCUUCAUGCUGCUUACGUUUCUGCUAGGCCACAAGAGGAUCUGCACCAUAUAUACUUAUCAGUGUUGACUGGUUUGGUUAAAGCAUCUGCUGGGUUUUCCUUUGUGUGAACCUUCUGAAAAUCCACACUUCCAUCUUCCACCACUUCGCGAACAAAGUGAUACUGAACAUCUAUAUGUUUUGUUCUUGAAUGAAACGCUGGAUUCCUUGCAAUAUGCAAGGCACUCUGACUAUCACAAUACAAAAGAAUCUUCUCUUGGUUGUGCCCGAGCUCCUCCAUAAGUUUCUUCAACCAUAUUGCUUCUUUACAAGCUUGUGUAGCUGCCAUAUACUCAGCUUCUGUUGUGGAUAACGCUACAACAGUCUGAAGUUUAGAGACCCAGCUCACAGCUCCUCCUGCAAUUAUGAACACAUAGCCUGUAGUGGAUUUUCUUUUCUCAAGGUCACCAGCAAAAUCUGAGUCAACAUAACCUCUGAUAGUAAAUUCUGAUCCUCCAUAACAUAAUGCGGCAUCUGAGGUACCCUUGAUGUAUCUCAAGAUCCUCUUAAUAGUAUUCCAAUGCUCUCUACCAGGAUUUGCCAUGUAUCGACUAGCUGCUCCCACUGCUUGUGCAAUGUCUGGUCUUGUACAUAUCAUGGCAAACAUUAAACUUCCCACUGCUGAUGCAUACGGUACUCGAGACAUCUCCAUCCUCUCUGCUUCAUUGCUAGGAGACAUACUUGAGGAUAAUUUGAAGUUAACAGGAAGUGGGGUGGAAAUUGGCUUACAAUCUUGCAUGUUGAAGCGUCGCAAGAUCUUCUUCAAAUAAUUCUUCUGAGAAAGCCAAAUCUUCCUCUUACUUCUGUCUCGGUGAAUUUGCAUCCCUAGAAUCUUGUUUGCUGGUCCCAAGUCCUUCAUAUCAAACUCCCUAGCCAACUGUGCCUUCAAUUCUUGGACUCGAUCUUUGUUGGGGCCUAUUACCAACAUGUCAUCCACGUACAACAACAGAAUGAUGAAAACAUCAUUUUCUUCAAACCUCUUGUAAUACGUACAAUGGUCUGAACUGAGUCUGUUGUACCCAAGGCUAAUUAUGAAGGAAUCAAAUCUCUUGUACCAACACCUCGGCGCCUGUUUGAGACCGUAUAGAGAUUUGUUCAACCUGCAAACCAAGUUCUCUUGCCUGUUUCAGCAAAACCCUCUGGUUGGAGCAUAUAAAUUUCUUCUUCAAGUUCUCCAUGAAGAAAUGCAGUUUUCACAUCUAACUGCUCUAAGUGAAGAUCAAAUAUAGCACACAUCGCCAAGACUACUCUGAUUGUAGUAAGUCGUACCACCGGAGAAAAUAUCUCAUUAAAGUCUAUUCCUUCUUUCUGAGCAUAUCCUUUCACCACCAAUCUUGCACGAUACCGCUCCACUUGAUCAUUGCCAUCACGCUUUAUCUUGUAAACCCAUUUGUUGCCAAUGGCCUUUCUUCCUUGUGGUAGCGGAACAAGAUCCCAAGUGUUAUUCUUGUGCAGAGCUUCAAUCUCCUCUUGCAUUGCUGUCAUCCACAUAGAUACAUCUGUGCUUUUGAUAGCCUCAUGGAAAGUUGAUGGCUCUCCAUCCUCUGUUAGAAGACAGUAUGCAAUGUUGCUCUCAGUAACAUAUUCUGAGUGCCAAGCCGGUGGUCUUCUUUCACGAGUUGACCGUCGAACUUCAGGAGUUUCAGACUCUAUUUGUUCUUGUUCUUCAUGCUCUGGUGCAGCUUCAGAAGAAGUAUGAUUCUGAGUAUUUUCCAUCUGGACUUCUGUAGUCUCCUUUAAAAUGCUAUUAUUUUCUUCCAUUUGCAUUUUAUCUUCUGCAAAUAUGACAUCUCUGCUGAUGACUACCUUGUGGGCAGUGGGAUCCCACAAGCGAUACCCCUUCACUCCAUCAGCAUAUCCCAAGAAUACACAUUUUCUGGAUUUUGAAUCCAGCUUGCUGACUUCUUGAGUAUUGUACAUCACGUACACAGGACUUCCAAAUAUAUGCAAUCGAGAAUAAUCAGCUGGCUUUCCAGUCCACAUCUCCAUCGGUGUCUUCAACUCAAUUGCAGUUGACGGAGAUCGAUUUAUCACAUAACAGGCGGUAUUGACUGCUUCUGCCCAGAAUGACUUUUCUAGACCUGCAGCCUUCAACAUUGCUCUUGUUCUUUCCAAUAGAGUUCUGUUCAUCCGCUCUGCCACUCCAUUUUGUUGUGGAGUGUAUGCCGUUGUGAACUGCCUUUUGAUACCUUCAUGUUGACAGAAGUUAUCAAAUUCAUCACUGGUAUAUUCUCCUCCAUUGUCAGUCCUCAAACACUUGAUCUUCUUUUCAGAUUCAAGUUCUACCCGCGCUUUGAAGGUUUUAAAAACUGCGAACACAUCUGCCUUCCUUCUAAUCGGAUACACCCAACAUCUCCUGGAGAAGUCAUCUAUGAAUGAUACAAAGUAUCUUGCUCCUCCCAAGGAUACAACCGGUGCUUGCCAAACAUCAGAGUGAAUCAGGUCUAAGAUGCAUUUGCUCUUAGUUGUUGACGUGCCAAACUUCAACCUGUGUUGUUUACUUGUAACACAGUGCUCACAAAAAGGUAAAGUAACCUUUGUAAGCCCAGGGAGUAACUUCUGAUCAGAGAGAACCUUUAAACCUUUCUCUGACAUGUGGCCUAGUUUUUGAUGCCACAUCAUCGUCUUCUCUUCUGCAGGACUGGCUGAUGCGAUUGAUGCUUCUGCCCCUGAUGUGUUUCUCCCAUUAAUACAAACAUGUUUGCAACUGUCUUUCUUGCCUUUAAAACCACCAGCGCGCCUUUGACAAUUUUCAUGAUUCCAUUGUCUGUUCGGAUCUUACAGCCAAGACUAUCAAAUUGUCCUACGGACAAAAGAUUCUUCUUUAAGUCUUUCACAUGUCGCACUCCUGAAAUAGUACGAAUUAAGCCAUCAUACAUCUUCAAUUUGAUGGUGCCAAUGCCAGAAAUCUCUACAGCAUGAUUAUCACCCAUGAACACUGUGCCUCCAGAGAUAGGUUCAUAUGUAUGGAACCAAUCUCGUCUAGGGGUCAUAUGCCAUGUUGCUCCUGAAUCCAUUAGCCAGACCUCAGCGAGCUCUUCUCUAUCUGUAGAGAUUGUUGCUGCUUCACUAUAUAACCUCUCCAUCUUCUGAGGUGCUUGCAACACAUCCUUGAGGUUUGAUGACUCUGCAGUAUUCUCUAUACCCUUUUUAAACCAACAAUCCUUUUUGAAGUGCCCUUUUCUGCCACAGUUGUAGCAUUUCACCAUCUUCUUACUUCUUGAUUUGGACCUCCCCUGCCUUUGACUCCCACUGAGCCACGUUCCGUUGAUCUUCCUCUUGACAACAAUGCCUCAGCUUGGUUUGAACUGUUUCUGUCUCCUUUGUUUUUGCGCCUAUUUUCUUCUUCCAAGAUAGCAGCUGCAACAUCAUCGAAGACUAAAUAGUCUGAGAGGAUAUUAUUGGUCAAGUUGAUAAUGAGCUGAUCAUACGAAUCAGGAAGACUUUGAAGUAGAAGCUCUGCACGUUCAUUUUCCUCUAUUUGUUGACCCAACGUAGUGAGUUGUGAAAAUAGAGUUCUUAUUGUGUUGAUGUGGUCAGUCACCGACGUGGUUUCUGCCAUUCGAAGGGUAUAAAGUCUCCGCUUUAAGAAAAUCUUAUGUGCAAAGACUUGGACUCGUAUAGCUUUGUUAGAGUCUCCCAUAUCUCCUUAGCUGUUUUCUUCUCCGCCACACUUGAUAAUACUUCAUCAGCUAAUGCUAAAUGUAUGUUAGCAAUAGCAUUGCCAUCCAUCUCAUUCCAUUUUGCAUUAUCAGUGAUCUCCGCGGGCCGAUCCCCAAUUGCUGCCAAGCAAUUGUCUUUCCUCAAGAUUGCCUUGAUUCUCAUUUUCCACAGUGAGAAAUUGCUCCCUUUGAACCUCUCAAUCUCGUACUUUGCUGCCAUUGUAUUCACCGAGAUCUAUUCAGCUAUCACCGUUUCACAGAUCUGUAACGUAUAUAGAAAUAGUAUCGUGUGAAUAAUACUUCACUAAGUAAGUUCCCAGGAAAGAUUGGAGGGGUCACAAACGGUCCCGCUUAAAACCCAAUCUCCUUAGACAGAACUUCCUAGACUGUAUUUAAUCACCGCACUGACUUUCUAUAUACGCCAACAGUAACGUAAGUGAACAGUACCGUAUGGAUGAAUAGUGCCGUAUAGGUGAAUAGUGCCGUAUAGGUGAAUAGUGGCCGUAUAGACGAAUAACUUUUGUGUGUUAACAACACCAACCAAGAAGGCUCUGAUACCACUGUUAGGAUACUAGCAUGCAAACCCGACAAGAUAAAAGGCAAAGAAUAGGAUAAAAUGAGAAAUGAGACACACAAGAAUUUACGUGGUUCACCCAAUUAGGCUACGUCCACGGGCAAGUAUAGAAGGAUUUUACUAGUAAUGUGGGAAUUACAACCUCUCUCAAAUAAUAGGAGAACAACUAAGAAUCUCUCUAUUACUAGGAGAAAACACCUCACUUACUCUCUCACAAAUACCUCACAAUUUUGUGGGAUUAUUUUCCCUCUCUCACUCUUCUCUUCCUCUCUUGUUUCUCUCUUGUGGUGUGUUUACAAUGCUUGGAUGCAUUGCCUAUUUAUAGGCAAACAUCCAUGCAAAUACAAGGGGUAAGGCAAGUGGCACAAGUUUGGUGCCUACAAUUUGUGACUAAGGAAGGAUGGCUUCACCACCAUUGUUGACUCCCACCAUUGUUGACUAGGUGGCUGGUUUGGUGGCUAGCUUCACAGCGCGAAGUCCAAUGUGACAUAUUUUAAAGGGAAUCCAUGCCAACAUAACUACAUCAAAUUCUUGGAAAAGUGUUCAUAACUUCCACAGAACUUGUGUAAUUUAACUGGAGAAAUUUUACAUUUUACAUCUUUCUAAAUGUCAUUUUACAUCUUUCUAAAUGUAUCCGUGCUGAGGACAAGAAACAAACUCGUUUGGUUAAUUUGUACUUGUUCCCCCAAGAAAAACUCAGAAAGCCACUAUUGAGAGAGGAGUGUAGGAAGAAGACAUUGUUGAAAGAAGUUAAGCCUGCAGCGGUUGCAAGUGCACCAUUGAAUCAGUGACAGUACAGACAACUUCUGUACUUAUUAAUGCAUAUACAGGGUAAGGCCACACAAUUUUUCAUCAUCAUGCUUCCAAAAUAUUGAAAGUAAAUGAGAAAAGAAAGUAAAAGCAUGAACAUUUUAAGACACCUAAAUACCAUGAAGAUAGGAAAACAGAACCAGUUACUCUUACACUUGUUUCUUUCAAAACUGUAAAAGCUUCCAUGUGUGAUGCCAUAUUCUUUGACAUUUGGGUGAUUCUUGACGAGCAAUUUCCCUUCCCAUGUCUCUUACGAGUUGAUGCAUUUAUAAAAUUUUUUCAUUUUAUUUUAACAAUUUCUACAAGACAUCAAUCGAUGAGAUAGUCAAUCCUAAAUCUUGCAUCUAUACCGAACCCAUCAAGUGUCCUAACUGCAUAAUUCUCAUCCAUUCCAUUGAAGAAAUAAGCAAUAUCAAGGAAUAAGUUCUUCUGAUAAUCAUCAUCAGGAGAGUUCUAACUUUUUGCAAGAACCUUUUGAACUUGACAAUUUGGUAUCACUUCCAUUUCAUGUAAUGCGCUUUCCCAUACUUUUCUGCUUUUACUAAAAAAUGAAGAACCAAUAGCACAAAGGGCUACUGGAAGUCCAUUACAAUGAUGUACUAUUCUCCAAGAUUCCUCCAUAAAAUCUUCAACUGGGUAAGCUUGUCCACAGGCAUGCCAACUCAAAAGAUUAAGUGAUUUUUUGUUAUCUAGAGGUUCAUCUUUGCACUUGACACACUCACCAUCAGCUACAAUCAAAGCCUUAUUUCUAGUUCUUACAAUGAUUUACUUCCUUCGCGAAGCCAAUUUCGCGUGCCAACAAUUGCAUUGAAGUGGUCCCAUUUGUCCAUCUCAUCAAGAACAAUAAGAUUUCUUCUGGAACAUAACGCAUCCUUAAUAUAAUUAAUCCCUUCAUCAACAUCAUGUAUGUCAUCAGAUUGUUUAGGAUAUUUGAAAGAAGUUGCCUAUGUAGGCAAACUACACCAUUGGAUUCUUUUGACUAUUCUCUAACAUUUGAUGGAAAGAUCCUACCUUCAACGCUGGGUCUUUUUUCUUCUGGUUUUUCUCUGCCUUUUUUGAAAUGAUGAAGCCCCUGUGUUCUUCUCCUCUCCGUCUUUUCCCUUCCCUUUUCUUUUUGUUUUUCUCCCCUGUAUUCCCCUCUCAGCGGUUCUUGGCGUGGCUGCUGGGAUGAAGAAGAUGAUGAGCUGACGAUGGCGUUGGCAGUGCUGGUGCAGUUGUGAUGGAGAAUGGCAGUGGCUGGUUUCUGGAAGAAUUGAAGAUGAUGACAAUUCUGGUCUUGCGUUCUUUUUAUUAUUCUGGACUUUCUCUCUGGGUUUCUUCCUUUGCUUCUGUUUCUUUGGUUUUAUUCCCUUGCCUCUGGUUCCAAAGGUCAAGGGACAGCAACGAUGGAGGCUGGUUGCUGUUGGUUUUUUUUCUUGCUUCUGUUCGUCUGCUCCUCUGUUAUCGUCUCCCUAUGCUUCCCAGUUCUCCUUCCAGUCUCCCUCUUUUUCUUUUUAUUCUCCCUGUUCUCUUUCUCUCCCUCUCUGUCUCGUCUUUCUCCUUUCCGUUAUCCCCCUCUCUCUGUUUUUCUCUUCUGUCCAUUGUCCUCUCUGGUCUUUUUUUUUUUCUGUCUUUCCUCCUCCUUUUCAUGGUCUUUCUCUGGCUUUUAUAAGCCAAAGAAUGCCCUGCGGUGCAACGUUCGGCUUGGUAACAGCAUGUAGAGGAAUAGUAUCCGUGAAACAUUCCCCAUAAUUGAAGCAAUCUGCUGUUUUUGUCGCUGAAAUGGCUCCACUGUCUACUGAAACGGCUGUGAAGAAAGGUGAUGAAAUAGUGCUCUGAAACGGCGCCGUCUUCCUAUCAAAAUGGAUAUUUCUGAUUUGGUCCUUGGCUGUUUUGACAAUUUUCUAAUCAAGCCCCCAGAUGAAUUGUAAUUGGAUCCCUUGAUUUUAGUACCGUUUCCGGUUUAGUCCUUGGUUUCAGAUUGUUUCAAUUAAAUCUCUGAUUGGCCAUCCAACUUCAAUAAUUAUGCAAUUAAGCAUCUGAUUUGACCAAAUCAACUCUUUAAAAUUAUAAUUGGACCCCAUAACUUUAAUUACUUCCAAUAAAAACCUAAAUUGACUUUAAAAAAUCAAUUUUCUUGCAAUUAAACCCUUUAUAAAUUCAAUUAAACCUUUGAUAAAAUUUAAUUGAGUUCAUAAACAUCUUAUUUUGGAUUUUUCUUUUUCAACUUAAAUUUUCUUUGUCAAUAAGGCUCUCAUCAGUAGAAAAUAUAGCAUAAAAUUUCAAUUCUUGUAUUUCUGAAUCUCCUCAACCAAUUUCUAGCCAUUUUAUGAGCAUUUCAGCAUCUUACUCCUGUUAUUAUUAAUUUUUUAUUCCUUUUUAAUAUAAUUUUUUUUGUAUUUUUUUAGUUUUUGUAUGAGAACCCAAAAAUGAAUAACAAUAGAAGAGGUAAUAUCAGUCAUUCUCUAAAUACUUUCCUACAAACCUGAAAAAAUUAAGAGUUCACUACCAGCAUUCUAGUCUUAUGCUAUUUGUAAUUUCAUUCAGAAAUACAACUUACAUAACUCUGCAAUUUUCUUCAAAGCAAUCCUCCACCAAUUCACUCGCUCCAUCUCCUACUUGAAACGCUUUUCAUGAUCCAAUAAUGCUAUAGCGACUUCAGAUGGAUCCACAUCAUAGAAUACUGGCAAAACUAUGCAGUCAUUCCUCUUACACUCCAUGAUCAUUACAAGUUCAUCGGAGCACCACCUCGACCAAGCAUAAUUGAACAAUUAUUUUUCUAAUUGUUAUUUAUUUUGUUAUUUAUUAUUUUUUAAUUAAUUAAUUUUUCAAUUUUAUUUCUCAUCAUUUUAUUGAUGGGGGAUUUGAUUUUGUUAUUUUUGUAGGUUUAUCUUCUAUGAAGUUGGUUACGGUCUCAUAAUUUAGACUACAAGUUUUGAAAAUUAGGUUGAGUUCAUUUUAAUUUUUGAGGUCAUUUUUAAAAAACUGAUAUUUUUUUUAAAUCAUCUUUCAACAUUGAAAGAUGUCUGUUGCAUAUGGAGAAAGUGAACGAUUGUUGGGAAAAGUUUUCUCACUUGCAAGAGAUAACUUGGAGGCCAUCGUGCAAGAGAUAAACCCACUUCCUUUCAGUAUACUCAAACCUUGGAUUCUAAUUCAAAUAGAAUCUUUCCACAAUUCAAUGUCAAGAAGGCCAUCGUUACGCACUCAUCAUGGUGCUUUGGAGGCCAGAGGCAAUUUUCACUCAUCAUUAUCCUACUUUUUCUUUAUAACAGCAAUCAACUCCCCCAGACCCUUUCAGAGAAAUAUCUGUACAUAUUUUAACCGCACUUGCUACCACGCAUUUAGAAGCACAGAUGGAGCAGGAAAGGAAAGUCAUUAAGGAUCCCCAUCUGGCUAUGUAAGCCUUAAUUAUUUAGAAAGCACACAUCUUGUAAUCCUUACAAAGCCCACGGGGGUGAAUUUGUUAGUUUAUAAUUUUUUGAGUGGCAUAAUAUGAUGAGAUGAUGAUGUAGUCACUAACAGUGGUUUAAUCUAAGCGAUUAUCAACAAAGAAAACAAGACAGCAGCUGGAUUGGAACCAAAGUAAACGAGAGAUAAGAAAGAGAGAGUACCUGCAAGUUUCCCUUCCCUUCUCUCUUCAGUUGUGGCUGCUGUUCUGUAUCAGUAAUCUAAGCGGUUCUGCUCCACAAUUUUAAGACAACCCUUCAAAUAUUUUAUUAUAUAGGAAUGCGAGGUAUAGUUACCAAAAGGGACAUUAGACACCCGCAUCAUCCAACUCAUCCACUCUUGCUGUGCGCCUGCUCUGGUCGUAUCUCUAUCCUCUCGCAUCCAAAACCAGCAUCAACACCACCCACCAAUAAGAAAAAGGCACGUGGAGGAUCAUGACUCUGAAUCAGCUACUGGGUCGGCUACCGAGUGGUGUUCCGUUUUGAGCCAUUGAGUAUUGCUGUGGAGUGGAGGGACAUUCAAGCUGCACAAUGUUUGGUGUCUUUGGCUAUAAAGUGUGGGCUUAAGGAAUCAGGGAUUACAAGUGCUAUUGAGUAGAAAUACUUAUAAAUAAAAGAUCUCAUGCUAUUUCAUGAUAAGCUAUUUUCAUGAUAAGCUUUUGAAGAAAAAAGAAAAAACUAUUUCAAAAGCUUUCCAGUUUUUUUGAUUUUACGGUUAAAAUCUAAAAAAGCAAACCUCUACUUAAUGAAACCUAAAAUAAUACAGGUUCUAGACCCUUCUUUGCAAAAUUCCAAAAAGUGAAAUUGCGAGCCCUGAGUUUACCAUGGAAAGCACAAUUAUAAUUUCUAACUAUAUGAGAAGCUAUCUCUACUUUGUCUACGUGUGCUGCAUCAUCAUCAUCAUCGCUACUGUUGUGGGCAUUGAUAACUUCAUCCUUUCCUUCCUCUUCAUGCAACCAUUGUACACCAACGGUCCUUACUUGGAUAGCUGGACCACGUCGACGCACUGAAAUACUCACGUCAUCACCAUUAUCAAAUGUAGGAUCAUUGCCCCCUAAUUUCGUGUGCAAUAGCGAUUGGAUUUCCCGAUCACCACACGCGUACUGUUUGACAAAGGAUUGACAAAGCAAGGAUCGACCACUCGUAUUGUUUCUGAUUUCAAUAUGAACAUUACUAAAGCCACAGUAUGCUGACGUCACACAACUUAUGAACAGAUUAAAGCCACAUAUCCGGUGCGCAGGAGGUGAUGAGGAUAUUUUGAAUGAAAAGUUAUCUACAAACUCAUUCUGAAUUAGCCAUUUAUCCUCCUCAUGAAACCCCCUUAACAUCUCAUCUUCAUCAAAUAGAUAUACGACAACGUUGAAUGUGCCAUCUAUAAAUGAUAUCUGUACCACCAAAACAAUGUCUAUAAAAUGAGAAAAAGAAAAGUAUUCAAAUGUAGAUUUCCAAAACAAUAAAAUGGGUGAAGGAGGACCUGAAAUCUCGAUGGCUGUAUUUGAGCACUAACCGUUUCCAUUAUUGUGAACAUUUGAGAGUCUAACUUUUGGAUUAAUUCUUGCUUUAUCCGAUCACAACCAUCUCCUUCAGUCCAACUAUUUGAAUUUGCAAUUCCUUGCAGUGAAUAGCAAAAGGACACAUCUAACAAAUCCAAAAGGAAUGGAAGGUCUGGGAGUGCCUGAAGCAUUUUGCAAUUUCUUAAAUAUAGGGCUCUGAGUAGACCAAGAUCCUUGAUGCUUUCUGGAAGAAAACGAAUUGGAGUUCCACUUAAAUCUAGACUCUCCAAGAAGCGUGGCAGUGAAAAUGAGGUAAAUCUCAACAUUUUCCUCGUUGAAAACCUAGAGGGAAAGAAUAGCUUCAAUGGAAGAGAUGAAAUGAACGAUGUACUUGCAACAAUUCCAUCACUUUGAAGCAACUUGCGCCCCUGAUGAUGCUCUAACUCCAUAUUCAGGCUGUUAAGAUUUGAACAACCAUCUAAAACCAGCUCUUGAAGUGAAUUCAAUCUACUCAUUUCUUCUGGAAGCUCCAUAAGACUUGUACAAUUUCUUAGAUUUAAAAUCAACAAUCUUUGUAAAUCACCAAUAGAUUCGUGAAUUUGAACCAAACAGAUGCAGUCUUCAAGUAUUAGCUUUUCAAGGGCUGGGAGACCCGAGAAGUCUGGGGUUCUAAUGAGAUCACGAGAGUGACGUAGAUCAAGAAUUUUCAAUUUUGGAAGAAACUGUGAAAAUACAUGAAUUUAGUUUUUAUCAAUUGAAAACGAGAGAGAUAGCUAUAAAGAGACUUGAUACAUACCGUUUUCCUUCCAAGCAUCAACUAGACAACUUCUGGAUAGAUCAAGAACCACAAGCUUCUCCAAGCAUAUGAUUUGGUAUGGAGCUCCAAGACAAUCCAUGCCAACAUAACCAUAUCAAAUUCUUGGGAAAGUGCUCAAAACUUCCAUGAAAAUUAGUGUAGUUUAGUUGGAGAAAUUUUACAUCUGGCAUCUUUCUAAAAGCAUCCGUGCUGAGGAUGGGAAGCAAACUUGUUUGGCCAGUUUGUAAUUUUCCCCCAUUGGAAAACUUGGAAAGCCAUUGUUGAAAGAAGUUAAGCCUACGACACUUGCGACAAACCAUUGAAUCAGUACAGACAACUUCUGCAUAAUGAUCUUCCAUUAAUGCAUGCAUAUCAAUGUAAGGCCACGCAAUUUUUCAGCAUCCUGCAUAAUAAUAUUAAAAGUACAUGAGAAAGGAAAGUAGAUGAAUGAAUAUGUCAAGGCACCACAAACCAUUUAAGUAGACAUUAAAAAAAUACAGCUACUUACACUAGUUCCUUUCAAAACUGUAAAAGCAUCCCUGAUGCCAUAUUCUUUGACAUUUGGGUGAUUCUUGACGAGCAAUUUCCCUACCCAUAUCUCUUACUAGUUGAUGCAUCCACAACCUUUGAUCAUUGUUGAUUUCAACAAGACAUCUAUCGAUGAGAUUUCAAUCCCAAAUCUUGCACCUUUAUGAGCCCAUCCAGUAUCCUAACUGCAUCAUCCACAUCCAUUCCAUUGAAGAAACAUGCGAUAUCAAGGAAUAAGUUCUUCGGAUAAUCACCAUCAAGAAAGUCGUAACUUAUUCGAAGAACCUUAUGAACUUCAAAAUUAGGAAUCACUUCCAUUUGUUGUAAUGCGCUUUCCCAUAUCUCUCUUUCUUUUCCAGACAAUGAAGAGCCAAUAACUCCAAGAGCUAAUGGAAGUCCAUUACAAUGAUGUACUAUUCUCCAAGAGUCUUCGACAAAACCAUCAACAGGGUCAGCUUGUCCAAAGGCAUUCCAACUGAAAAGCUCAAGUGAUUUUUCAUCAUCUAGCGGUUCAACUUUGCACCGGAACCCCUCAAUAUCAUUAGCUGAAAACAGACCCUUAUUUCUGGUUGUUACAAUGAUUUUACUUCCUUUACAAAGCCAAUUUUGCAUGCCAAUGAUUUUAUUGAAUUGGUCCCUUUUGUCCACAUCAUCUAGAACAAUAAGAGUUCUUCUGCAACAUAAUGCAUCCUUAAUCUUCAGAAUUCCUUCAUCAGGAUCAUUUAUCUCAACAGUCUUGUUUAGGAUGUCGAAAAGAAGUUGCCUCUGUAGGCAAACUAUAUCCUUUGACCUAAAAUUUGAUAGAAAGCUCUUUCCUUCAAAUUCAUAAAAGUUAUGGUUAAAAACACUCUUAGCUAUGGUUAUCUUUCCAACUCCACCAAUUCCAUAAAGUAAAGCAAUGGCAGCACCAUGGGACCCAUCUUGCAACCAUGAGUUGAUAUCUUGUACUAGAGGAUCUCUUCCAAUGAAAUGAAGGGGUACAUGAAACAUUUUUUGAUCCAAAUUCUUUAGACCUUCUCCACAAUAGAUUGGACAAACGUGCCUCGUACCUACAUCAAAAAGUAAAAUACAUGUACGAUAAUUAGUAGUCUCUCUAUAAGCAAUAGAAAUAAACAACAUUUAGCUAAGAAAUUAAAGCAGGUUGUGUGUCAAUGAUUUGAUAGUUUAAACCAAAUCAUGAAUGAAAAAAAACAACGAAGAAAUCAAGAGUAUUUUAUUUUAUUUUUUUAUAUGUUUUCUUAUCAGUACACUUAACUGAAAGAAAUUAAGAGUACGACCACAUUCUAGUCUUAUGCUAUGUAUAGUUUCAUAAGAGAUACAACUUACCCAUCUCCUAAACCAUUCCAGCUAAAUCUGCAACUUCUUUAAAGCAAUCCUCCACCCAUCACCCGCUCCUCUCCUUGUUGAAGCUCUUUUCAUGUUCCACAAAUGCUGCAGCGAAGCUCCCUGUUUGACGUCCGACUUGGGAUGGAUCCACAUCAUAGAAUACUGGCAAAACUAUGCAGUCAUCAUUCCUCUUACGUUCCAUGAUCAUUACAAGUUCAUCAGGCACCAUCUCGACGAAGCAUAGUCUUUGGAGAACACGAUUAUCGAUAUUUUUGAUUGUUGUAUUGCCUUCUGGAGCUCGAAAUCCAUAUUCUCUCCUCUCCGAAUUUCAUUAUCAUCUCUAAAUGUGUGAAUCCCUGCUUGAACCAGAGCCGUGUAGAGGUGAUCGGUAAAGUUCUUGCGGGUGUCUUCCCCUCUAAAACUCAAGAACACUUGAUAUUUACAAUUAGGAAACCGUGAAGAGUAGGAUUCUUGAUAUUUCCCAGCAGCCAUUUCGAGUCUAGCAAAGAUAAGACUUUUCAAAGAUCUGGACAAAAAAAAAAGGAAUUGCAGGAUUAAAGUCGAUAGUUCAAGAUCGACAGCACACCAAUAAGCUGAAGUGUUCAUUUAUUAUUAUCUUACUUUAUCUUGAAAACAGUUUUCAAGUUAUUUCUUAGCAAUCAACUCCUCCAUGCCCUUUCAGAAAAAUAUCUGUACAUAUGAUAAAUCUCUAUGCUGAACCAACAAAAUUGGUUGAUGAGAUCAUCAAUAAUUAGUUUCUAACAGUGAAUUGAUUUAAGUGAUUAAUUCUAAAAGAGAUAAGAGAGAGAGUACCUGUAAUCUUUACUUGUAAGAGCAUCUCCGGAAAAAAAAGUUAGUUUGAAGAGUUAAAUUGAUAAAAUAAUAUUUUAAAUAAUAUAAAUAUAAUGUUUUUUUUAAUAAGUUUGAUGUUAUUUUUUUCAAGUUUAUUAAAAUAAUAAGGAACAAAUCUUACAAAUUAAAAAGUUGAAUGAGAAUGAAAUUGAAAAAAAAAUAUAAUUUCAUAAAUUAUCUCAAAUAAAAUAAAAAAUAAUUAAAAUAAUAGAGAUCAAAUCUAAAAAAUAAAAAUAAAAAAGAAGAUGAAGAAAUUAAAAUAAUAAUAAUUAACAUUUCAUAAAUUAUUUCAAAUAAAAUAAGUAACAAUAAAAAAAUUGAAGACCAAAUUUGAUAGAUACAAAAUUUCAAUAAAAACAAUGAUAAGGAAAAAGCAAAUAGCAAUUAUAAAAAUAAGGACCAAAGUUAAUAUAAAAAUAAAAUUUUAAGAGAUGAAAUUAAAAAAUAAAUAUUCAAAACAAAAAAUAUAUAUAUAUAUAUAUCAAUCAAAAGUUUGAAGAUCAAAUUUGAUAUAAUCAGUAAAUAAUGAUAUUUUUUAAUUUUUCACAACUUCCGGAAAGUGUUUUCCCCUCAAAUUUUUCAGGAAAACACUUUCCUGAAAACCAAGACAAAUUUUCCUUUUACUGGAAAGUGUUUUCCAUUGAUCAACUUUCCUACUAGCAAACAAAUACAAGAAAGUUUGGAAAAUUAUUUUCCGGAAACCACUUUCCGGAAAACAAACACAGCUAAAGGGAAAACAUUUUCCUGAAAACCAAGUCAAAUUUUUCUUUGACUGAAAUUGAUUGAAAAGUGUUUUCCGUUGACCGGAAUGUAUUUUUCGUUGACUAGAAAGUGUAUUUUAUUUACCAACUUUUCUAAUAACAAACAAACAUAUAAAAAUUUAAAAAAUGAUUUGUCGAAAACUGCUUUUCGAAAGACAGAGAUAGCCAAAGUCAGCCUUCGAAGUCGCUGUGGUAUGGGCCAUUUCCGCGUGAGGACCCUUUUUUAAAAAAAUUGCUCAAGUCAUUUAUCACGCGUAUACUAGGGCCUGAAUUCUUGCUAUAAUUACCAAAAGGGACAUUAGACACGCACACAACACAUAAUCCCUCCCAUCAACUCACACGGUUCUUCUUACUUCACCCACCAGUAAGAAAAAGGCACGUGGAGGAUAAGGCUCUUCAUAUCUGACUUGGAAAGUUUACUAGGGCCUGUAAUUCUUGUAGCAUCAUUUGAAUCUGCUGAAAGUAAAGUAGAUUUAUGAAGAAUUAAUUGAAAAACAAAUGGUUAAAUUAAAUAAAUUAGUCAACUAGUAUAAUAUUUAGAUUAGUAUUUCAUUUAAAUAAUUUAAUUUCUUGUUUAUUUAGAAUUUAAAAUUUAUGGAUUUUGAGGUGUUUAAUGGUUUGUUCUCAUAUAUAAAAAAACUCGUGAAUUAGAUUUUUUAUAAAUAAAUUUUAAAUUAAAAUAAAAAAAAAUAGUAUUUUAACUAAAUCUUGCUAACUCUCAGUGAAAUUAAAUCAUAUCAAUAUCAAAUAAUUAUUUUUAAAACAAGGUAAAAUAAUCUUAAUUUUAUAAAAUAAUUGACUUAAGUUAAUUGGAUAAUACAGUUACUAAAAUUUAUUUUAAAAACAUGUUCAAAAAUAUGAUAAUGGUUGUUUUUCAAAGUGUUUUUUAUUUCAAAAGAUAUUAAAAUAAUAUUUUUUUUAUUUUUUUAAAUUAUUUUUGACAUCAGCACAUCAAAAUAAUCUAAAAAUAUAAAAAAAAUAUUAAUUUAAAAAAAAAAUAUUAAAAUUUUAAAAAAAAAAAUUCCAACAUAUAAUAUCAAACACACCCUAUAUUUGUAAUCAGAACAAGUCUACAACUGGGCCCAAGGCAUGGGCGAAUGGUUUUAAAAAUGAGAGAGAAAGGGUGGAUUGUAAUUUUAGGACAAGUCAUCCCUACAAGGAAUUUUCCAUGGCUAAUGCCGGUUGCAGAAAGUCGGAAUGUCUAGGCUUGACCAGUUAUGCAUUGAAAGUUUUGGUGCCGGGAGUUGACGGCUAUUGACCUGGUGAAGUAAGAAUCAAGUUAGAAAAUAAAUUCCACAAGUUGAUGGCUAUUGACCUGGUGAAGUAAGAAUCAAGUUAGAAAAUAAAUUUUCGAUGGCUAAUAUGGAAUUUGAGGUGUUUAAUGGUUUGUUCUCGUAUAUAAAAAACUCGUGAAUUAGAUUUUUUAUAUAUAAAAUUUAAAUUUAAAUAAAAAGAUAUUAAUUUAACUAAAUUUUGCUAACCCCCAAUGAAAUUCAAUCAUAUCAACAUCAAAUAAUUAUUUUUAAAACAAAAAAUAAAAUAAUCUUAUUGUUAUAAAAUAAUCUUAUUGUUAUAAAAUAAUUGAUUUAAGUUAAUUAGAUAACUCAGUUAUCCAAAAUUUAUUUUAAAAACGUGUUUAGAAGUAUCAUAGCGGUUGUUUUUUAAAGUGUUUUUUAUUUUAAAACACAUUAAAAUAAUAUAUUUUUUAUUUAUUAAAAUAAUAUAUUUUUUAUUUAUUAAAAAUUAUUUUUAACAUAAAUACAUCAAAUUAAUCUAAAAAUAUAAACAACAUAUUAAUUUUAAAUAAAAUAAAAUUAAUUUUUUAAAAAACACUUCUAACACAUAAUACCUAACACACCCUGUAUUUGUAAUCCGACCAGUCUACAACUGGGCCCAAGACAUGGGCAUGGUUUUAAAAUUGAGAGAGAAGGGGUGGAUUGUAAUUUUAAGACAAGUCAUCCCCACAAGUCCACUCUCUCUAUGGUAUGGAAUGUUUCCGCGUGAGGACUUUUUUGGUUUUAUUCUGAUCAAGACUUGGAUGUUGAAUAUAAUCACUAAUUUUGGUGCCAGGAAUUGAUGGCUAUAUAUUGACGAGUUAGAAAAUAAAUUCCACAAGUUGAUGGCUAUUGACCUGGUGAAGUAAGAAUCAAGUUAGAAAAAUCUAAUUCAGAUGAGAAGUUGAUGGCUAUUAUUUCCUGUAUUUUCCAAUCAGUUUCUCUGACCUCACAUGCUUUUAUAAAUGUUUUUUUUUUUUCAAUAAAACAUCGUUAGUAGACCAAACAACAACAGCUAAAUUAAUACAAAAAAAAAAAAUAUUGUCUUCGGUUUAGACCAAAACAUAUUGUAUCAAAUGUCUUUCAAGUAGUUAAGCAAAGAAAUCUCAUCAUACUAAAAACAAAUCGGGAUUGCUUUCAAUUUACUCCUAACAUUUAGGACUAAUGCAACUUUUCUUUUUUAGUUGUUUCACUACUAGAAAUUUUCUAGCAAAUAGUUACGAAAAUACCUACAAAAAAUAUUCCACCAAUAAAAUAGAAACUUUAUGCUAUUUAUUUCUGAUAUAGAUAGCGAAGAAUUAUAUAUGUAAUAUCAAAAAUUUCUAAUCGAAUAAAAAAAAUAAAUAAAUAAUAAAAAUUUCAUUUAAAAUUUCACUAGAAAGGUGCUCAACGAGCUCGUGUCGUAAGUGAAUAUCUAUCUUUUAAGUGUUUAUUCUUGAUCGGUACCUAACAAUUCAUGAUCGUCAGAAGCAUUGCUAAAAGAACUAACAAUGAUCAUGUUCAUAUAACACGCGAUUAACUUUUCCCUUAGCACAUCUACACAAAUUAAAAAAUUAAAAUGUCAUAAACCAUUUCUAUUUUCUUAAAAAAAUAGCACCACCUCCUUUAUACAAGAGAAAAUAAUUUAAAUUGAAUUGCUACAAACCAAUUGAUUUUAUUCAAUCUGUUUCCUAUCAUUGAGUGAAGAGUUCACUCAACUUGUAUUGGACCUAGUUUUAAGAUUAUUUUUUAAAAUUGUUUUAUAUUAAUACAUAUAUCUAAUGGGCAGCCUUUAUCAUGUUUCAAAUUGUAUGUUAAUUAGCCAAUUGCAUGUAAAUGAGUUCAAUUCUGAACUAACUACCUAAAAAUAAUUUUAAUAAGUGAAAGUCAAUUUUGGUCCAUAUUUUGAUUUAUAUAUAUAUAUAUUUUUUGAUUUUUUUUCAAUUUCAUCCCUUAAAAUUUUAUUUUUAUAUUAACUUUGAUUCUUAUUUUUAUAAUUAUUAUUUGAUUUUUCCUUAUCAUUUUUUAAUUGAAAUUGUUUUUUAUCUAUCAAAUUUGGUCCUCAUUAUUUUGAUUGUUACUUUUUUUAUUUGAAAUAAUUUAUGAAAUGAUAAUUAUUAUUAUUUUAAUUUCUUCAUCUUUCAAUUUUUUAUUUGUUAUAUUUGAUCUCUAUUAUUUUAAUUAUUAUUUAUUUUAUUUGAGAUAAUUUAUGAAAUUAUAUUUUUUUAACAAUUUAAUUUUCAUUCAACUUCUUAAUUUGUAAGUUAUUUUUCAGCUCAUUUUCCAUAAUAUAACAAAACACUGGAAAAUAUUUUCCAACUUAUUUUCUAUUACACUACCAAACAUCGAAAAAUAAUUUAUUUUUUCAAAAUUCACUUUCCAAACAGAAACUAUUUUCCAGCAAACAAAUGAGGCCUUAAUUCUGAACUAAUUACCUAAAAAACAUUUUAAUAAUUGAAGUCAAUUUUGGUCCCUAUUUUCUUGUUAUUUCACAAACAAACCCUCAAUUGGUCACAAUCUUUAAUAAUCUUUUCAAUUAUGCCACUUGAUUUCUUUGAUUGAGCACUUGGUGUCUUUUAUAGUAUGGUCCUUGGUCUUAAUAUUCUUUAAUUUCAUCCUCAAUUGCCCUUUUAUAAUUUAAAUUUUUUUUAUUCCGGGACAAAUUCUCAAUUUAACAUGAAAAUCCAGGAAUUUGUUUUUUAUUUAACAUGAAUUAACAACAAACAUUAUCUAACGCACGCAUAUGCUUUUCAUAUUAUACAAUAAAACAUCCAACACAUAAACAACUUCAUAAGUUAAGGAUUGCAUAUUCGAUUUCCUAUCACUGAAAAGUUCUCUGCGAUGUUUCUGAUAAAGCACGGGCACGAAGGGGAUGCGUUUGAAGUGGGAUGAUAAUAAGAAAUACACCUGCUGAGAUUGUAGCUCACAAUUUUAAAUUAUUCAGCGUGACUAACUUUUUUCUACAUUGAGACCACAUGGGGGUUAUGGUUGUCUUUCCAGCAACAUCCUUCAAGAAUGCUCGAUUGGGGAGGAGCUUAGGCCUAUUAUAGCCAAGUAUGCUAUAAUGCGUGUCGCGACUAACAUCGCGGCAAUCUUGAAAAAAAUCAAUGAAAAAUAUAAAUUCUGACAUCUUAUUUUUUAAUGGAAAAAUAUUUUAUUUAAGAAGUCGCAAUCUAAUAUUAUGAUCACUAGAAAUCCUAACUGGUUAAUAAAAAUUUUACGGUACGGGACUAGUUAUAUAAAAAGAAAGAUAUUAUCACUCCUUUAACGUUCUGCCUGAGACAGACUGUAUUGCUGAUUUUAUUUUAAAUUGCUAAUAGUUUGCGGGUGUAUGCCAUGAUGGUUUGCUUGUAAUAUUUUUAACUCUAAUGUCAGUGAAUAUUCAACCACGGAUACUUCCAACUCUAGUGUUGGUAAAUAUUACGUAGUAAAAAAUAAAAUAAAAACGAAUGGUAUUCUUAACUCUGAUAUUAGUGAAUAAACCAAUAAGAUGAAUUUAAAUCUAUGCAUGCAUAUUUUUUUUAAAAAAAUAUCGUACACUGGAUUUGCAUUUAACAUUAAAAAUUUAUAGAUUAAUUACACAGUGAAAUACUAAAAAAAUCUAAGGGACUUACAAAUAAAUUCAAAAUGGUCCACGAAAAUUUUUGGAAUUUUUUUGAUAUAUAUAUAAAAAAGAGAGUUUCAUUUAGCCAAAUAACAAAAUAAAGGAAUAAAAUAAAGGGGAUUGGGCUGGUUGGGCCUGAACCCAACCCAAUUAUUCUUUUUUUUUUGCUGAGUCCAGCUCAGCCUGUAUAGGUUGGGUUACAUCUAAUGACCCAGCCCAGUCAUUGGCUCAAGCGAAUGACUCGGCUGGUCACUGUGCAUGCAUGCAUGAAUUACUCACGCAUGCUUUGCACAGUGACAGGGUAAUUAUUUUGCCUCUGUAGGAACUGAAUUUGCAAAGCAGGGUAACGGAAAGAGAGCGUACCUGGAGCUGCUGCCUGAAGACGAGGAUGAUGGUGAGGCCGUGAGGGGGAGUUGGUUAACCAAUGUUCCCCUCUGCUUCUGUUUUUCCUUCCCUUCUUCUCUGAUUUCUGGUCUCUUUUUUUUGCUUGAUUUUAUUCUUCCUCUGUUUGUGUUCUCUGAUCUUUGAUUCUUUCUCUGUUUCCUUCGUUAUGUCCUCUCUGCGUUUACUCCCCUGUUCUCCUUCGCGUCCGUCUGUUGAAGAGGGGUGGUGCAACCGGAGACUAGGCUGGCGCUCGUGCGCUGGCUGGCCAAUGCUUCUCUCUGUUUCUGUCUCGUUUGCUUCUCCAGUCUUCCCCUGGUUUUUUUUGUGUUCUCCCCUGGUUCCUCCUCUGGUUUUUUUCACUGGUUUGUGUUUUUGGCCCCCCUCUCUCGGUCUCUUUCUAUUUAGUUCCUCCUAGUCUCUAUCUUUUCUGUCUCCCCUGCGUCCUGUGUGGUCUCCUGGAAUGCUUUGUUGCUGUGAAAGAUGGAGCUCUGGAGCUGCUGCAAGAAUACAACGGUCUGGACUCACCUUUAAAAAGUCCAAGUGGUUAGAACUUAUUGGUUCUUCAAAAUUUGUUGUUUUUACUACAACAACAUUACACAUACUGUAAAUAUCACUUAAAGAUAUUGUCCCCCUUACUAGUUUGUCAUCAACAUCACCAUCCUUUGCAUCAUCCAUUCCAUUUUGUUGCUUCUAUUUUAGCUCUUCAAUAAAGCAUUUUCCCAGUUCUAUAUAGUACCUUCUACAACUUUUAUAUCUCUAGCAAUCACCACCUUGUUAAAUUUCAAAUCAUAGAUUCUAUAGGCCUUAAAUUGACUGUUAUAACCUAUAAGAAUUCCUACAUUUGCCUUGUGAUCAAGUUUACGCCUUUUAAUUUUAGGUUUCAAAACAUAACAAGGGGCUGCCAAAAACUUUUAAAUGAUGAGUAUUGGGUUUAAAACCAUACCAUUUCUCAUAGAAAGUCUUAUCUUUCAAAGCUCUUGUGGCCAUUCAAUUGAGAAGGUAAAAUGCUAUGUUUGCUGCCUAACCUAGAAUUUUAAUGAUAUUGUCUUCUCGUAUAGCAAACAUUCCAUCACUGUUCUGUUUCUCCUCUUAUUGACCCUAUUUUAUUGUGGAGUAUAGGUCAUUGUUAGCUAAUGUGUGAGCUCUUCUUUCACCAAUUUUCCCUCAAACUAUCUAGAGGAGAGCGUGUUUGGGAGUGUGGUAGUAAUUGCUUUUCAAAGUAUUUUUCAUUCCAAAACACAUUAAAAUAAUGUUUUUUAUUUUUUAAAAAUUAUUUUUAAUAUCAGCAUAUCAAAAUGAUCUGAAAACACCAAAAAUAUAUUAAUUUGAAAAAAAAAAUUUAAAUUUUUUCAAAAACGCUUCCGAAACGUAAUGCCAAACAAUGUCCCAGCCCCAUUGUCAGACCUUAACAUUUUUAGUUUGUUUCUUAUUUCUACCUCAACUAUUAUCUUAAACUUCACAAACUCAGCAAAUACAUCAACCUUGAAUUUUAAAAAAUAAACCUUAUAAUACUUGCUCUAAUUAUCAAUAAAUAGUAAAAAAUAAUUUUAACCAUUCAAAGAUUCAUUUUGCAAAGGACCACACACAUGUAUGUGCAUUAACGGGAGUGUUAGUGAAGCUCUAAAGCUUUUAUCAGGAAAAACACUUCUAAUCUACUUUUCUAAGUGACAGGUCUCACAAAUGUCAUUUAUUCUUGUAUUUUUAGCAUACCAAAGGCCAUCUGCAAAUCAACUAUCUUUUUCAAGGUUCCAUAAUUAAAAUACCAUAACCUUUUGUGCUAUAGAACAUUAUCAUUUUCAACAAUAGUGUUAGCACGCAAAAAAACUUAUUUCUAAUCAACAUUAAAACUCUUAUCCAUAAUUUUAAUAGUGAGCAAUAAUAACCCUUUUAUUGUCUUUAAUGUCACACACUCCAUCAUUAAAAAAAACAAUGAGUAACCAGGUUCAAUUAGUUGUCCUAUACUGAUAAAGUUUCUACUUUAACAGUUCCUUUUCCCUAAGCCUUCAAAUAGUUUUCAUUAUCAAUUUUGACUCUAGACAUUAUUUUAAUACUGGUGUCUGUGCUGAAAAGCUUGAAGAUUCCAUUUUCAAACCCCACUAAUCUCGUGUUUCAAUCAUAACUCUUCAAAGAUCAAGGUGGGCUCUUCAAAUGGUAUUUAGAGAAAUUAGCUUAAUCAAAGAACAAAGGGCAUAACAAGAACUUCUAGGUUACUGUCAUCCCUUAAAUUUAUUUAUAGACAAAAUCAAAGAUUACAAGAUCUUUAUCAUAAAGAAAAGGAAUCAUAACAGCCAUAAUUCCCUUCAUCUAAGGGAUUACAUAACUACAUAGGCUUAUUCUAAGCUAAACAAAUAUCUAGCUAAACUCAAGUCUAAAAAACAGAACAUAAAGAAAAUACCAUAACAUAUAUAUAAAUAUGGCUAAAAACUAGCUGAUAACAACCUGUGCCUCCAUUUCAACAAUUUUCUCCCUUGCUGUUGGCUCCGAUCCUAACCCUAUGUAUAUGAAUUUGGAAAAUAAUCAUGUCCAUUUAAACUCUGAUUCAGAUGAAGCUUCACCACAUUCUGCUUCAGACAUCUACUGGUGGAUUGUCACAGACACAUCAAGUUAAUGAAGAGCAAUGCUCCUAUUCGAUUGAUUUGGAAUUGAAAGUGCAUGAAGAAGACAUCGGGAAAGAUUUGUUGCACAGAGAAUCUGAUGAUGGCCUUCUUAACUACUUGGAUGAGGAAAAAUAUGAUUUGGUUUGUGAGGGUGGUAUUAUUUACACUUGGCUAAGGAUGAUCCCAAAGUCUUCGAUGUGGUUAAGACUGUUGAAGAUGGUAGCUGGACAAUAUUGAAGAUGGUAGCUGGACACUGAAUCACAAAUCAAAUUGGUCUGCUUCAUACAAAAAAAUAAUACAGAUUCAUAGUUGUACACUGAGUGCUAAAUUAUUUUAGGUUUAAAAAAGCCUUCAAUAUGACAACAAAUCUAAAAAAAAUUCAACUCAACCCAUCAUUAUUUUCACUCUUAAUUUCUUUUCAAAAACACACUAGUGUUUGAUGAGCUCCUAUCAUCAUCAGUUCCUUCCUCUUCAUGCAGCAUUCGUAGACCAACCCUCUUUAUUUGAACAACCGGAUCAUCUGUAAACACUGAAACACUGAAUUUAUCACCGUUAUCAAACGCAGGAUCAUUGGACCCAAAUUUCCAAUAGCUUAGCCAUAACAAUUCAGAUUUUUUGGCCGAAAACUCUAUCGGAAAAAUCGAGGGGUAAAAAACCCAGAAUCUACCCUUGGUAUUGUUCCUGAUUUCAAGAUAAACAUAGAGGCAGCAUAAUCCAACUCAUCCACUCUCGUUGUGCGCCUGCUCUGGCCGUAUCUCUAUCCUCUCGCAUCCAAAACUAGCAUCAACACCACCCACCAAUAAGAAAAAGGCACGUGGAGGAUCAUGACUCUGAAUCAGCUACUGGGUCGGCUACCGAGUGGUGUUUCGUUUUGAGCCAUUGAGUAUUGCUGUGGAGUGGAGGGACAUUGAAGCUGCACAAUGUUUGGUGUCUUACAAGUGCUGAUGGCAAGAGGUUUAUUGAGUGGGGGUUCUAUAAGAAUGGAGGUUCCAUGGUGUGAUAGUAAUACGAUUCUGUUGUCAAAAGAGUAUGUGAGGUUUCCCGUUGAGUUGGCUCAUCGGAAAAUUGGAAGAGAACUCGAGCGUUUUUUAGUUGUUUAAGAGAAAACAGCAAAGGGGUUUGUGGAGUUCACCGUCUUGGAAAAUGGUGAGCAGCAACAAGGUGACAAGUAAGAUAAGAUAUUUAAUAUAUUUUAUUAUAAAUACAAGAUUUUAUAAAUAAAAAUCAAUUAAUAAAAUAAUAACAUAUUACAACGGGAAAAAAAGUGAAAGCCAUUACAAAUAUUUAUAAAUAAAAGAUCUCAUGCUAUACAAAGAAAGAAGGAAGAUUACAAGAGAUUCAAAACUAUUUUCCUGAUAAGCUUUCCAAAAAAAAAGAAAAAACAAUUUCAAAAGCUUUUCACUUUUGUUGUUGAAUUUUAAUUCUAUCUUUUAAUUUGAUAAUUUUCAAUCAAAAUUAAUUUAAAUUUUUUUAAUUUUGAUGAUUAUUAUAUUUUAUUUUUAUAAAAAAAUAUCUAUAUUAAUUUAUUGUAAAAAUUUAAUAUAAUCAAAUUAAUUUUUAAAUAAAAUAAAAUAUAUUCAAAUUAUAGAAUCCUCUUAAUUAUAUUUUCAAGACAUAUCCACUUUUUUUAUUAUUACAAGUAGACUUGUCUGGAAAGGAUAUAUGUAGAAGCAAAAAAGAAUUACCAAUUAAAUUUUACCAUGUAUUAUUUUUUAUUUUAUUUUUAUAUAAAAAGAUGAAAUAAAACAGAUAAAAUAACAUAAAAAAUGAAUCAUUACAUAUAUUUUGGUAUUGACACAUAAAAUAAUAUAUUUCAUAUAUCUUAUUAUAAAUCCAAGAUUUUAUAAAUAAAAAUCAAUUAAUAAAAUAAUAUCAUAUUACAGGGAAAAAAGAAAGAAAGUGAAAGUCCUGACAAAUAUUUAUAAAUAAAAGAUCUCAUGCUUUCCAUUAUAAAGAAAGGAGGAAGAUACAAAACUAUUUUCAUGAUAAGCUUUUCAAGAAAAAAGAAAAAACAUUUCAAAAGCUUUCCAGCUUUUUUAAUGUUACGGUUGAAAUCUAAAAAAAGCAAAACCUCUACUUUGGUUAUAGACGUCUCUUUUCAAAAUACCACCCACCCCUAUUGUCAUCAUUGGGGUUAUAAUGGAAACCACAAUAAUAAUUUCUAAAAAUACUAGAAGCUAUUUCUACUUUGGCCGCGUGUGCAUCAUCGCUACUGUUGUGGGCAUUGAUAACUUCAUCCUUUGAUUGGAUAUCAUCAUCAUCCUUUCCUUCCUCUUCAUGCAACCAUUGUACACCAAUCGUCUUUACUUGAAUAAAUGGAUCAUGUGGAAGCACUGAAAUACUCACGUCAUCACCAUUAUCAAAGGUAGGAUGGAUUUCACGAGCACCACGCGCGUAAGCAAAAGGGUAGACAGAGGCUAGAUGACGCAAGGAUCGACCACUGGUAUUGUUUCUGAUUUCAAUAACAACUAGACUAGAGUAUCUGUAUGCUGACGCCACACAACUUGUGAAUAGAUUAAAGCCACAUAUCCGGUGUGCAGGAAGAGCUGGGGAUAUUUUGAAUGAAAAGUUAUCUCCAAACUCAUUCUGAAUUAGCCAUUUAUCCUCUUCUUCCUCCUCAUAAAACCUAAACUCCUCAUCAAAUGCAUAUACGUAGAGUUUUCCAUGAUCAAAUAUUAUCUGCACCACCAAAACAAUGUCUAUAAAAUGAGCAAAAGAAAAGUAUUCAAAUGUAGAUUUCAAAGACAAUAAAAUGGGCGAGGGAGGACCUGAAAUCUGGAUGGCUGUAUUUGAGCUCUAACCGUUUCCAUUAUUCUGAACACGUGAGAGUCAAACUUUUGGAUUAAUUCUUGCUUUAUCCGAUCUUGGAACUCGACAAAGUGAUCACAACCAAAUGCUAAAAUCGAACCGUGUCGAUUUGAAAGGCUUUGCAGUGAAUAGCAAUAGCACACAUCUAACAAAGCCAAAUGGGAUGGAAGCUCUGGGAGUGCCUGAAGCAUUUUGCAAUUUUUUAAGAAUAGGUAUCUGAGUAGACCAAGACCCUUGAUGCUUUCUGGAAGAGAACGAAUUGUUGUUCCAUUUAAAUUAAGUUUAUCCAAGAAGCGUGGCAGUGAAAACGAGGUAAAUCUCAACAUUUUCCUCGCUGAAAACCUAGAGGGAAAUAAUAGCUUCAAUGGAAGAGAUGUAAUGUAUGAUGCACUUGCAACAAUUCCAUCACUUUGAAGCAAGCUGCGCCCCUGAUGAUGCUCUAACUCCAUAUUCAGGAUGUCAAGAUUUGAGCAACCACCUAAAACCAGCUCUUGAAGUGAAUUCAAUCUACUCAUUUCUUCUGGAAGCUCCAUAAGACUUGUACAAUUUCUUAGAUUUAAGAUCAACAGUUUUUGUAAAUCACCAAUAGAAUCGUGAAUUUGAAUCAAACUGAUGCAGUCUUCAAGUAUUAGCUUUUCAAGGGCUAGGAGACCCGAGAAGUCAGGGGUUCUAAUGAGAUCACGAGAGUGACGGAGAUCAAGAACUUUCAAUUUUGGAAGAAACUGUGAAAUACAUGAAUUUAGUUGUUAUCAAUUGAAAACGGAGAGAUAGCUAUAGAAAGUGACUCAUGAUACAUACCAGUUUGCCUUUCCAAGCAUCAACUAGACAACUUCUGGAUAGAUCAAGAACCACCAGCUUCUCCAAGCAUACGUGAUUUGGUAUGGAUCUCCAAGACAAUCCAUGCCAACAUAACCAUAUCAAAUUCUUGGGAAAGUGCUCAAAACUUCCAUGAAAAUUAGUGUAGUUUAGUUGGAGAAAUUUUACAUCUGGCAUCUUUCUAAAAGCAUCGUGCUGAGGAUGGAAACAAACUUUUUUGUAAUUUUCCCCAUCGGAAAAAUCAGAAAGCCAUUGUUGAAAGAAGUUAAGCCUGCGGCGCUUGCGCAACCAUUGAAUCAGUACAGCAACUUCUGCAUAAUUAUCUUCCAUUAAUGCAUGCAUAUCAAUGGUAAGGCCACGCAAUUUUUCAGCAUCCUGCAUAAUAAUAUUAAAAGUACAUGAGAAAGGAAAGUAAAUGAAAGAAUAUGUUAAGGCACCACAAACCAUUUAAGUAGACAUAAAAAAAUUGAGCUACUUACAGUAGUUCCUUUCAAAACUGUAAAAGCAUCCUCGUGACGCCAUAUUCUUUGACAUUUGGGAUUCUUGACGAGCAAUUUCCCUUCCCAUAUCUCUUACUAGUUGAUGCAUCCACAACCUUUGAUCAAUUGUUGAUUUCAACAAGACAUCUAUCGAUGAGAUUGUCAAUCCCAAAUCUUGCACCUUUAUCGAGCCCAUCCAGUAUCCUAACUGCAUCAUCCACAUCCAUUCCAUUAAAGAAACAUGCGAUAUCAAGGAAUAAGUUCUUCAGACAAUCACCAUCAAGAAAGUCGUAACUUAUUCGAAGAACCUUUUGAACUUCAAAAUUAGGAAUCACUUCCAUUUGUUGUAAUGCACUUUCCCAUAUUUCUCUUCCUUUUCCGGACAAUGAAGAGCCAAUAACUCGAAGAGCUAAUGGAAGUCCACUACAAUGAUGUACUAUUCUCCAAGAGUCUUCUACAAAACCAUCAGCAGGGUCAGCUUGUCCAAAGGCAUUCCAACUGAAAAGCUCAAGUGAUUUUUCAUCAUCUAGCGGUUCAAACUUUGCACCGGACCCCCUCAAUAUCAUUAGCUGAAAACAGACCCUUAUUUCUUGUUGUUACAAUGAUUUUACUUCCUUUACAAAGCCAAUUUUGCACGCCGAUGAUUUUAUUGAAUUGGUCCCUUUUGUCCACAUCAUCUAGAACAAUAAGAGUUCUUUUGCAACAUAAUGCAUCCUUAAUCUUCAGAAUUCCUUCAUCUUCAUCAUUUAUCUCAUCAACAGUCUUUUUUAGGAUGUCGGAAAGAAGUUGCCUUUGCAGGCAAACUAUAUCCUUUGAUCUAAAAUUUGAUAGGAAGCUCUUUCCUUCAAAUUUAUGAAUAUUCUGAUUAAAAACACUCUUUGCUAUGGUUGUCUUCCCAACUCCACCAUUUCCAUAGAGUAUAGCAAUGGCAGCAUCAUGGGACCCAUCUUGCAACCAUGAGUUGAUAUAAUUUACUAGAGGAUCUCUUCCAAUGAAAUGAAGGGGUACAUGAAACAUUUUUUUAUCCAAUUUCUUUGAGACCUUCUCCACAAUAGAUUGGACAAACUGUGCCUCGUACCUACAUCAAAAAGUAAAAUACAAUGUGUGAUAAUUAGUAGGCUCUCUAUAAGCAAUAGAAAUAAACAACAUUUAGCUAAGAAAUUAAAGCAGGUUGUGUGUCAAUGAUUUGAUGGUUAAAACCAAAUCGUGAUUGAAAAAAAAAAACAAAGAAGAAAUCAUAAGUAUUUUAUUUUAUUUUUCUUAUAUGUUUUCUUAUCAAUACACUUAACUGAAAGAAAUUUAGAGUUCACUACCAGCAUUAUAGUCUUAUGCUAUGUGUAGUUUCAUCAAGAGAUACAACUUACCCAUCUCCUAAAUCCAUUCCAGCUAAAUCUGCAACUUCCUUCAAAGCAAUCCUCCACCCAUUCACCCGCUCCAUCUUCUCCUUGUAAUGCUUUUCAUGUUCCACAAAUGCAGCAGCAAAGCUCCCUGUUUGAUUUCUGACUUCAGAUGGAUCCACAUCAUAGAAUACUGGCAAAACUAUACAGUCAUCAUUCCUCUUACGUUCCAUGAUCAUUACAAGUUCAUCAAGGCACCAUCUUGACGAAGCAUAGUCUUUGGAGAACACGAUUAUCGAUAUUUUCGAUUGUUGUAUUGCCUUCUGGAGCUCGAAACAUAUGUUCUCUCCUCUCUGAAUUUCAUCAUCAUCUCUAAAUGUGUGAAUCCCUGCAUCAACCAGGGCCUUGUAGAGGUGAUCGGUAAAGUUCUUGCAGGUGUCUUCACCUCUAAAACUCAAGAACACUUGAUAUUUCCCGGGAGCCAUUCCAAUUCUAGCAAAUAUAAGACUUUUCAAAGAUCUGAACAAAAAAAAAGGAGUUGCAGGAUUAAUGUCGAUAGUUCAAGAUCGACCGCACACCAAUAAGCUGAAGUAUUCAUAUAUUAUUAUCUUACUUUUUCUAUAAAACAAUUUUCAAGAUUUCCCAGCAAUCAACUCCUCCAUGCCCUCUCAGAAAAAUAUUUGUACUUAUGAUAAAUUAAAUCUCUAUGCUGAACCAGCAAAAUCGGUUGAUGAGUUACAUUCCACAAUAUAACAUAAUACCAAAAGAGAUGAGCAGAGUUACCUGCAAUCAUCACUUUCCCUUCGCUGAUGUUCUCUUAUCAGUUCAUCAAUUUUCUGCUUUUAAAUCAACCUUAAAAGUCUCUGUGGUAUGGGCCAUUUCUGCGUUAGGACCUUUUUUGUUUUUUUAAUUUGCUCAAAAUUGAGAGAGAAAGGUUGGAUUGUAAUUUUAAGACAAGUCAUCCCCACAAAUCCACUCUCUCUAUGGUAUGGAAUGUUUCCGAGUGAGGACUUUUUUGGUUUUAUUUUGAUCAAGACUUGGAUGUUGAAUAUAAUCACUAAUCUAUUUGAUUAUACAAAUGCACACUGAAUUUUCCAUGGCUAAUGGCGGAAGCAGAAAGUCGGAAUGUCUAGGCAUGACCAGUUAUGCAUGGAAAAUUUUGGUACCAGGAAUUGAUGGCUAUUGACAUGGUGAAGUAAGAAAAAAGUUAGAAAAUAAACUCCACAAGUUGAUGGCUAUAAACAUCAUUUCUGUUUCUCUUUUUUCUCAUAUCUUUUGCUUCGUGGUUGGUAUCACUGUAUUCCUUUAACAAUAUCUUUUGCUCUGAGUAGACGAAGAUCCUUUAUCUUAAAAAAAACAGAGUUGCAGGAUUGAUGUCGAGAGUUCAACAUCGACAGCACACCAAUAAGCUAAAGUAUUCAUAUAUUAUUAUCUUACUUUAUCUUUAAAACAGUUUUCAAGUUAUUUCCCAGCAAUCAAAUCCUCCAUGCCCUUUCAGAAAAAGAUUAUGAUAAAUUUCUAUGCUGAACCAACAAAAUCGGUUGAUGAGAUCAUCAAUAAUUAGUUUCUGACAGUGAAUUAAUCGAAGUGAUUCUCAGUUACAGCAGAGAUAUAUUCCACAAUAUAACAUAAUACUAAAAGAGAUAAGAGAGAGAGAGUACCUGCAAUCUUCACUUUCCCUUCGCUGAUGUUCUCUUAUCAGUUCAUCAAUUUUCUGCUUUUAAGUCAACCUUACAAGUCUCUGUGGACCUUUUUCUCUUUUAAUUUGCACAAAUCAUUUAUCACACGUUUACUAGGGCCUGUAAUUCUUGUUAUAAUUACCAAAAGGGACAUUAGACACACACACAACACAUAAUCCCUCUCAUCAACUCACACGGUUCUUCUUACUUCACCCACCAGUAAGAAAAAGGCACGUGCAGGAUCAAGGCUCUUCAUAUCUGACGUGGAGAGUUUACUAGCCUGUAAUUUUGCAUCAUUUGAAUUGAUUCUAGCUUUUUCUUUCUGUUGAAAGUCAAGUGUAUAUAUAUGAAGAAUUAGUCAGAAAAACAAAGCAAUUGGUUAAAUAGGGAUGGUAGGAGGGGAAGUUGCUGAUUACAUUUUAUCUGUUUCUCUGGACAACAUUUCUGCUGGUGUCUUUAGAAGACAAACUUAUGCCAAGAAAGAGAGAGAGAGUUUCUCAUGUUGGAAAUGCAGAGUGUUUAACUCAGAGUCCUGUCUUGAACUCUAAGGCUGAGUGUACAACAACUUCAAAAGAAGUAUGUAAAACUGGGGAAAGACAUUCUGAAGAAUUUUGGAUGGUUAGAUCUCGGGAGGAAGGUUUAUCCUUGGGAGGGUGGAUUAUCAAAAUCACAAAAAAAAUUUCUAAUAAUAAGAGAAGCUAUUUCUGCUUUUGAUACAGGUACAUUAUCAUUGUGUUAACUUCACUGUUUGAUGAGCUGCUAUUAUCAUCAGUUCCUUCCUCUUCAUGCAGCAUUCGCAUAACAACUGGAUCAUCUGUAAACAUUGAAAAACUGAAUUCAUCACCAUUAUCAAAUGCAGGAUCAUUGCCCCCAAAUUUCCAAUAGCUUAGCCAUAACAAUUCAGAUUUUUCGGCCAAAAAUUAUAUCGAAAAAUUGAGGGGUAAAAAACCCAGACUCUACCCUUCGUAUUGUUUCUGAUUUCAAGAUAAACAAGACGAUAAGGAUUGCAUACUGACAUAGCAGAAAACCAUGUGAAUAGAUCAAAGCCACAUAUCCGGUGCGCGGCGGGUGAGGAUAUUUUGAAUGACAAGUACUCUACAAAUUCUUUCUAAAGUAGCCACUCCUGUUCUUCCUCCUCGUGAAACCACCUUAACAUCUCAUUUUCAACAUAUUCAAGGACAACAUUGAAUCUGUUGCCCUAAAGUUCUAUCUGUUCCAUCAAAGCAAAAUUUAUAUAAUGAGCAAAGGAAAAAUUUUCUAGACAUACAAGAGCAAAAAAUUAGAAUUGAAAUAAAGCAGAACUUAUAAAAUGAGCAACGGAGAUCAAUAAUUUUAAAUUUUGGAAGAGACUGUGAAAACACUUGAAAUCAGUUGCUGUCCAUUGAAAAUAAGAGAGAUAGCUGUAUAGAGAGACUAGAUACAUAUCAGUUUGCCUUUCCAAGCAACAAUUAGACUGGUUCUGGAUUAGAUAAAGAACCACAAGCUUCUCCAAGCAGAAGUGCUUUGGUUUGGAUCUUGUAAUUACCCAACCUUUUUAUUUUAAUUUUUUAUUAUUCUUAUUAUUAUUUUCCUUGAAAAAUGAUGAUGAAAAACACAAAUAAAAAAAUGAAAUAAAUGAAGAAUAAAUUAAAAUUUGGAUUAACAGUAACAUGAGUAGAAGUUUUGGGAUUUAAUUAAACUUUGCAUUAGUUUUAUUAACCAAAUUAAUAAAGGAAAAAAACAAUCGAACAGAGGAGAGGGAGUGAAAGUAGGAAACACAGAAUCCCCAGAGAAGAACAGAGCAUAUACGGGGAAACUAAAAAAAAAAAAACAGAGGAAAACAAACACAGGCAAAGGUUGCACCGAGAGAAAGUCAAUCCUAAAUCUUGCACCUAUAUAUACCGAGCCCAUCAAGUGUCCUAACUGCAUGAUCUCUAUCCAUUCCAUUAAAUAAACAAGCUAUAUCAAGAAAUAAGUUCUUUUGAUAAUCAUCAUCAGGAGAGUUGGAACUUUUUGCAAGAACCUUUUGAACUUGACAAUUUGGAAUCACUUCCAUUUCAUGUAAUGCGAUUUCCCAUACUUUCCUACUUUUACCAAAUAAUGAAGAGCCAAUAGCACAAAGGGCUAAUGGAAGUCCAUUACAAUGAUGUACUAGUCUCCAAGAUUCCUCCACAAAAUUUUUUUAUUGUUGUAUUGUCUGUCGGAGCUGACUUGAUAUUUUCUCCUCUCCUAAUUCCAUCAUCGUCUCUAAAUGUGUGAAUCCCUGCUUGAACAAGGGCUGUGAAGAGCGAUCAGUAAAGUUCUUGUGGGUGUCCUUGCCCCUGAAACCCAAGAACACUUGAUAUUUGCAACGAGAAGACCGUGAAGACGAGGGUUCUUGAUAUUUGAAUCUAGCAAAGAAAACAAUUUCAAAGAUCUCACAAAUGAGAAAAAAAAAAAAGCUUGCAGGAUCAAUUGUCGAUUAUUCAAGAUUCUGUAACACACCAAUUAGCUAAAGUAUUAAUAAUUGUUAUCUUACUUCUUCGUUAAAGCAUUUUUUCAAGUUAUUUCCCAGAAAUCAACUCCUCAGGCCAUUUCAGAUAAAUAUUUGUACAUAUUUUAUCAGCACUUGCUACCAGCAUUUACAAGCACACAAGGAUGCCCAUCUGGAAGGCUAAAUUAUUUGCAAAAGCACACAUCUUGCAAUCCUAACAAUACCCGAGAAAGUGAAUUUAGUAGUUUAUAACUUACAGUAAAAACACACACAACUUAUUUGUAUAAAUUACCGAUCAUUCCAGUGUUUAUUAUCAAAUCAUAUUAUAGGUUGCGCUCAAUUAUAAUAGUAUUAUUAAAUAAACUAAAAGCAUGUUAGCUAAAAGAAAUAGGUUGAAAAGGAAUUUAUAUAUUACAAAAUUCAUGAUGAAAUAUCUUGGUCUAAGAUACUAAAAAAUUGAUGUACCCAAACUUUUACAUAUUAUAUCAUGAUGAAAUAUGUAAAUUUUACGAAGUGUAAAUCUUGUCUGGCUGGUAUAAAUUUAAUAGCUUCAAAAUCAUCCUGAAUGGAUGAGUAUGGUUGAGACUUGUUGAGACUUGUUGAGAAAGUUGAGACGUGGUGCAAAUCUUGUUCCAGAGCCACAAAGGCCAUCUGUCAAUCAACUGUACGAUGAGUUUACAGAACAUGUAUAAGAUUACUCACUUCUGGAUGAGGAAAGUUGCAUAGAAUAUAGAUUUGAUUGAUUACCAACGGUGGAAAAAAAAUCACUCAAAAUUUAUUUCUGCAUGAGUCAAUACUGAAAAGACAUACAUGUUGCCUAUUCAUGAGCUAACUGGCUUGAGCUUUUACCAAAUCUGUGGUGUCCUUGAUAAAAUGGGCUUUCUCGUUAUUCAGAAUGAUGGAUUUGAACUGGAUAAGAAAGUGGUAGUCAUUGCAGACACAAGUAGAAAACAAGACCUCGAUCCUGCUGCAAUCAGGUAUAUCAGUUAAAAGUUCUAUGUAUCAUGUUGAUCAUUGCCUGAGCCAAUUGGAUUGUUUUCUAACUUGUUUUAAAUGUGUUCUUAGUCUGUUUGAUUCAAUGAUUACUUUUUGCCUACCUGUUCGGAGGAAUCACCAGGAAAUAGCUACCCAGUACGCUAAGCACUUAACAAAAUGAGGGGAAAGAGUAAAGGAUUUACUAUCUUAUUUUUCAAGGAAUCCUAGGUGAUGUCGGAGUAAAGGAUCGUCAACAAGGGUGUUUUAAUUAGCUCUUGUAGAUUCUUAUCCAAAACUUGUAUCAUUUGUUAAUGUCAUCGCUAGAAACAUGUAAAGUGCAUGCCGAAGCUAAUAAAGAAAGUUUCAUAAGAUAGUAACAGAGAAGUAAUGCAGAUUGUUUCAUGACCGGCAUGAUUUGUUAAUCAGGUGGGUGAUUUUGGCUUCUCAUACCAUGAGCUCCAUUGUCCUCUCAGUACCUUAAUAAUAUUGAAUACAAAAAAAAAAAAAAAAAAUAUUCCAUUCAAAUAGCAAAAAUAGAAAAACCUAAAAAUAUUGAAUUGGAAAAUAAAAAUAUAAAAAAUAAAAUCAAUUUAUUCUCCUAAAAAAUUCAUGCAUCGGUCUUCCUUGAUUAGAAAGAAUUCAUACUCGAGUUUAGACCUUAGUAAAGAACCUUCCUUCAUGAAUAUCCUUUGUGUGUGGAUCACCGUAUUAUAGCCCUCUAAGACUUUUUAUAUGGAUCACUCUAUCAUGCAUCCCUAACACAAAACCUUGUGUGAGUUGCCCCAUUGUUAAUCCUACCAUCAGUAUUUCAAAUAACAAUAACUACUGCAGACAAAAACAAUGAGAAAAAAGUUCAAUCAACACAUUAUUGGUGAUACAGAAUAAUGCAAUAAAUAUUAAAUUUUUUUGCAUUUUGAGAACACAUAAAACAUCUUGUAAGUGCAAAAAGAUGUAGAAGUAGGAAGAGAUACUGAACUAGUGUGACUUACGGGAAGGUUGGUACCAUCGCUGAACAUAACAUCAUCUUGUUCAUUAUAUGAUGUAUGGAGAGAAAGAUUGUUAAAGUUUGCAGUUACAUGAUGGAAAGCGUGUUCCCACCACUAUCCAAUAACCAUGACGCAAUGGUUGAUGGAGAUGAAGAAGAAAAAAUUUCCUGGGGAUUCCAGGAGGAUGGCAUGCCAUUGGAGGAGUUAGCAGUGGUAGAACCAUAAACAUUGUCAUAACCCAGUUUUGACAUUUUUUAUUUAUUUAUUUAUUUAUUAUUUUAUUUUUAAAAAAAUGAUGAAAAACAAGUAAAAAUAAAAUAAAUGAAGAGUGAAUUAAAAUUUGGGUUAAGGGCAACACGAUUGGAAGUUUAAAGAUUUAAUUAAACUCUUGACUAGUUUAAUUAAUUAAAUCAAGGGCUUAAUUGGAGAAUUGAUUUAAUUAAAAUUUAGAUGAUUUUUAACUAAUGAAAUCAAGAGUUUAAUUGAAGAAUUAAUGAGUUUGAGGACUUAAUUAAACUUUGAUUUAAUUAAUUAAAUGAAUCAAGGGUGUAAUUGAAGAAAUACCAAAGUUUGGAGCUGAUUCAAGGAAAAAUUGCUAUAAAAUUAAAGUCCAAGGACCAAAUUGAAUAGUCCAAAAACCCAGGACUGUUGUGUAAAUGGCACUAUAAAUCAAGGAUUCAAUUGACUUAAUCCAAGGGUACAAUUAGAAAUUGAUUAUUAAUGAUUAAGAUCUCAAUUGUGAAGUUCAAAACAUCCAGGGACCAAAGUGAAAAAUGCCUCAAAACACACAAACGGCGCCGUUUGCAAUAAUACUGUUCGUCAUCCCUUCCAUUUCGCCAGGGCAGCCGAUUCAACAGGAAAAUCAGUGCAUCCGAUUCAACAGGCCAUGUCUUCUGCCACGAUCCCGGUCGUGAAGGAGACGGUUUUUGAAGAUCUCUAGCCUUAUAAAAAAGGGGUGAAGAAACAGAACGCAGAGGGGGGGGCGAGGAUCCGGAGCUAAAAAAAACAGAGCAGAAAUACAGAGUAAAAAAAAACACAAAUUCACAGGGAGAGGGGGGGAGUCAGCAACAGAGGAGAAAAAAAAAGGAAGAAAAACUGGAAAACUGGCGGAAAAAAGACCAGGAGACAAAGGACGAGAAAAAAAACUGGGAAAGGAAGAACUGCGAAAAAUCGAGGAGCAGAAACAGAGACCGAAACCAGAGGGAACAGUAGCCGAAAACCAGAGACAAAACGGAGAGGCAGAUAACAAAACAGGGAGAACGAACAAGAGGGCAACACACAGUGAGGAGAAUUAUCCUUGAAAUUGUCCUCGUACCUGCAAACAAAGAAAAAAACCCGGAUUCAGCCAAAGAACACUCACAGCAAACCGGCAUCUUCUUUGUAGUUUGAAAAGCUACUGAGAAAUCAAGAAGGAAAGCACAGACAAGGGAUCACAGCGGGGAGAGAAUAGAAAGCAGUCGAACGAGAGCAGCAGCCACCAGCAUCGCAGCCUUCUUCAUCGUCUCCAGAAGCAGGUAUGACUUCAUCCCCUUCGUAUCUUCAUUUCAAAAUGCAAUUGUUAAUGGUACAAGAACACUGUGUGAAGGUAAUUUAAUUACCUUCACCAGUGUUCGUGCACGCGUGAACAAUUCACGCGAGCUUUUAUUUUUUUGGCCCAGCCGGUCACUGGCUUGGGCCAGUGACUGGGCUGGGCUGGCUGGGUCCAGCCCAGCCCAUGUGGACUGAGCUGGGCCCAGCCCAAAAAUGUAAAUAAAAAAAUAUAUAAUAAAAAUUAUGUAUGUAAAAAAUAAUAAUAUGAAUUUAUUGUUUUUUUUUAUUCAUUGACGCUAGAGUCACAAUAAAAAUACCAAUUCAAAUUUAUUUCAUUGUGUUUUAUUAAGUUAUAUAAGAAUAAAAAAUGUGCGUGCAAAAAAAAAUAAUAUAAGAUAAAAUAAAAUAAAUUUAUUUGGUAUAUUCACUGACGCCAGAGUCAGGAAGAAAAAUAUUAAUGUAAAUUUAUUUAAUUUUUUUUUUGUUUUGUUUUUAUUUAGCUACAUUAAAAAAUAAAAAUAAUGCGUAUGCGUAAAAAAUAAAUUGAUUUUUGAUUUGUUUAUUCACUGACGCCAGAGUCAGGAAUAAAAAAAAUAAUGAUUUAAAUUUAUUUAUUUUGAUACCUACGUAAUAUUUACCAACGCCAGAGUUAGAAAUAUCCGUAGUUGAAUAAAAAUAAUGUGUAUGUGUAAAAAAAAUUGAUUUUUAUUUGUUUAUUCACUGACGCCAGAGUCAGGAAUAUUAAAAAUAAAUGAUGAUCUAAAUUUAUUUAUUUUGAUACCUGCGUAAUAUUUACCAACGCCAGAGUUGGAAAUAUCCGUAGUCGAAUAUUCACUAGCGCCAGAGUCAGAAAUAUUAUAAGCAAAUUAUCAUAUCGUAAACUAAUAAACAUUUAGCAAUUUAAGACGAAAUUAGCAAUGCAGCCUGCCUCAGGCAGGACGUUUAAGGGGUGAUAAUAUCUUCCAUUUUACGUAACCAGUCCCGAACCAUAGAAUCUCUGUUGACCAGUUAGGGUUCCUAGUGACCAUAAUACUAGGUGGCAACUCCUUAAACAAGAAUAUCCCCCAUCAAAGAAUAGGAUGCCAGAAAUCCAUUCUUUUCCAAAAGAUUUAAUUAUUUUUAAGGCCGCCGCGAUGUCGGGUGUGACAGAAUGGCAACUCCACUGAGGACCAAUGGACUAAGCUUUGCCUUUUAUUUGUCAAUUGCUAUAAUGUUUGUUACGUUGUGCUUAUUUGUUUAUUUUUUUCCUGCAUUUUACUGCUUUAGCAUGCAUCCUUGUUUAUAUUGUCAUGCAUCACGUUAAAAGCACACACCUUACAACCUAAGAUAAGUGGGGGAGUAACGGUACCCCAAUGGCUUUAGCCUGGGUAAGACUCGUGAAACCAUCCAACUUUCGCUUGAUUGUUUACUUGGAAGUGGUCGAUAUGCCAAACUGAGAUUACUCAGGGCCUCUAUCUUCACACUACUUGUAAGCCUCAUAUCAACCUUUUUAAGGACGAUCACUAAGCAUGCGAGAGACCCAUUUGAAACUAGAUAAUGAUCAACCCCUUUAUGCACUCAACAAUUAGGAUCUUCCUAUUAGGUUGUUAUCCCGUGAAGGGCGUGCCCACAUUUCAUACGCAUUUUUAAUUGAAUCAACAUUUUUGCAUAAGGCUCUUUGUUGUGCCUCCUGAUGUAAGUUGUGUUGUGUGUUGGGAAGGAUUUUUGGAUUUAAUCAUAAAAUUAUGAUUAAUUUUUAGGAGUCACCACCUAGUAUUAUAGUCACUAGAAAUCUAUGGUCUGCAAGAAUCUGGGUAAGGGAAUGGUUGUGCAAGGGGAAGACGCGUCACCCUCAGUGCACCCUACCUAAGGUAAGCUGCAUUGUUGUUUGAUUGUUUUUUGUUGGUCUUUCUAAGGCUCAAGGUAGAUCUCUCUUCAUGAGAGAAUCUCUACCUUAUUGGGUUAAAUCCUAACCGUUCUAAAGUCUGAAUUUUAGCAUCGCAUUUAUUUACACCUUGUAUCUUUAAUACCUGAGGGUGUACUUUAUCGUGUAAUUUUACACCACACAAAUAUUAAAGUCUACAUCUAGAACCUAAAAAACAUGAUUGAAAAAGGUUUUUGACAUUUUUGCCAAAUCCUAAUGGAUAAUCAUAAACUGGUUACGAUAUCCAUUUUUGGAUUUUAAAAAAAAAAAACAUGAAAAAGAUGCAAUUUUUGUUUUAGUUUUUUUUUGUAUAUGAAAAGUAUGAUUGGAAAAUUUUAGGAUUUGGCCGUAUGCAAUAAGAUAUUUUUAUUUGUGAAAAUGCUUUUGAAUUUUUUUUUUUUUGAAAUAUUUUGGAGAAAACCGGGUAUUUUAAUACCGGAUUUGUAUUUUACAAUGUAAAUAUACAACCCGAUAUUAUGCAAAAUAGAUAGAAAAAUAUUUGAGAAAAUAAAAAAAAAUUUAAAUUGAUUUUUGGAUUUUCUUUUUUAAAAAAAUGUCCACUGCAUGAACAGUGGACGUGAAUUAUAAUUCACGUCCACCGUUCACUUAAGAACAGUGGGACUUGCACGGGGAAGACGAAGAACUAGGGGAAGGGUGGCAGACCACCUGGUAUGGCGGUGUUGGCUGACUGGCGGGGGAGGAAGACCUCAAGCCGUCGGUGGAAACGACGAUGGAGUUAGCUGCCUGAAUCGCCUGGAGCGGCUGUAGCUGGAAGAGGAAGAAAUCUGCAAAGGGGAGAGAGACGCUCGCGGUGGCUGGCCGAUGGUCUUGGCAACACGUGGUGGUUUUGCUUGAUCAAGGCGGAGCUGGAGGAAGAGAUGUUGAUGGCGUCAGUUUCCUGUGGCGGAGUAAGAAAGAAGAAGAAGCAGAAAAAUAAAAAUAAAAUCUGCAGUGGGGGAGGAAGGCUGGUUUUUUGGCUUACUUUGGACCCGAUUUUCUCCUCUCUCAAACCAUCAAUGGAGCCUCUAUUUAUAGGCGGUGGAAGAGGGUAAUCUCGUCUACCCCGGGGUAAAAUUUCAGCCAUUGAUUUAGUUGGGAAUGAUCCCAACCGUUGGCUCAAAGUAGGCAUCCUGAGUUGUCAAUUCUGCAGAAAAAGCUGCCUGAGUGGUCAUGUUUGAUCAGAAAGGGCUUGAUUGGGUACAUAACAUAGGUUUUGGCUCUUGGCUAUGAAGAAAAAGGAUAUUUAUAGGCUCAAAAGGUGUUUAAGGGAUUUCAAGACUAAGGAUCACUAGUGCUUAUAUCCUAAAUUUUUUUUCUUGAAUUUCUGGAAUUGAUUUUCAAAAUGAUCCAUAGUGCCCCCCAAUAUUGGGCUUUUUCUUUUGGUUUUGAGCAUCAUUAUAUUAGUGAUUUUUGUGGCACGCUCAAAUCUUUUUGGAACUCUUAUAUGCCCCCAGCUUUGUUUGGACACUUUUGAUUAAUGAGGAUUUCGUUUCAUGCUCUAUAGUGUUGUUUGGGCGCUUUUAUCAUUUGAGGACUUUUUAUGCCCCCAGGGUUGUUUGGGCAUUUUUUGUCAUUAUUGAUUUUUUGCACUUGCUCCCUAGUGUAGGGUGUGAUCCUAGUUAAGGUUAUUUUCCAAGAAAUAUGCAUUAGGCUCAAAAAGGGACUGUAAUGGAUUUUUAGACGUUGUGAAAGGAUGAUCAAAGAUAGCCUUUCUUCAUUUCAAAUGCAUUCAUUCAAAAUCGGCAAGCUUUGCUUUCUCACAUGUGAAUAUGCAAAAAUGGUUUCUCAUUAUUCAUGCAGUCAAAACUCAGCUUUGAAGUUAUCUCAUGGUGUUUGGGUUGUUUUUCAGGUUUUUUAAGUGUUAGGAUAUCACUUGAAUUUUCAGAACUUGUUUAUUAGAUCAAACACCAAUUUGAUUUUUGUUCUUGUAUUAAAACUUUGAUUUCCCAAAAAUCCUUGUGAAAACAUGGGGUCAUGUUUUUUUUUUUUUGAAAGGGGAAAAGAAAACACCAAAGAAUUUGUGGCUUUGUGAGUGAAGGGUAUGCUCAGUAUGUUAUUUGCAUGGAAGCACAUCAUGAACAUAGAAAAACACAUGAUUUUAUUAACAGGAAAGGCUCAUUUAACAGAGAGUCUUGUAGCAUUAUGAGCCAGAUUGCCAACAAAACUAAAACAGGUUGAAACAGACAUGAUCAAACAAAAGAAAACUUUAUCCUCUAUCCUCGAGAGUGCACACUGCCUUCUUCACACCUUGCUCCUACCAUCAAUGAUUUGAUGUUUUCGGAACAUUCCACCUCUAGUGCAUUCACCGAUCCACUACCUGAAGCAUGAUUGGGUAGAGGGUUCAAACUCACGUUUGGAGUUCCUUCGAGGGUGAUCCAUCCAGCUUUAAUCAUAUGCAUAAGCCUCUUCUUAAAGGCACUGCAAGUAUGAAUGUUGUGUCCCGCGACUCCAGCAUGGUAUUCGCAAGUGAGGUCGGGCUUGUACCAAGGUUGUCAAUUCCGUUUUGUUCCAUCCGGAAUGGCCGAAACAUUCCAUACCAAUUUAAAAAACGGAACAAAACGGAACAAAUUUCAUCUCAUUUUAAAUCUCGGUCUAUUCCGGAUUUUUCGGCUAAAUUCUGCCCGAAACGUUCCGGUUUCAUUCCACAUGUUUCGUUCCGCUUUUGAAAAGCCAUUGAAUCAAAUUGAACCUUGCUCAAUUUCAUUAACUUAAACCACCUGAUUAUAAAAAAACUCUUUUUCAUUACUAUUUUCAAUAGCAAUGAUAUUAAUAAUAAUAUUGAAAAUUAUUAUUACUAUUUUCAUUAAUAAUGAUAUUAAUUUUUUAAAAUUAGAUUUAUCACUAAUAUAUAUGGUUUAUAUUCAUGUUUUUUUUUUUCAUGUUUAUACUUUGUAGGAAUUUGAUCAAAACAAGGGAUGCUUCAGAUUCCAUUAGCCACUUAAUAACAUUGACCUAAGUUUAUAUUUAAAAUAUAUUUUUUUAAACAUUUUACUUUCAUAAUAUUUUGAUAGUUUGUUUAAGUUGAAUUACUUUAAGUUAAAGAUCUAUUUAAUCUUGAGUAUUUAGAAAUAUUUUAAAUUUUAAAAUUAUAUUUGUUUGGCAUUGUGUUUGUAUUGCAUAAUUUAUAAUUAAUUUAUCUUGAAUUUGAAUUAUAUUUGUUGAAUAUAUAUAUAUGAACAGUACAACCCCGAAACGGCACGCCGAAACACUCUGAAACUUAAACAUUCCAUUCCAAUUGAAAAAAUGAAACACCUACCAAAACGGAAUUAACAACCUUGGCUUGUACCAAUUGGGUAAGGUGGUUGUAAAGGCGUCAAGGGUUCAGGAGCUAUACGCCCAAUGCUUAGUAGCUUUUGAUACAUCUCAUUUAAAGGCAAUGGUAAUGGAGGUAGUUGUUCUUGAGCUCUUUGGUGUUUGGUUUGAGGCUCGGGUUUUUUGGCAGGAAAAGAAGAGUUGAAAUUGAUGUUGUCUAUUUGGGGUGAAGUGUGAUAGUUUUGGAAUGGGUUCUUCCUACCCUCAACAUGGCCAACCUCUUUCUUUUUACCUUCGAAGCCCCUUUUUUCCAUAGGUGCGGAGAUUCUACCACUCUUUAUUCCUUGUUCUAUGCGUUCAGCUACUGCCACAACAUAAGUAAAUUGAUGGGUCGAACUACCCAUAACAUGCACGUAGUAUAGGUCAUUGAGCGUAUUGGCGAACAGAGUGACCAUCUCUUUAUCUAGGAGCGGAGGAUGUACUUGAGUAGCUAGGUCUCUCCACCUUUGAGCAUAUUCCCUUAUGCUUUCCUUGUCCCCUUUCCCUAGAUUGGACAGACUGGUUCUAUCAGGAGCAAUGUCCAUAUUGUACUUGUAUUGCUUGACAAAAGCAUCUACCAAGUCUUUCCAUUUUUGGAUCUUUGUGUUGUCCAAUCUCAUAUACCAGCUCAAUGCUGCCCCACUUAAGCUAUCCUGGAAAAAGUGCAUUAGUAGUUUUUCAUCAUGUACUACUUCUGCCAUUUUGUUGCAAUAGAAUUUGAGAUGAGUCAGGGGGCAUUGUGUUCCGGUAUAUUUGAUGAAUUCAGGAACACGAAACUUUUUUGGGACAAUCACAUUUAGGACCAAACACAUUUCUGCUGCCCGUACUGGAUCAUACAAGUCUACCCCUUCAAUGGCUCUAUUUCGGGCUUCCAGCGCUGCCAUCUUAUCAAUGUCAUCAGAUGACUUCGUCUUAUGGGACUCAUUGGAAAAUGGAUCUGUGACUACAGGGGCUGGUGCCGAUGGCAUUGAGUGCACAAAUGCUGGAUUGUGUGGAGGUUCUUGACCAUGUUCACUCAUUGUUUCUUCAAGUUGAGCUAUUGCUGGAGGCUGAACAAAAAUAGCUGGCCGAUUAGAAUGACCUUCACCAGAGGCAUUUCUAAGUGUUUGCUCGAGUAAGCUAGUGAGGUGAGCCACGCUUGCUUUCAGAGACUCUAACUCUUAUGGGCGUCACAGUGAGCACGCUCUUCAUCUUCCAUGUUUCUCGCUUAGAGUUGGGUGUUGUAGACUCUUUGGGGACCUAUAUUUUGACAUGUUGCAUGUAUGUAUGUUAUUUACAAUGAAUUGAUGUAUGUGUAUGGAUGAAAAUGUAUGUAUAUUCACAUUGGGUAUGAAUGGCAAAAACUCAUGCAAAAUGAUUAACAAGAGAGUUCAUACUCUAAAGGAAGGUUCUAGGUCAUUACAUGAUGGGUAGGCUUUCUACCUGGUCUUAAAAAGGUCUAUGAACUGCCUAAUGACCACCUUACGUGAAGGCAGUGCAGGGGUUUACAAGUAAUGGUUGGGGCACAAUGUGACCGCCAUUACCGAGUAAACACUCAGCUCAUAGUUGGAUGUUUCACGAAUCUGAACCCCGACUGAAAGUCAUGAGGCAGAUCGCUACUCCCCACCUAACCUAGAAUUGGGUUUAUUCGUAUGCUAAAGUAAUAAAAAUACGAGCUAAAAUUAAAGACCAACAAAAGGAAAAUAAUCAAACAAUCAAUGCUUAGUCUAACCAGAAAUGGCUUUCCCCAGCGGAGUCGCCAUCCUGUCGCGGGGGCCGCAACGUCGUUUGGCGACGGCGGAGGUUCUUUGUCGUGCCACCUGAUGUGAGUUGUGUUGUGUGUUGGGAAGGAUUUUUGGAUUUAAUCAUAAAAUUAUGAUUAAUUUUUAGGAGUCGCCACCUAGUAUUAUGGUCACCAGGAACCUAUGGUCUACGAGAAUCUGGGUAAGGGACUGGUUGUGCAAGGGGAAGAUGCGUCACCCCCAGUGCACCCUACCUAAGGUAAGCUGCAUUGUUGUUUGAUUGUUUUUUGUUGGUCUUUCUAAGGCUCAAGGUAGAUCUCUCUUCAUGAGAGAAUCUCUACCUUAUUGGGUUAAAUCCUAACCGUUCUAAAGUCUGAAUUUUAGCAUCGCAUUUAUUUACACCUUGUAUGUUUAAUACCUGAGGGUGUACUUUAUCGUGUAAUUUUACACCACACAAAUAUUAAAGUCUACAUCUAGAACCUAAAAAACAUGAUUGAAAAAGGUUUUUGACAUUUUUUCCAAAUCUUAAAGGAUAAUCAUAAACUGGUUACGAUAUCCAUUUUUGGAUUUAAAAAAAAAAAAAACAUGAAAAAGAUGCAAUUUUUGUUUUAGUUUUUUUUUAUAUGAAAAGUAUGAUUGGAAAAUUUUAGGAUUUGGCCGUAUGCAAUAAGAUAUUUUUAUUUGUGAAAAUGCUUUUGAAAUUUUUUUUUUUUUGAAAUAUUUUGGAGAAAACCGGGUAUUUUAAUACCGGAUUUGUAUUUUACAAUGUAAAUAUACAACCCGAUAUUAUGCAAAAUAGAUAGAAAAAUAUUUGAGAAAAUCACAAAUUUUUUAAAUUGAUUUUUGGAUUUUUUUUUUAUAAAAAAAUGUCCACUGCAUGAACAAUGGACGUGAAUUAUAAUUCAUGUCCACCGUUCACUUAAGAACAGUGGAACGUGAAUUAUAAUUCACAUUCCACUAUUCAAAACAGUGGGACUUGCAUGGAGAAGACGAAGAACCAGGGGAAGGGUGGCAGACCACCUGGUAUGGCGGUGAUGGCUGGCUGGCGGGGGAGGAAGACCUCAAGCCGGCGGUGGAAACGGCGGUGGAGUUAGCUACCUGAAUCGCCUGGAGCGGCUGCAGCUAGAAGAGGAAGAAAUCUGCAGAGGGGAGAGAGACGCUCGCGGUGGCUGGCCGGUGGUCUUGGCAACACGUGGUGGUUCUGUUUGAUCAAGGCGGAGCUGGAGGAAGAGAUGUUGAUGGCGUCGGUUUCCUGUGGCGGAGGAAGAAAGAAGAAGAAGCAGAAAAAUAAAAUCUGCAGUGGGGAAGGAAGGCUAGUUUUUUGGCUUACUUUGGACCCGAUUUUCUCCUCUCUCAGACCAUCAAUGGAGCUUCUAUUUAUAGGCGGUGGAAGAGGGUAAUCUCGUCUACCCUGGGGUAAAAUUUUAGCCAUUGAUUUAGUUGGGAAGGAUCCCAACCGUUGGCUCAAAGUAGGCAUCCUGAGUUGUCAAUUCUGCAAAAAAAGCUGCCUGAGUGGUCAUGUUUAGGCCGGCGCCGUCUAGCUGGCAUUCAUACUGAAUUGUUUACUUUAAUAUGUAGAGAAACUUCGGGGGAUCAUUUUCGUGCAAGAUUUGUCAACUUUGGUGGCUGGUAGGUACACUAAAUGCAACUGCAAAGUAGGCAACCAAACCAGCUUUUUUCAGAAAAAAGUGAAGAAGAUAAUGAACAGUUUUUGGCCAAUAUUCAUUUAAGUCCUCCAUCUGUCAAUUUCGUUCAAUGGAGCCCCCUAAUUGACCAUAAACUUUCAAUUGCUUCCAAUUUGGCCCCUAAUUCAACCAAUUUACUUGGUAAAAAUUAAAUUUGAUCUCUUAAAAUUUCAAUAUUCUCAAUUAAGCCUAAAUUAGGCUCCCAAACUUAAUUUUUUACCAAUUAAGCCUCAAAUAAAAUUAAUUUGACCCAUUUAAAGUAUAAUUAAGUCCUUGCACUUAGUUAAAUCCUUUAAUUGGACCCAAAUUAAUUCUUAAACAUAAUUAAAAAUUCAAAUUGGCCCAUGAUUAAAUGAAAUUGGCCUAUUAAAAAUUUAAUUAUGUCCUUGGACUUAAUUUUUAUGCAAAUUCGUCCAAUAAUCAUUUAAUUUGACCUUGAAUUUGCAUUGUUUUCUCCUUUUUUGGGCAUAAUGGGGUACAAAAAAUUGCAGCUUAAUUCUCCGACCUACUUUCUCCAUAUUACGAGCCUUUAUUUUAUUUUAUUUUUAUUUUGAAAAAGAAGUUAUUUUUGGGGAAUAACCCAUAAUUGGGUUAUGACAAAUUGCAUGAUUUACAUUUACAGGUUGAAAUAUAGGUUCCCCAUUAAAACCUACCUAUAACAAUCAUCUGAGAAAAGACAAAUGGAAAACGAAGAAAGAUCCCAGUUGGAAGCCCAACACCAAAAAGAGGUGGAUAAUCUUAAAGAAGAAGUUGUAAGGCUUACUAGUCUACUUGAACAGGCCUUGAGAGACAAAUCCAGAAAAGCAACACAUAUGUUUGUCUUAUGCUUGUAAAUCCCUUCACCUCACAGAAUCUAGGGGUAAGCGGUUUGUCAUUUGAUUUUCAACAAGCCAUGCAUUUCCAACCAGCGUACCCCACGAGAACGCUAUUAACCAUUGAUUCUACAGAGAAGGAAUCUCAAAAGGGCAAGAUGGUAAAAGAAGAUGAUCUGAACAAAUUCAUUGCCCUAGAGUAAAGGAUGAGGGCAUUUGAGGGAAUUCGCCUAUAUGAUCAUAUAAAGGCUACUGAGAUGUGUUUGGUGCCCCACGUUGUCAUUCCCAAAAAUUUUAGAGUGCCAGAAUUUGUUAAGUAUACGGGAACUCAGUGCCCUAUAACUCAUCUCAAAGCAUACUGCAACAAAAUGGCUGAGGUUGUUAAUGAUAAGAAACUGCUGAUUCAUUUCUUUCAAGACAGCUUGAGUGAUGCUGCCCUCACUUGGUAUAUGCGGUUGGACAAUACCAAGGUUAAAAAGUGGAAGGAUUUAAUUGAUGCCUUUAUAAGGCAUUAUAAGUUCAAUAUAGAUGUGGGCCUUGAUCGGUUAAGCUUGCAAGCUAUGGAGAAGGAUAAUAAAGAGUCCAUAAUGGAAUAUGCCCGAAGAUGGAGUGAGGUAGCUGCACAAGUUAACCCUCCUAUGUUGGAAAAAGAGAUGAUCAGUUUAUUUUCCAACACCUUUAAAGCUCUGUACUUUGAAUAUUUGGUCAGAAGCUCUGCACAACAUUUCACUAACCUGGUUGUUAUAGCUGAGAGGAUUGAACAAGCCAUUGGGUUAGGUAAGAUUGCUAACCCGAUGGAGAAGAACAGUUUCACUGAAGUUGAUUGCCAAGGCACUUAUCAUUUCUAUAGCUAAUUCCUUCACACCCGACUCCCAGAAAUCAAUUAUCUUGAAGAUAAAGCUAUGGUGAUAUUAGGUCGAGAAUGAUCUACAUAUAAUUUCAAUUGAUUGUUGAAAAGAUGCCCUUGUUGAGGAGAAUGAAUGAUUGAAAGAUUCCAGAAAUUCCAAUCAAUGAUAUCUAAAUGUUUAGCCCUUUUAUGUGUUAUCAUGUCAGUAUUCAUAGCUCAAGAUGUUGGCAUAAGUUCUUUGUUGUUAAACUUCUUUCCCAAAGUUUCAAUGAAAUAAUGAGUUUUUCAUUGAGUCAUGUUUACGCCCAAUCAUUAUUCAUUUUCUUGAGAGAGUUUUCUUAUAAAGACUCACAAACACAUCUUUGAAGCCUUGCACGAUCUCAUAGACGCAAUUCAUCUCUCUUACCAAAAUCAGUUUCCCUAUUGGAGUUUUGAAAAAUUGAUCUGGCAUUUUGAUUUCAAAAAUAAUUUGAUGUUUAUUCAAAAAUGAUAUUUUUGGCAUUCUACUUGUAGAAUGACAAGUGAAUCAAGCAACUCCAUCAUAGAGGUGACCAAACCCAAAAAAAAAAGAGAAUAAAUACCCUUACCCUAUGACUCUUGAAUCAUGUGUUUUUAAAUGUAUGAAUAAUGAUAUGUAGUGAACUUGUUGCUCAUGACUCAUGGAAUACAUCUUUGCAAAGACCAAACCAUCAUACUAGAUGAGGUCAAAGUUUAUUGAUCAUAGCUGCUUGUGCUUGAAAUGAGGAAAGGCCAUCUUUGUUAUUCCUUUCACGUUCUGACAUAAAUACAUCCCUUGCAAUCCUUUUUUUGAGCCUGAAUAAUUUUUUUUCAUAAAACAAAAUCCCGACUAAGGUCACACCCAACACUGGGGGCAAGUGAAAUUUCAAUGAUCAAGAAAGAUGAUAAAGCCGUGAGAAAGCCAAAAGGCAAAAAGAGCCCAAGAAACUCAAAUGCUAGGGGGCAUGCCUAAAUAAAAAAAAAUUAAUAACUAAGAUAAAGUGAGUAUGCUCUAGCAAAGCAAUGAAAAAGAAAAAAAUAAGUAGCAAAUUGACACGACUAAAAGCUUGAUGUCUUUUCCCAAGUGCAGGAGUGUCGAAGUAAUAAAUAGCCCGGCAAGACCGGGGUCGAACCAUAGAGAGGUUAAUUGUAUAAAUUAUAAAUAACAAGACAACAACAACAACAAUAAUAAUAAUACUCAAUACGUGGCGUUGUUAUACCUGAGAAUGAUCUAAAGAUCGGGUCACAGGUUUCCAGCCUAUAUACUGAGUUUAUGAAAAGAUCAAAUAUAUAUAUUAUAUAAUAUAAACAGAAUGUAAAUAAUAAUAAUAAUAAUAAUAAUAAUAAUGAAAGCAGAAGAUGAAGAAAUUAAUGAGAACUUUGAGAUGAAAGAUUAACGUAAGGAUUAAACAAUGAUAAAAACAAAUGUCAAGGUUAGAGGAUCCACUAAUGGUACUUCAAACAAGUAUAAUAUAAACUCUUAUUACUCAAUUGAAAACCACACAUAAAGGAGGUUCCAUUCAUAUUAUAAAUUGUUAACAUGAUUACGUUAGUUAUCUUAUUCGAAUAAAGCUAAUACUUGUAAAUGUUGGCAGGCAUUCAUGAUUAUAACUUAUGUUAACAACAAAUCAAGUUCCUUUCAUAGCUCAGGUGUCGGUUAUACCAUACAGUAUGAGCUAUGAAAGUGCCAAGUAUUUGUUGUACCAAGUGUUAUACAAUAUAAAUCUAGAUUAACCAUUUAAUCCAAUGUGCAACCCACAAUCAUAUGUUAAAGUGUGUGUGUGAAAAUGAAGGUUUAAUAAUACUUGUUAAAUGAGUAUAGGAGCAGAAUCAAGUGAUAACAAUGUGAGAGUUUGUAAACCUGAAUAUUUCAAGAAGUAUUAUGAUAGACCUUGGUAAUGAAACUUACUAAGAUGCGUCUCUAGAGUCAAUAAAAUUGAUUCCAUACUCUGCCAUCCUAAUAACAAUUUUGUCAAAUGGUUUUAAUAAUAGCAAAAACAAUUAGCAAGUUAGUAUUUUUUUUUUUAAACUACUACCCUCUCCCCCUAACCAAAACGAGACAUUGUCCUCAAUGUUCGAAGGUAGAAAGAUAGAGUAUAGAAGACAUCACCUGAAACAGCGAACAAUGACAAACCUGAAACACACUUAAAUAAACAUAAGAAGUAACAAAACAAAAUAAUAUGCUAUUAAUAAAACCAAAAGACACAAGGUUUCACAGAUGAAGGCUCAAAUCUAAUCUAAGCUUUUUACGGCUUUCCUUAGUUGACCAAUCUAGGCGACUCAUGCAGGGAUCAAUGACAGGGAUGAAAGAUUGUAGUUGGUCAAUCAAUUGUUCAGCAGUAGCAGCAGAGAUUAUGAUUUGUCGUGCCGAAGAUGUUAGAAAUUCCUGUUCCACAGCUUGAUCAAGGAAAGACAGCAACUUAUCAUAAAAACCAUUAACAUUUAACAAACCUAUAGGUUUAUGGUGAAUGUGCAGUUGGGCCCAAGAUGAAAUAUGAAAGAUCUCUUCCAAUGUGCCCAGACCACCUGGUAAGGCAAUGAAGGCAUCAGCAUGGUUAAACAUGGUAUUCAGUCGGUCAGACAUUGUUGGGACCUGUAGUUCUUCUCCAAUUGUUUUUCCAAUGAUGUCCCCAUUUGCUAAAGCUUUGGGGACAACCCCCAAAACUUGACUGCCUCCCAAAAAUGCAGCCAUUGACACACCUCCCAUUAACCCAAGGCUACCUCCCCCAUACACUAAAUGAAUCUUUCUCUCAGCUAGUACCCGACCAAGAUGAUUUGCUGAUUCUAAAAACUCUUUUUCUUUCCCAGAACUGGAUCCACCGAAAACACAAAUAUUUCUUAUAUGAUGACUUGAGGAACCUGCCAUUUCUACACACUUCUAUAUUUGAUGAAUAUAUGGGAUGAGUAGAAAUGAAGGGAAGGAAGAGAAGAAUUUAUAGAUGAAAAAGUGAAAAUGCAAUCAUACCACCUAUAUGUAGGCCAGCUGUAGUCUCACAAACUCUCUCUCUCUCUCUCUCUUUAUUAAUUAUUUAUUUUGAAAAAGCAUGUAUGUACAGGUAGUUGUGAUUGUGGCUCACAUCUUCCCUUGGUUUUACGUCCAAGAACGGCUUAAACGCCCUCUAUGGGUCGGGGAUAGGCUUCCCAUCCAGUUUUCUUAAAAACUGGCAAACAGGGUCUUUUUUAGUCAGAUUCCCAAGACUAAGUCGAUCAUGUUCUUUAUGGAAUUGUGGCCAUAAAUCAUGAAUUACACGAUGCACAUCUCCACUAGGAUGCGUCUCAAGGGUCAACAAAAGAUUAUCUAAAGACCCCUUACUCAGGCCAUCCUUAAUGAAUUGUAUCUUAUCUUCACGGUUUACAGAUACCAUUCCUAAAGAACGACAUGUUGCAUUACAAGUCCAUCUGGCACAUCUGUGACAGACUUUCAGUCGUUUUGCACGACGUUUCUUUGCAAAAGUGCUUUUACCUGUUCCAGGCAUGUGUGAAAUGAAAGAAUUGGAGGACUCACCUGAUAAUCGGACCUUUGCUUCAAUUAGCCAGCGAAUAUCUUCAGGAAUUCCAUGAUUCAUUAACAACCGUAAUCUUUCACACCUAGCACGAUAAAUUUUAUUAAUCGCAUUUGGAGGCAAAGCGGGAAAAUACCUUUUCAACUUUUCAAGAGUGGUGUCCAUUUUCAAAAGAGAAUUGGAGAAGAGAUUCAAAGAAGGGAGAAAGAGCUAAGAAUUGUACAAAUAUAUACAGAUAUCAGUUAUUUGGGAAACUGAAAGAACCGACUUAAGUCACGGAGUACCGUUAUCCGCCAUUUGACCGGGGUGAAAGAGAGACUAGCAAAACAAUAAAUACAACAAAACACAAAACAAUGUGAGAAAAACAAAAUAAUCAACCUUUAUCUACAAGAUCAUUCAAACCAAUGGAUUCAUUUUCACUAGGAAACUCAUCAAAGUAAGCUUUCAAACGAUGUCUAUUUACCUUCAAAACAUUGUCAUUCUUUGGAUUCUCAAUAUCAAGGGCCCCAUAAGGAUACACAUGUUUCAAAAUAAAUGGACUGCUCCAUUGUGAUCUUAUUUUUUCAGGAAAUAAAUGGAGUCGAGAAUUAUAAGGCAAAACGUUUUGACCAGUAUCAACUUUUUGACAAUUUUCACAAGUUUUGCAGAAUGCAUGUGUGUCCUUGAACAUGGUGGGCCAAUAGAAUCCAGAUUGUAAGAUUUUUGCAAUCGUCCUUUUUGACGAUAAAUGACUCCCACAUGCCUCAGAAUGACAAAGUUUAAUGACACCACUUACCUCAUUGUCGGGAAUGCAUUUUUGAAAUAAUUGAUCAGGACAAUUUUUGAAUAAGUAAGGGUCAUCCAAAUAAAAGAGUUCUUCACUUGUUCAAAAACUUUCCUUUGUCUUCGAUACUCCAGUGAGCUGGCAAAUCUCCUGUUGCAAGAAAAUUGAUAUUUUUAGCAGACCAAGGCAUUGAACAAUGAGAAAGUAAGGAUUCGUCAGGAGAGUAAGCAUCGAUUGGUGGGAUGUCAGAUGUCAAAUCUGUUGUCACUCUUGACAAAAGAUCGGCAUCAAUAUUUUUGGUGCCUUUUUCAUCCGUGAUUUCUUCCUGAGAAUAAAUCAUUUUCAAAUCUUCAGAUUUAUCCAACUCAAUUUUACUCAAAGUAGAUUCAAGUUGAUCAUGAACUAAUUCUUCAAUAAGAUCUACUUCUUGUAAAUCAUUAUCAUCUCCAGGUUGCUUGCAAAUGUUGAAAAUAUUCAUCUCCAAUGUCAUGUUUCCAAAUGAUAGCUUCAUCAGUCCAUUCCUACAAUUAAUCAAUGCAUUAGAAGUUGCAAGAAACGGACGUCCUAAAAUAAUAGGAAAUGAAUUACAUGCUUCAACAGGUUGCGUGUCCAAGACAAUAAAAUCCACAGGAUAAAUGAAUUUAUCGACUUGUACUAACACAUCUUCAAUUAUUCCUCUAGGCACUUUUACAGAUCUAUCGGCAAGUAAAAGAGUUACAGAGGUUGGUUUUAACUCACCUAGAUUGAGACUCUGAAAAACUGAAUAUGGAAGUAAAUUCACACUAGCUCCAAGAUCAAGUAAGGCUCUUUCAAUUUUAUGUUCUCCAAUAAAGCAAGAAAUUGUAGGACAACCAGGGUCUUUAUAUUUCAAAGCAUUAUUGUUCUGAAGAAUGGCACUUACUUGUUCGGCUAAAAAGGCUUUCUUUUUCACAUUCAGUUUUCUCUUCACAGUGCACAGAUCUUUCAAAAAUUUAGCAUAGGAAGGAACCUGUUUAAUAGCAUCCAACAAAGGUAUAUUGAUCCUUACCUGUUUGAAAAUUUCAAAGAUUUCAGAGUUGUGAUUGACUUUCCUUUGUUUGGUCAUGGCAUGAGGAAAUGGAAGUGCUGGCGGGGAAUCAGCCUUUUCUUUGCAAUGUUCAGGUUCAACCCCUUCCUUACCCUCAGAGAUAGACUCAUCAUCUUUCUCACAAGGUUCAAGAAUAGGUUUUUCAAUAACCUUACCACUACGAAGAGUGAUGACUGAUUUGACUUGAUCCAUGUGUUGGCUUCCAGAACUACUUGCAUUUGCAUUGUAUUGCCCCUUUGGAUUUUGCUGUGGUUGAGAAGGAAACUUACCUUUCUCUUGGAAACUGAGAGCAGAUGUUAAUUUUGCAAGAGCAUCUUUAAAAUCGGUCAUGCUUUGAGCAAGUUGAGUGUUGAUUGUCUCCUGCUUUUCAAUGAAUGCAUGCAAUGUUUCCUCAAAUUUCUUCUAGGAGGUGGAGCAUAAGGAGGUGCAUAUCCAUGAGAAUUUUGGAAAUUAUGGUGUGCUUGAAACGGUGGUGUGAAGUUUGUGCAUUGUUGCUAUCACUCUUCCAACUAAAAUUUGGGUGAUUUCUCCAACCAGGUUAUAUGUUUGUGAGUAUGGGUUAUGGUUGGGUCUUUGGAAACUGUUUAAAGCAUGGGCUUGUUCAUGGAGGCAUUCCUUGAAAGAAGGCAAAGUUGGACAAUCUUUGUUGUGCUCAUUUGUUUCACAGAUUUGACACACAAUGUCUUGAACAGAUUUUAAUUGACCACUCUUUUUAAUUCUAGUGCCUCGACUUUUCUAGCUAAAGAUGCAAACUUGGCUUGGAGGUCAUGAUCUUCCCUAAGGUUGUGCAUACCUCCACUAGAUGUAUGAGGUUGAGUUUUACUUGGUGCCUCAUAAGUACCUGUGGUGUCCCAAUUUUGAGCAUUUUCGGCUAGCAAGUCUAGGUACUCCAUUGCUUCAUUAGGGUCUUUAUCUUCAAAGGUUCCAUUGCACAUCAAUUCAACCAUUUGCCUAUCUCUAGGUGUUAAACCUUCAUAAAAAUGUGAAACCAAUCUCCAUGUUUCAAAACCAUGAUGUGGGCAAGUAUUAAGCAAAUCUCGAUACCUAUCCCAACAUUGGUAAAAUGUUUCUCCUGGCUUUUGAGUGAAAGUGAUGAUUUGUCUUUUGAAAGAGUUUGUUCUGUGAGAUGGAAAAAACUUCUUUAAAAAUUGUUGUUGCAUAUCAUCCCAAGCACGAAUGGAUCCUGGUCUCAAAUUUUGUAGCCAUGUUUUAGCUUUAUCUUUUAAUGAAAAAGGAAAAAGCUUUAAUCGAAUGGUGUUCAUGCUACAAUUUGAGUCAUUAUAGGUAUUACAGACCUCCUCAAAUUCCCUUAAAUGCAAGUAUGGAUUUUCUAAGUCUAAGCCAUGAAAAGAUGGUAAAAGUUGAAUAAUGCCUGGCUUAAAAUUAAAAUGAGAUGCAUCAGGAGGGAAAACUAUGCAUGAGGGUGCACUUGUUCUUGUGGGAUUCAUGUGGUCUCUAAGUGUUCUCAUACGGUUAUUCUCAUUAUUCUCAUUAUGAAGUGAUUGAUUAUCUUCUUCGGCCAUAUUUUCUGAAAAUGAUGAGGAUACCCUACAAAGUCUACCACUUAAUGUACGUGACCAAACUCUCAUGCACGUGUAAGAAGAGAAUAAAAGCAAGAAAAGAAAAUAGAAGAAAAAGAAACAAAACAAAACAAAGGAAACAAAAAUAGAUAAAAUGAAAAGUGAAAAGAGAAAAUAAAUUAAAUAUUAUAAUUUAUACAAGAAUUUACCUCCCCGGCAACGGCGCCAAAAACUUGACACGACCAAAAGCUUGAUGUCUUUUCCCAAGUGCAGGAGUGUCGAAGUAAUAAAUAACCCGGCAAGACCGGGGUCGAACCACAGAGAGGUUAAUUGUAUAAAUUAUAAAUAACAAGACAACAACAACAACAACAACAACAAACAACAAUAAAUAACAAUAUAAUAAUACUCAGUACGUGGCGUUGUUAUACCUGAGAAUGAUCUAAAGAUCGGGUCACAGGUUUCCAGCCUAUAUACUGACUUUAUGAAAAGAUCAAAUAUAUAUAUUAUAUAAUAUAAACAGAAUGUAAAUAAUAAUAAUAAUAUAUAAUAAUAAUAAUAACAGAAGAUGAAGAAAUUAAUGAGAACUUUGAGAUAAAAGAUUAACGUAAGGAUUAAACAAUGAUAAAAACAAAUGUCAAGGUUAGAGGAUCCACUAAUGGUACUUCAAACAAGUAUAAUAUAAACUCUUAUUACUCAAUUGGAAACCACACAUAAAGGAGGUUCCAAUCAGAUUAUAAAUUGUUAACAUGAUUACAUUAAUUAUCUUAUUCGAAUAAAGCUAAUACUUGUAAAUGUUGGCAGGCAUUCAUGAUUAUAACUUAUGUUAACAACAAAUCAAGUUCCUUUCAUAGCUCAGGUGUCGGUUAAACCAUACAGUAUGGGCUAUGAAAGUGCCAAGUAUUUGUUGUACCAAGUGUUAUACAACAUAAAUCUAGAUUAACCAUUUAACAAGCAAAGUAUUAAAGUGAACAAGAUAACAAAUAUAAAACAUGUUAGUAUCCAACGUUAAGGUCCAUGUUAAGUUUAUAUUAUACUUGUUCUUACACCAUUAGUGUACCCUUUUCACCUUGACAUAAUUAACUUAGCUAGACAUAAUAAAAGAAAGAAACAUAAAUGAGCAAGACAAGAACAUAAAUGAGAAAGAAGUUAACUAGACAAAGGAAAGGAAAUGAAGUGCAUAAACUUGAUAUUAAUGAAAGCAAGACAUAAGCAAUACAAAGAGAGAAAGCAAGAGCAUGAUCUUGAUCUGAACACCAAGAUGCCUCAAUACAUGGUAAGUGCCUCCUUUUAUAGGCCAAAAUUUGGAACUAUUGAUUUGUUGACUAAUUGAUGAGUGGGUGGCCACAUCUUGACUAGAUAACAAUCCUUAUCUUCUUGUCUGAUCAAGACGUCAUUGCUAACAUCAUAAUUUGCCCAGAAUCCUCAAGAAUGUUCUAGGAAAUUGUCUCAGCUUUCCAACAAAAAAAAGAUGAGGUCAUUUGGACUUCUAGAACUCAAGAUAUGGGCUGAACACUAAAUAGUGUUUGGGCUAUAGGACAGCUUCGGACUUCUUCGUUGUUCCUUUCAUUUGGACUUCAAAAAGACCUUUUCAAAUCUUGGGCUCCUCAUGAAAGUUGUAGGCCUUUGUCUUACCUUUCCAUCCAUAUAAAGUGGACCUAAAUCAGAAAUCUAGAGCUCCAGAUAUGAUCCAAUUACUGAGCAAUGUUCCGGUUUGGACUGCACCGACAUCUCUUUUCUAAGUUUGGUCAUCUCUUUGUCCUUUAACUUUCAAUGCUUAAACUCAUCAAUCAAUCCUUUUAUUUAUGUGAUAGUCCUGCAUUUAAAAUGAGUAUUUACCAUAAAUUAAGGUAUCUUAUAAUAUCAAACUUGUUAUUAUAAAACAUGCUUUAGUUAAGGAGUUAUUGAUACUUCAAGUGCAAAAUGAUGAUAUAAAACCUUGAUAAACAUGCACUUUUAAGUACUAAUCACAAAUCAAAAAAGAGUGGCAAAAGAAAAUAUGAAUGACAUCAAUAGUCAAACUUUUGAUAGUGAUCCUCGGUCUUUGAAGCCCUGAAACACUCUUUAAGCCUUAUGAAUCAUUUUCUUUCAUAGCCAAAAACCACAGCCUACGUUACGUGCCUGUAGAAGUCCUUUCUAAUCAAGCAAGCAAGCAAUCUAGAACAAUAAACAAUGCUCUCAAAAUGCAAAGAAUACGUUUUCAUAAGAUUCAUGACAUCAAGAAUAAACUACUCAUUAUUAUUCAUGCUAAUAAAAAUAAAUGUUCAAAAAGAGACAAGUUUUUCUCAUACAAAACCUCGAGCUUUUUCUCGAGCCCUCCACUCUGAAAACUUAUAAAAACAAAAGGUCAUAAUAUCAUGACAUAUUUUCACCAAAGACCUCAUUGCCAAACACAAGAGCAAAUAAUCUCUUUUCCAAGAAAGAAAAUAACCAAGGAGUUGCAAGAUUUCAAAAGCAAAUUGUUAUUGGACUCACAUCAAAAUAAUUUUUGUUUUCAAAAUGCAAGAUCAAGAUUUCAAGAUUCAUUCUAGACCCAUAUUCCUCCACCAAACUGAAAAGGAGAUAAAUGAGAGAAUGGCCUCUUAAAACCUUUAUUUGUCUAAGUCGCUGACAGAAGCACACUUAAGGCCAAUAACCAAUACAAGGGGGAAACAUUGUGUUUAGAAGGAAAAAUUCUAGAAAAGGAGAUGGCAAUUUCCUACAACCAGACAAGGGGGCAUUUUGGUUUACAAAAGACAGCUCGAUCCUUUCAGUAAGUGACAUCGAAUGUUUGUAGCAGUGAAACGAGGAGUAAUGAGUGGUCAUCUCAAAUUAUUUGACGAAUCAGAAAAUCUUUAGCAAGCAAGUGGGUCACAAUGGGCACCACAAAUGCUGAAUUAUACAAACAAAUUUGAAAAUAGAUUUUACAUGGGCUAACUCGAGUGGGCUAGAAAGCUAAACGACAAAGAUAACUUAAAUCAGAUAGCAAGAUCUCACCAACCAAUCAACAAGAAGAUUGUGAAGAAAUGGGGGUCUAUAUUUCAAAUCAGGUAAAGAUAUAUGCAUAUCAUCUAAACUUUGAGAUAUUGGACAAUGAGUUUUUCAAAUUUCAUAUAAGAAAAUUCCAACGGAAUCUAUCAAGUGGAAGGCCAACUUGAAAUGGCCAAAGAUCGAAAUUGCUGUUGAAAAUUUUCACUUUUGAGAAUUUUUCAACCUGGGCAGGCCGCCCAUGAGAAUUAGGCCACCUGAAAAAUCUCUCUAUUAUUCCACCACCUUUCAGUUUCCACUCCUAAGGUAGUUCAUUUCCUAUCCUACCUCCUUUUGAGUUCUUUUCGAGCGCGCCUUCGAGCCCUCGACCAUCAUAGGUAGUGCAUUUCCUAUCCUACCUCCAUUUGAGCGCGCCUUCGAGCCCUCGACCAUCAUAGGUAGUGCAUUUCCUAUCCUAUCUCCAUUCGAGCGCACCUUUGAGCCCUCGUCUUAUCUCCAUUCGAGCGCGCCUUUGAGCCCUCGACCAUCAAAGGUAGUGCAUUUCCUAUCCUACCUCUGUUCGAGCGCGUCUUCAAGCCCUCGUCUUAUCUCCAUUCGAGCGUGCCUUUGAGCCCUCAUCUUAUUUCUUUUCGAGCGCGCCUUCGAGCCCUCAUCUUAUUUCUUUUCGAGCGCGCCUUCGAGCCCUCAACCAUCAAAGGUAGUGCAUUUCCUAUCAUACCUUCUUUUGAGUGCGCCUUCAAGCCCUCAUUUCCUUCAAGCUUCCAUCUAUUGAAUAAUGCGCCUUCGAGCCCUAUCAUGUCUUAUUUAAAAAAAAAAGUCCUCGUAUUUUUCCACUGGGCAGGUAACCCAUUACAAUGUGACCAACUGGGCCGGUAACCCAUUACAAUGUGACCAUCUGGGCUGGUAACCCAUUACAAUGUACCAUCCUGAAAAAUCCUCGUAUUUUUCCACUAGGCAGGUAACCCAUUACAAUGUGACCAACUAGGCCGGUAACUCAUUACAAUAAAUCAUCCUAUAUUAGGCUGGUAACCCAUUACAAUAUACCACCUUAUACUGGGCAGGUAACCCAUUACAAUAUACCAUCACAAAAAAAAAAAUUCCUCGUAUUUUUAUUCUUCAUCGAGCAGGUCACCUGGAACAAUUAGACCACUCAUGAAAUUCUUCACGUUUCUUUUAUCAUUGGGCAGGUUGCCCAAAACAAUUUGAUCCAUUUCAAAAAAAAAAAAACAAAAAAAAUAGUUCGUCUCCCAAAUGACUUGUUUCUUGAUUUCUACAUCUCUCUGUAAAGGUCAUGUGUCAAUCUACUGUUUUCAAAACUAAAAAAUAAAAAAAAGAAGCAAAAGUUCUUUCUUUAUCUAAUUUUCUUUAUAAAUUUACUACACAAAGCUAAAAGAAAAUGAAAUUUUCUAAUAUCGUUGCAUAGUAAAUAUUAUAAAGAGGGGGCAACUGUCAUAACCCAAUUUUGACCUUUUUUAUUUAUUUUUUAUUUUUUAUUUUUUUAUUAUUUUAUUUUUAAAAAAUGAUGAAAAACAAGUAAAAAUAAAAUAAAUGAAGAGUGAAUUAAAAUUUGGGUUAAGGACAACACGAUUGGAAGUUUAAAAAUUUAAUUAAACUCUUGACUAGUUUAAUUAAUUAAAUCAAGGGCUUAAUUGGAGAAUUGAUUUAAUUAAAAUUUAGAUGAUUUUUAACUAAUGAAAUCAAGAGUUUAAUUGAAGAAUUAAUGAGUUUGAGGACUUAAUUAAACUUUGAUUUAAUUAAUUAAAGGAAUCAGGGGUGUAAUUGAAGAAAUACCAAAGUUUGGAGCUGAUUCAAGGAAAAAUUGCUAUAAAAUUAAAGUCCAAGGACCAAAUUGAAUAGUCCAAAAACCCAGGACUGUUGUGUAAAUGACACUAUAAAUCAAGGAUUCAAUUGAAUUAAUCCAAGGGUACAAAUAGAAAUUGAUUAUUGAUGAUUAAGAUCUCAAUUGUGAAGUUUAAAACGUCCAGGGACCAAAGUGAAAAAAUACCUCAAGCACACAAACGACGCCGUUUGCAAUAAUACUGUUCGUCAUCCCUUCCAUUUCGCCAGGGCAGCCGAUUCAACAGGAAAAUCAGUGCAUCCGAUUCAACAGGCCAUGUCUUCUGCCACGAUCCCGGUCGUGAAGGAGACGGUUUUUGAAGAUCUCUAGCCUUAUAAAAAAGGGGUGAAGAAACAGAACGCAGAGGGGGGGACGAGGAUCUGGAGCUAAAAAAAACAGAGCAGAAAUACAGAGUAAAAAAAAAAACACAAAUUCACAGGGAGAGGAGGAGAGUCAGCAACAGAGGAGAAAAAAAAAGGAAGAAAAACUGGAAAACUGGUGGAAAAAAGACCAGGAGACAGAGGACGAGAAAAAAAACUGGGAAAGGAAGAACUGCGAAAAAUCAAGGAGCAGAAACAGAGACCGAAACCAGAGGGAACAAUAGCCGAAAACCAGAGACAAAACGGAGAGGCAGAUAACAAAACAGGGAGAACGAACAAGAGGGAAACACACAGUGAGGAGAAUUAUCCUUGAAAUUGUCCUCGUACCUGCAAACAAAGAAAAAAACCGGCAUCUUCUUUGUAGUUUGAAAAGCUACUGAGAAAUCAAGAAGGAAAGCACAGACAAGGGAUCACAGCGGGGAGAGAAUAGAAAGCAGUCGAACGAGAGCAGCAGCCACCAGCAUCGCAGCCUUCUUCAUCGUCUCCAGAAGCAGGUAUGACUUCAUCCCCUUCGUAUCUUCAUUUCAAAAUGCAAUUGUUAAUGUUACAAGAACACUGUGUGAAGGUAAUUUAAUUAAUUACCUUCACACAUUGUUCGUGCAUGCGUGAACAAUUCACGCGUGUUUUUAUUUUUUUGGCCCAGUCGGUCACUGGCUUGGGCUAGUGACUGGGCUGGGCUGGCUGGGUCUAGCCCAGCCCAAAAUAUAAAUAAAAUAAUAUAUAAUAAAAAUUGUGUAUGUAAAAAAAAAAUAUAUGAAUUUAUUGUUUUUUUUUAUUCAUUGAUGUCAGAGUCACAAUAAAAAUACCAAUUCAAAUUUAUUUCAUUGUGUUUUAUUAAGUUAUAUAAGAAUAAAAAAUGUGCGUGCAAAAAAAAUAAUAUAAGAUAAAAUAAAAUAAAUUUAUUUGGUAUAUUCACUGACGCCAGAGUUAGGAAUAAAAAAUACUAAUGUAAAUUUAUUUUAUUUUAUUUUUUGUUUUGUUUUUAUUUAGCUACAUUAAAAAAUAAAAAUAAUACGUAUGCGUACAAAAUAAAUUGAUUUUUUAUUUGUUUAUUCACUGACGCCAGAGUCAGGAAUAUAAAAAAUAAUGAUUUAAAUUUAUUUAUUUUGAUACCUAUGUAAUAUUUACCAACACUAGAGUCGGAAAUAUCCGUAGUUGAAUAAAAAUAAUGCGUAUGUGUAAAAAAAUUUAAUUUUUAUUUGUUUAUUCACUAACGCCAGAGUCAGGAAUAUAAAAAAUAAAUGAUGAUUUAAAUUUAUUUAUUUUGAUACCUACGUAAUAUUUACCAACGCUAGAGUUGGAAAUAUCCGUAAUCGAAUAUUCACUGGCGCUAGAGUCAGGAAUAUUAUAAGCAAAUUAUCAUAUCGUAAACUAAUAAACAUUUAACAAUUUAAGACGAAACUAGCAAUGCAGCCUGCCUCAGGCAGAACGUUUAAGGGGUGAUAAUAUCUUCCCUUUUACGUAACCAAUCCCGAACCAUAGAAUCUCUGUUAACCAGUUAAGGUUCCUAGUGACCAUAAUACUAGGUGGCGACUCCUUAAACAAGAAUAUCCCCCAUCAAAGAAUAGGAUGCCAGAAAUCCAUUCUUUUCCAAAAAAUUUAAUUAUUUUUAAGGCCGUCGCAAUGUCGGAUGCGACAAACAGGAACUAAAUGAAAGGAGGGACAACGUUUAGGAGUAUGCCCUUGAGUGCCACAUAUCUGGCAAUGGCCCAAAUAAGGACGUGUAGGCAAACAACUAUUUCUGACCUGAUUGGGAAACGUGGCAGGUCGAAAGUUGGCGAUGGAUGGGGAAUGAAAAUUGUUCCCAAUAGGAGAAGAGGAUGGGCGCCAGUUGGUUUUUAAGGGUCGUCAAUUAUUGUUGCUUGAGUUCUUAGUGAAGGAGUUGGCAGUAAUAGUACCAAGACGGGAGAAGUGUGACCGUGUUUAAAGUGAUGCUUCAAACAAGAGAAGCUUCUCAUGUAGUUCAUCAAAGGAGAUAGCAGCUUUGCGAGCUUGGACAGCCCGAACAAGUUCUAUGUAAUCUUCAUCUAAACCGUUGAGAAUUUGUUCAGUAAGAUCAUCAGUGUCCAUGGAAGCACCAAGAACAACAAGUUCGUCAGAUAGUGCUUUGAUGAAGCAGACAAAAUCUGUGAUACUCAUAGAACCUUUUGUGAGAUUAUUUAACUGGUUUUCACCUGGCGGAUACGUCCAUGGGAUGGUUUUGCAUAUGUUGUGGCAAGAACAUGCCAUGCAUCAUGAGAAGAAGUGGUGCGGGCUACCAAGGAGAUAAGUGAAGGAGAAAGGCUGCCAACGAUGGCAUUCAAAAGGAGUUGAUCUUGCCUAACCCAGAGACUAUAUGCAGGCUUAGGAACAGUGAUAUCAUCUGUUAUAAGAGUUGGUGAAGGACACAAUUUUGAGCCAUCUAUGUAACCAAGGAGAUCAUAGCCAAUAAAAAGUGUUUCAAACUGAAUUUUCCAGGAAGCAUAGUUGGAAGAGGUGAGUUUGAGAGGAGCUUGAGCAGCUGUGUUUAUGGUGAUAAGGUGGUUUUCUGUGUUUGAUGGAAUUGAAACCGACAUGGUUAUGGGGAAGAGGGAGGAACAGAACCGAAGAAGAAAGGGAAGAAAAAAAAAAUUGAAUAAAUGAUCAGAGACGCUCUGAUACCAUGAUGGAGCUGAAGCUUUGAAAGAGAAUUGCUUACUGAUAUUAUUAAUAGAAGACAUAUAUAUAAAUACAAAUCCUAACUGAUUUCUAUACUUUGCAGGGAGACCAAUUCUUUAAGAUUACAAACUAUUGCAGCUACCGAGUCCUAAUGAAUAACAAACUGUUAGAGCUAUACAUUGAAUUAUCAUUAACACAGUUCUUAAAAAAGAAGCAAAGAUGGGGUUUGUGAGGGUCUACACAAAACCACAGCACUGUGGCGUUGGUCAUGCUCUACAAGAUGAGGUUGCGGUCUAUUUCUCCUCAGACAUACUCAGCAAUUUCUUGAAGAUUUAAACCUGGAAUACUUUUAGCACUUGAUCUUGCAUCAGGAGAAUGGGUUGGGUAAAUCAACAGAGCAUGCCAUGAUAUAGCUCCAACAGCCAACCAUUAAAAAGUCCAAGUGGUUAGAACUUUGUGGCUUUCGCGUCUCCUAGAACAACUGUUGCUGUCAAAAACCAGGGAAAUGAAAACACAUUCCAAGAUCCUCAUAAUGUUUGAGGUCAUGGGUGACAGUGCAGUGCUGGUAUAUGAAAACUGAUUCAAUUGCAUCCAUCAUUAAUCGAAAUCAUGAACAGAUUGCGUAUUUUGAUUCAGGAUAACGAGACUUUCAAACCAAGAUCUCAAAGUAAUUGUUUUUUUUUUUAUGAAAAGAAAGAGUCUCAUAGGUAGGCAGUCAAAGUUGUUGGCUACUAUAGAAAAUUUUACGAUUUCCACUUUUGUUAUUGAAUUUUAAUUCUAUCUUUUAAUUUGAUAAUUUUCAAUCAAAACUAAUUUUUAAAUUUCUAAUUUUGAUGAUUAUUAUAUUUUAUUUUUACAAUAAAAAUAUUUAUAUUAAUUUAUUGUGAAAAUUUAAUAAAAUCAAUUCAAUUUUUAAUUAAAAUGAAAUAUAUUCACAUUAUAAAACCCUCUCAAUUAUAUUUUAAAGACAUGCCUAUUUAUUUUUUAUUACAAGUGAACUUAUCCUGUGAGGAUAUAUAUAGAAACAAAAAAAAAAUUACCAAUCAAAUUUCACCAUGUGUUAUUUUUAUUUUUACAUAAAAAGAUGAAAUAAAAUAGAUAAAAUAACAUGAAAAAAAUGGACCUUUACAUAUAUUUUGGUCAAUAGAAAAUUGACACAUAAAAUAAGAUAUUUAAUACAUCUUAUUAUAAAUAUAAGAUUUUAUAAAUAAAAAUUAAUUAAUAAAAUAAUAUCAUAUUACAUUUUUUAAUAUGAAAGCCCUUGUAAAUAUUUAUAAAUAAAAGAUCUCAUGCUAGACAAAGAAAGGAGGAAGAUUACUAGAGAUACAAAACUAUUUCAUGAUAAGCUUUUCAAGAAAAAAGAAAAAAGAAAAAAAGAGAACUAUUUCAAAAGCUUUGGAGCUUUUUUUCAUUUUACGGUUGAAAUCUAAAAAAGCAAACCUCUACUUAAUGAAGCCUAAAAUAAUACAAGUUCUAGACCUUUGCAAAACACCACCAAGCGAAAUUGCCAGUACUGCAUUUACCAUGGAAAGCACAAUAAUAAUCAUCCUUUGAUUGGAUAUCAUCAUCAUUUCCUUCCUCUUCAUGCAACCAUUGGACACCAAUCGUCCUUAUUUGAAAAGCUGGAUCUUGUAGACGCACUGAAAUACUCACGUCAUCACCAUUAUCAAAUGCAGGACCAUCGACCCCUAAUUUCAUGUGCAUUAGCGAUUGGAAUUCACGAACACCACGCUUGUAACUCAUAGGGAAGAAAGAGGCUUGACGACGCAAGGAUCGACCACUGGUAUUGUUUCUGAUUUCAAGAUAAACAUGACUAGAGUCACUGUACCCUGACGUCAUACAAAACCUUGAGAACAGAAUAAAGCCACAUAUCCGGUGCGCAGGAGGUGAGGAUAUUUUGAAUGAAAAGUUAUCUACAAACUCAUUCUGAAUUAGCCAUUUAUCCUCUUCUUCCUCCUCGUAAAACCUUGUGAACAGAUUUGCAAGUCUUUGCAGUGAAGAGCAAAAAGACACAUCUAACGAACACAAAUGGGAUGGAAGCUCUGGGAGUGUCUGAAGCAUUUUGCAAUUUCUUAAAUAUAGGUGUCUGAGUAGACCAAGAUCCUUGAUGCUUUCUGGAAGAAAACGAAUUGGAGUUCCACUUAAAUCUAGACUCUCCAAGAAGCGUGGCAUUGAAAACGAGGUAAAUCUCAACAUUUUCCUCGUUGAAAACCUAGAGGGAAAGAAUAGCUUCAAUGGAAGAGAUGAAAUGAAUGAUGUAAUUGCAACAAUUCCAUCACUUUGAAGCAACUUGCGCCCCUGAUGAUGCUCUAACUCCAUAUUUAGGCUAUUAAGAUUUGAGCAACCAUCUAAAACCAGCUCUUGAAGUGAAUUCAAUCUACUCAUUUCUUCUGGAAGCUCCAUAAGACUUGUACAAUUUCUUAGAUUUAAGAUCAACAAUCUUUGUAAAUCACCAAUAGAUUCGUGAAUUUGAACCAAACGGAUGCAGUCUUCAAGUAUUAGCUUUUCAAGGGCUGGGAGACUCGAGAAGUCUGGGGUUCUAAUGAGAUCACGAGCAUGACGGAGAUCAAGAAUUUUCAAUUUUGGAAGAAACUGUUAAAAUACAUGAAUUUAGUUGUUAUCAAUUGAAAACGAGAGAGAUAGCUAUAGAGAGACUUGAUACAUACCGUUUGCCUUUCCAAGCAUCAACUAGACAGCUUCUGGAUAGAUCAAGAACCACCAGCUUCUCCAAGCAUAUGUGAUUUGGUAUGGAGCUCCAAGACAAUCCAUGCCAACAUAACCAUAUCAAAUUCUUGGGAAAGUGCUCAAAACUUCCAUGAAAAUUAGUGUAGUUUAGCUGGAGAAAUUUUACAUCUGGCAUCUUUCUAAAAGCAUCCGUGCUAAGGAUGGGAAACAAACUUGUUUGGCUAGUUUGUAAUUUUUCCCCAUCGGGAAAAUCGGAAAGCCAUUGUUGAAAGAAGUUAAGCCUGCGGCGCUUGCGACAAACCAUUGAAUCAGUACAGACAACUUCUGCAUAAUGAUAUUCCAUUAAUGAAUGCAUAUCAAUGGUAAGGCCACGCAUUUUUUCAGCAUCCUGCAUAAUAAUAUUAAAAGUACAUGAGAAAGGAAAGUAGAUGAAUGAAUAUGUCAAGGCACCACAAACCAUUUAAGUAGACAUUUAAAAAAAUUUAGCUACUUACAGUAGUUCCUUUCAAAACUGUAAAAGCAUCCCCAUGAUGCCAUAUUCUUUGCCAUUUGGGUGAUUCUUGACGAGCAAUUUCCCUACCCAUAUCUCUUACUAGUUGAUGCAUCCACAACCUUUGAUCACUGUUGAUUUCAACAAGACAUCUAUCGAUGAGAUUGUCAAUCCCAAAUCUUGCACCUUUAUCGAGCCCAUCCAGUAUCCUAACUGCAUCAUCCACAUCCAUUCCAUUGAAGAAACAUGCGAUAUCAAGGAAUAAGUUCUUGGAUAAUCACCAUCAAGAAAGUCGUAACUUAUUCGAAGAACCUUUUGAACUUCAAAUUAGGAACACUUCCAUUUGUUGUAAUGCGCUUUCCCAUAUUUCUCUUCCUUUUCCGGACAAUGAAGAGCCAAUAACUCCAAGAGCUAAUGGAAGUCCAUUACAAUGAUGUACUAUUCUCCAAGAGUCUUCUACAAAACCAUCAACAGGGUCAGCUUGUCCAAAGGCAUUCCAACUGAAAAGCUCAAGUGAUUUUUUGUUAUCCAAAGGUUCGACUUUGCACUCGAACCACUCAAUAUCAUUAGCUGAAAACAGACCCUUAUUUCUGGUUGUUACAAUGAUUUUACUUCCUUUACGAAGCCAAUUUUGCAUGCCAAUGAUUUUAUUGAAUUGGUCCCUUUUGUCCACAUCAUCUAGAACAAUAAGAGUUCUUCUGCAACAUAAUGCAUCCUUAAUCUUCAGAAUUCCUUCAUCUUCAUCAUUUAUCUCAUCAACAGUCUUUUUUAGGAUGUCGGAAAGAAGUUGCCUCUGUAGGCAAACUAUAUGUUUUGAUCUAAAAUUUGACAGGAAGCUCUUUCCUUCAAAUUCAUAAAAGUUCUGGUUAAAAACACUCUUAACUAUAGCUGUCUUUCCAACUCCACCAAUUCCAUAGAGUAAAGCAAUGGCAGCACCAUGGGAUCCAUCUUGCAACCAUGAGUUGAUAUCUUGUACCAGAGCAUCUCUUCCAAUGAAAUGAAGGGGGACAUGAAAUAUUUUUGGAUCCAAAUUCUUUGAGACAUACUCCACAAUAGAUUGGACAAACUGUGCCUCGUACCUACAUCAAAACGUAAAGUACAAUAUACGAUAAUUGCUAGUCUCUCUAUAAUGGAUAAAAAUAGACAACAUUUAGCUAAGAAAUUAAAGCAGGUUGCAUGUCAAUGAUUGAUAGUUAAAUUUGUAGGUGCGUUAUCACCACCUACUAAAACCAAAUCAUGUUUGAAAAAAAACAAACAAACAAACAAAAGAAGAAAGAAAUUAUAGGUAUUUUUUUCUUUCUUUUAUGUUUUCUUAUCGGUCUUCAUUUAAAUACUUAACUGAAAGAAAUUAAGAGUUCACGACCAGCACUCUAGUCUUAUGCUUUGUGUAUUUUAAUCGAGAGAUGCAACUUACCCAUCUCUUAAAUCCUUUCCAGCUAAAUCUGCAACUUCCUUCAAAGCAAUCCUCCACCCCUUCACCCGCUCUAUCUCCUCGAAGCGCUUUUCUUGUUCCACAAAUGCAGCAGCGAAGCUCCCUGUUUGAUUUCUGACUUCAGAUGGAUUCACAUGGUAGAAUACCGGCAAAACUAUGGAGGCGGCAGUCCUCUUAUGUUCCAUGAUCUUCACAAGUUCAUCGAGGCACCAUCUCGACCGAGCAUAGUCUUUGGAGAACACGAUUAUCGAUAUUUUCGAUUCUUGUAUUGCCUUCCGGAGCUCCAACUCUAUAUUCUCUCCUCUCCGAAUCUCAUCAUCAUCUCUAAAUGUGUGAAACCCCGCUUGAACCAGGGCCCAGUAGAGGUGAUCGGUAAAGUUCUUGCGGGUGUCUUCACCUCUAAAACUCAAGAACACUUGAUAUUUACAAUUAGAAAACCGAGAAGAGUAGGAUUCUUGAUAUUUCCCAGCAGCCAUUUCGAGUCUAGCAAAAUAAGACUUUACAAAGAUCUGGACAGAAAAAAAAAGGAAUUGCAGGAUUAAAGUCGAUAAUUCAAGAUCGACAGCACGCCAAUAAGCUGAAGUGUUCAUAUAUUAUUAUCUUACUUUUUUCUGGAAGACAAUUUUCAAGUUAUUUCCCAGCAAUCAACUCCUCCAUGCCCUUUCAGAAAAAUACUUGCAGAUAUGAUAAAUCUCUAUGCUGAACCAACAAAAUCGGUUGAUGAGAUCAUCAAUAAUUAGUUUCUAAUAGUGAAUUAAUCGAAGUGAUUCUCAGUUACAGCAGAGUUACAUUUCACAAUAUAACAUAAUACUUAAAAGAGAUAAGAGAGAGGGAGAGAGUACCUGCAAUCUUCACUUUCCCUUCGCUGAUGUUCUGUUAUCAGUCCAUCAACUUUCUGCUUUCAAGUCAACCUCACAAGUCUCUGGGGUCUGGGUCAUUUCCGCGUUAGGACCAUUUUCUUUUUUUAUUCUUUUUUUUUAUUUGCUCAAAUCAUUUAUCACGCGUGGAGUAUAAUUACCAAAAGCGACAUUAGAGACACUCACACAAACACAAUCCCUUUCAUUAACUCACACGGUUCUUCACUUCUUCUCACUUCACCCACCAGUAUCAUCAAGGCAGUUGGUCAGUUGGUCAGUUGAGUCUGAAAUAAAAAAAAAAAAAAUUUAGUGAUUUUAUAUUUGAAUUAUUAAUUACUAAUAUAAUAGCACUAAAAUUUUUAAUUAUUUUUAUUUCAGCAUAUUAAAGAAAAAAUAAAAAAAUAUUUUUUAAAAAUAUAUUAUUAAAACGAAAAACUAAACAAACUUUUAAACACGGAUAUAUUACAUAUCAUACACAGAGUUCUGAUUAUUUGAAUCAUUGGCAGAGGCAGGGAUGGCAGGAGGGGAAGUUGCUUGUUACAUCUUUGUGUAGAUUUCUUCCCCACGACUUUCCUGACCUUCUUGUUCUUUAGGAUUUUUCUUCCCACAUAUAUUAAGAGCACCCAUGGGUCGGGCCAAUCUUACAUUAAUUAACUAUAUAUAAUUAAUGUGUAUAAUUUCUUUUGCAGUGCUUUGUCUUACUUCCAGCGCAAUAUUCCUUUUUCUUUCUUUCUUUUGUGAAAUCCAACACAUCAAAUUAUGUUAAAUUAAAGUCAAUUUUGUAAGACAAUUUUGCAUCAUUUGAAUUGAUUCUAGCUUUUUCUUUCUGUUGAAAGUCAAGUGUAUAUAUAAACAAAGAAUUAGUCGGAAGUUGCUGAUUACAGGAUCAUUGCCCCGAAAUUUGCAAUAGCUUAGCCAUAACAAUUCAGAUUUUUCGGCCAAAUAUUAUAUCGAAAAAUUGAGGGGUAAAAAACCCAGACUCUACCCUUCGUAUUGUUUCUGAUUUCAAGAUAAACAAGACGAUAAGGAUUGCAUACUGACAUAGUAGAAAACCAUGUGAAUAGAUCAAAACCACAUAUCCGGUGCGCGGCGGGUGAGGAUAUUUUGAAUGACAAGUACGUACUCUACAAACUCUUUCUACAGUAGCCACUCCUGUUCUUCCUCCUCGUGAAACCACCUUAACAUCUCAUUUUCAUCAUUUUUCAAUAUGGUUCAAAUAAAAGAAGUUUAUUUAGUUAACCAAACAAAAAUAUAAGGGAGUUAUUAAAUUUUUUUUCUUUAUACCAUCUAAAUAUUUUACACAAAAAAUAAUACGUACCGGAACGUAGCGGGACCGGAACGUAGCGGGAGAAGCAUCCUAGCCAAAGCUAACUAAUGAUGUCCAUGAAGCUCUUACUUGGGUCUCGAAAACCAUUGCAAGCGACACCUUUUUGAAGCUCAGAAAAACAAACAGGCGGAAGUGAAAUGGUACGAAAUAACAGGGCAUUCAUGAUGAAUUAUGACCUUAGGUAAAGUUAAAGCUCUUUCUUUUUCCUUAGAAUUGACUAGUUGCAGUGUAUUCUCAUUAAAGCACGACAGAGGAAAGAUGAAUGGAGAAAUUAUCUCCAUUUCACACUGCUACUUUCUCGAGAACAAUCAUCUCCAGGAAGAAAAGUCUUUUCCGAGGAUCAAUCAGUCAAUUCCUUCAAAGAUUUGUAAUGGUUACAAGGAGAGACAGUAACAAUGUCGGUCGACGUAUCAGCUCGCUAGGAGGCUGAUCCCAGGAGCGGAUGGUUUACAUGAAGGGUGGCGGGGCAUGGCAUCCCAAAACUUUAGAAUUUCUUACAUUUUAGCCCUAAAAUUUUCAGCUUUUUAGUUAUACCCUUUAAUUUAACAUGUUUUGCUUCCAAAAGUGUCCCACCGAUCUAAUUGUCCACAGCAUAUCAACUGGUUCAUUCUGUCUGAGUAAUUAAUCCAGGAACCACUUUCAUGAUCAAAUGCAACAUGGAGGCAGGCAAAUGAAAAGAAUCGAGUCACGAGAGCAUAAAAUGUGAUGCGUUAGAGCUAGAUUAUAUAUCUCCACCGUAAUACAGGUAUACAACGAGAAAUUAUUGGAUGAACUAAAUUCACACAGAUCAAACCAGUUGCAGAAGUUCACUGCACAACCGCUAAUAAUCAAGGAUUCAUAACAUUAAUUCACUAUUUUGAUUUACAUAAUGUUUACGAGUUUUAUGAAUAAAAAGAUUCAUCAUAAACAUUUGUUCAACGAAGAUUCCACCCUUUAGACAUCCCUCGUCACUAUACAAAAAUUUCCUAUAUAUGUAGCCCACUUAAUUUGUUCAAUUGCUGUCCAUUCAAAAAGAUAAUUUAGAAGAAAAUUAUAAAAAAAACAAAAACAAAAAAAACCAUGCGAAGAAAUAUUAUGACAAUCAAUAAUGUUUUAUAAAAAAAUUAUAAAAAUAAAUUCUCAAUCAACUCAAUAUAAAAAUAAAAAAAUUUGGCAAAUAUAAUUUUAAAAAAUAAAAUAGAAAAAUUAUGUGAAAAAACACCGUAGCAAUCCACAGUAUUUUAAAGGAAAAAAAUUACAAAGCAAAAUUUUUAACUAACUCAAUAUUUAAAAAGUAAAAUCAACAAAGAUAAUUCAAAAAAAAAUGAAAAAAAAAGAAAAAAAAGGAAAGUUGGAAAGAGAAAAAAGGAAAGUAAUUUUGGAAAAAAAGGAAACAUUAAACAAAAAAAAAAGGAAAAAGGGAAAGUUGGGAAAAAAAUGCAAAAGAAAAAAAACAGAAAAAGUUAAAAAGAGAGAGAGAGCAAUGCAUUGUGGAUUACUAUUGUAAUCCACAGUUGGGUGUGAGGGAACAGUGAUUUCCUCACACCCUUUAGUUUUAUGUAUAGUAAUUACAAUUAUUAAUCAGCUUAAUAUUUAAAAAAUAAAAUUAGUAAAGACAAUUUUAGGGAAAAACAUAACAAAACAGAAAAAAAACCUUGUGGGUAAAAACACUGUAGCAAUCCACAGUAAUUUGCGAGGAAACUUACAGUGCUUUCUCCACAUAUUGUAAAUGUAAUUUUUAACCAACUCAAUAUUAAAAAAUAAAAUAAAAUAAAAGAUAAUUUCAAAGAAAAUCAUAAAAAAAACAAAAAAAAACCAUUCGAAUAAAUACUGUAGUAAUCAACAAUGUUUUAAAGAAAAAAAAUUACAAAACUUAAUUCUUAAUCAGCUCAAUAUAAAAAAAAUCAACAAAUAUAAUUUUGAAAAAUACAAAAAUAAAAUAUAAAAAUUAUGUGGGAAAAUACUAUAGCAAUCCACAGUAUUUUAAAGGAAAAAAAAUUAUAAAUGAAAAUUUUUAACUAGCUCAAUAUUUAAAAAGUAAAAUCAACAAAGAUAAUCUUGAAAAAAAAAAUGAAAACAAAGGAAAAGUUUGAAAAAAAAAAUGAAAACGUGCAAAAAAAAAUGAAAAAGUGAAAAAAAAAAUAUACUGUAGAUUACUAUUGUAAUUUUCAGUGCAUUGGGUGUGGGGGAACAGUGAUUUCCCCACACCCUUUAGUUUUAUGUAUAUAAAAAAAUAGACAAAUAUAAUUUUAAAAAAUAAAAAAAAUAAAAUAGAAAAAUUAUGUAGAAAAAUACCGUAGCAAUUCAUAGUAUUUAAAAAAAAAUACAAAAUAAAAUUUUUAAUCAGCUCAAUAUUUGAAAAGUAAAAUCAAUAAAAGUAAUUUUGGAAAAAAAAAUUAAAUGAAAAAAAAGAAAAAAGAGGAAAGUUGGAAAAAAAAAGGGAAAGUUUGAAAAAAAAAGAAGAAAAGUUGCUAAAAAAAAAGUAAAAAUAAAAAAGAAAGAAAUGCAUCAUGGAUUAUUUUGUAAUCUACAGUAUAUUAAAUGUGCGGAAACAAUGAUUUCCCGUACCUUUUAAUUAUAUGUAUAAUAAUACAUCAGUCUUUUUUAUUAUUAUUGAUGAAUUCGAUUCAUCAUUUUACAAAUCAUUUGUGUACUAUUUUUCUUAAUUAUUAUUUUAGUCAGAGAGAAUGAAACAUCCCAUCAAUUCACUUGCGCGAGCAAGAUAGAAAAGACACUAUUCUAAAGUAUUGUAAGCGUACAUAAAGAUGGGUCCCUCAAAUUCACCUUCAAAGGAAUAUAUUCAUUUUAGAGAGUAUAUUCAUCUUAAAGAUGCUUGAAAUUCAAGAUAGCAUGCCCUUAAAAUCAAGCCAACCAUUUUCCCACUGGAUUAGAGGCUUCCAAUAUAAUGAACUAAAAGUUAGACAUUAGCUUUGCUUGGUUAUAUUAUAAAGGUACAAAUAGUGAGCAAGCUAAUGUGUUAGUCCAAAAGGCUAGGAAUCUUCAAAUCUAAAUGAAAUGUCAUCUUCCACAUAUGGAUAGAGAGAAGCCAAAAUGCAAAGCAAUUUCAUGGUAAUUAAUUAUUGCCAAGUAUGGUGGGGGGCUGGCCAUUAUGGCCAUACCACCUGCACUUCAAUGUUGACCCAAACCAGCUUGUUUUCCACUUGGUUUACAUGCAUUGGCUUGAUUUGGACGGUUAAUUUGGGACCUCAAUCGACAACUGGUAUUCAAUUAGAUGGACCAAAUCGUAUAGAUGUGAUAGUUCUAUAUAUGUGUAACAUAUAAAUCGUAUGGCUUCCAGAAAGAAAGAAGGAAAAAAAAAAAAACAUUUGAGAUUUUAACUCUUCAUGGAUAUGAACUUGAAGAAACUCUUCAUAGAAACACAAGUCUUUGAGCGUGAGAUUGUUUUUUUGGUGGGAGAGGAAUCUUCCUUUGAUUGUCAAAGACGAAAGCAUUUAUUCCCAUUUGUUAGAUUUCAGUUAAUAGCUUCCAUUUCCCUUUGUUAGAUCUCUCAAGAGUCAAGACUUGCUUUCCAUACGAGGGAACGCCUUUGUUUUAAAAUACUGAUCGAGUGAUUGACUUUGCCACGAGUUGGAUCGACGUUUCAAAUUUUUGGAGUCUAAUUGCUUGUUACUAAAACCCAGUUAACAACAACAAAUCCUGUAUAUUUGGUUUUGAAUAUGUUUGAACAUGGACUGCCUUUUGUUGAUGAUCAUCUUAAUUAUUUACGAGUGAUGAAAUCUUCAAUUCAUAUCGAGACCUGACAAAAAUAAUCUUAUCAGAUGAGAGUGAGUGUGAAAGUUUUUCUCAAAUUUUUAUUUUUUUUUAGUUUUGCUUAUUACAUUGAUUUUUCUUCCAACACUUCCAAUUAUUAAUCUCAGACAUGUAAAUUUUUUACAUAUUGCAGAGAACGAAUCAUUUUAAUAAGACAGCAAAGUUUGAGUCUUUGAAUCAUUGGCAUUGGAAGGGAUGGUAGGAGGGGAAGUUGCUGGUAUCUGUUUCUCUGAUUCUACUCAUUGGGUUGCCCUGCUGGACAACAUUUCUGCUGGUGUCUUUAGAAGACAAACUUAUGCCAAGAAAGAGAGAGAGAGUUUCUCAAGUUGGAAAUGCAGAGUGUUUAACUCAGAGUCCUGUCUUGAACUCUGAGGCUGAGAAACAUCAGUUGGUUUCUUCAAUCUGGUACUACAUAUUCGACUUCCUAUCACUGAAGAAUUUUGGAUGGUUAGAUAUCGGGAGGAAGGUUUAUACUCGGGAGGAUGUAUUACAUAUUCGACUUCCUAUCACUGAAAAGUUCUCUGCGAUGAUUCUGAUAAAGCAGGGUCACGAUGGGGAUGCGUUUGAAGAGGGAUGAUAAUAAGAAAUACAAUUUCUUCUGUGUCCUAGCUGCAUAAUCCUCGUCCAUUCCAUUGAAGAAACAAGCAAUAACAAGGAAUAAGUUCUGAUAAUCAUCAUGAGGAGAGUUGUAACUUUUUGCAAGAACCUUUUGAACUUAACAAUUUGGAAUCACUUCCGUUUCAUGUAAUGCGCUUUCCCAUACUUUUCUACUUUCACUAAAUAAUGAAGAACCAAUAGCACAAAGGGCUAAUGGAAGUCCAUUACAAUGAUGUACUAUUCUCCAAGAUUCCUCCAUAAAAUCUUCAACUGGGUAAGCUUGUCCACAGGCAUGCCAACUCAAAAGAUUAAGUGAUUUUUUGUUAUCUAGAGGUUCAUCUUUGCACUUGACACACUCACCAUCAGCUACAACCAAAGCCUUAUUUCUAGUUCUUACAAUGAUUUACUUCCUUGGCGAAGCCAAUUUCGCGUGCCAACAAUUGCAUUGAAGUGGUCCCAUUUGUCCACAUCAUCAAGAACAAUAAGAUUUCUUCUGCAACAUAACGCAUCCUUAAUAUAAUCCCUUCAUCAACAUCAUGUAUGUCAUCAACAUUGUUUAAGAUAUCUGAAAGAAGUUGCCUCUGUAGUCAAACUACACCAUUGGAUUCUUUUGACUAUUCUCUAACAUUUGAUGGAAAGAUCCUACCUUCAAACUUAUGAAACUGCUGGUUAUAAACACUCUUUGCUAUGGUUGUCUUCCCUACUCCACCAAUCCCAUAGAGUAUAUCAAAGGCAGAACUGUGGGAGCCAUAUUCUUCCAACCAUAAGUUGAUAAGUUUUACUAGAGGAUCUCUUCCGAUGAAAUGAAGGGGGAUAUGAAAUAUUUUACGAUCCAAUUUCUUUGAGACCUUGUCGACAAUAGAUUAGACAAGUUGUGCCUCAUGCCUGCAUCAAAAAGAAAAAUACAAUAUAUGAUAAUUAGUAAGUCUCUCUAUAAAGUUUCAAAAUCUUAGUAUCAUGUAGAAAUCGUUGCAUUUUUCAAGUAAUUAAGAACGAAAAUAUCAGAAAAUGAGAAAAAAAAGUUUCUUUUAUUUUUGUUUUCUUUAAUGUUCACUAAGUUGGGAGUGGUACGGUUUUUUCUAAAUUGAAGAUGUCGCACGUGUGCGGCGUCACGAUGAAAACAUCCACCCUCAAGAUUUUAUCUAAUGUUGCAAAAUAUAGGGAGACAAGGAAUUCUUAUCUUUUAUUAGUGGAAAAAUGAAGUGGGAGUCGCCACCUAAUACUUUGGUCACAAGAAAUUAUCGUAUUUUCUAAUUGUUGGUCCGUCUAUGGUUUAAGAAAAGUCCUCUUCGGUAAAAAGAUCCUUAUCUUAUCGGGUAAAAUCUAACCGCUUUAACGUCAAAAAAAGAAUUUAAUAUCCUGAAUACGUCUUACGUAUAAGAUCAUUACCCUAGAUAUUAAAAGAAAACAAAAUAUUUUUUUGAAGUUUUUUUGAAAUAUUGGCCUAGUUCUCGCGAUUUUAAUAAACUGGUUAUUAAAGCCAAAAUACAUGCUAAUACAUAUUUUUGAAGUUUUCUUUGUUAUAUGAAAGUACAAUAUGAUUUUUUUUUAGAGACUUGGUCGUAUGCAUGAAAACAAAAUAUUUUUUAUGUUUUGCCGAAGACCGGGUAUUUUAAUAUCGAAUUUGUAUCUUUACAGUAUAAAAAUACAAACCGAUAUUAAUUAAAAUGCAAUAAUUUUUUUUACAGAAAAUCACAAAUUUUUUGAAAAAAAAAAAUUUAUUAUUUUUUUAAGACUGGAACUAGCCCGAGUUAAGCCAAUGACCCGGCUGCUUGCUCAACGGCUGUUCAAGUGAAUUAUAAUUCACUUGCUCAGUGAACUUGAACAGUAAAGAGCAACAAUUACUGUUCAAGUGAAUAUUCACUUGAACAGUAAAAGAUAACAAUGAAAAAAAGAAAAUGCAUGCAGUGACAGAAACAAUGCAAUGUGAAGAGAAAUGUGUGAGGCUUACCUAGUAUCUGAAAUAGAUGAAGACGAUUGCAAUGAAACUGCUGCGCAGGAUCAGAGGUGACUGAUUUUGGGGACGAUGAAGACGAUCAACGCUGGGUCUUUUUUCUUCUGGUUUUUCUCUGCCUUUUUUGAAAUGAUGAAGCCCCUGUGUUCUUCUCCUCUCCGUCUUUUCCCUUCCCUUUUCUUUCUGUUUUUCUCCCCUGUAUUCCCCUCUCAGCGGUUCUUGGCGUGGCUGCUGGGAUGAAGAAGAUGAUGAGCUGACGAUGGCGUUGGCAGUGCUGGUGCAGUUGUGAUGGAGAAUGGCAGUGGCUAGUUUCUGGAAGAAUUGAAGAUGAUGAAAAUUCUGGUCUUGCGUUCUUUUUAUUAUUCUGGACUUUCUCUCUGGGUUUCUUCCUUUGCUUCUGUUUCUUUGGUUUUAUUCCCUUGCCUCUGGGACAGCAACGAUGGAGGCUGGUUGCUACUGGUUUUUUUUCUUGCUUCUGUUCGUCUGCUCCUCUGUUAUCGUCUCCCUAUGCUUCCCAGUUCUCCUUCCUGUCUCCCUCUUUUCUUUUUAUUCUCCCUGUUCUCUUUCUCUCCCUCUCUGUCUCGUCUUUCUCCUUUCCGUUAUCCCCCUCUCUCUGUUUUUCUCCUGUCCGUUGUCCUCUCUGGUCUUUUUUUUUUUCUGUCUUUCCUCCUCCUUUUCAUCGUCUUUCUCUGGCUUUUAUUGUUGGUGGGAGAAACCACUGGUGGUGGCUUUGAAACACUCAGAGGGGAUAAAACACAAAGUUUUAUUACAAAAUCCGAAGCUUAUAAUUAACACAAAAACUCACAAUACACACCCUCUCUUUCUCUCUUUCUCUUUCUAGUGUUUCUCUCAAUUAUCUCCACACAAUUUAACAGAAGUUGGGCACUCUAUUUAUACACGAAAUCAGAAUACAAAAAUUCAAACUUUCCAAGUGUGAAGGUGGGUGGCUGGUGGCUGGCGGUUGCGGCUGGUCGGUGGGUGGUUGCCUUCCUUGACCUUCUGGAUGUUGAGUUUAAUAUUCAACAAAUCUCCCCUUUAAACUCAAUCGAGGGAUAUCAUGCCAAGCAUGAACUUUAAUCAAAUAAAUUCUUCUCCUUUUAAUGGCUUGGUGAAGAUGUCCGCAACUUGAUCAUUUGUGUUGCAAGAUAUCAGUUGGACUUCUUCAUUCUUCAUGUGUUCCCGGAUAAAGUGAUGACGUGUAUCAAUAUGUUUGCUCCUUUCAUGAUACACUGGAUUCUUUGCCAAUGCGAUUGCUGAUCGAUUGUCAAUAUAAAUCUCCGUAGGAUUUUCUUGAGGAAAUCCCAAAAACUUCAGCAUAUUCCUUAACCAUAUUGAGUGACAUACGGCUGAGUUGGCAGCAACAUACUCAGCUUCACAGCUUGAUAAUGUUACAAUCGAUUGCUUCUUGGAUGACCAUGUGAAAGAUGUGUCUCCCAUGAAAAAGACAAACCCUGUUGUGCUUUUCCUUUCAUCCAAAUCUCUACCCCAAUCACUAUCCGAGUAGCCUACAAGAUUAAAGUCUUUACUUGAGGUAUAAAACAUACCUUCAUUCAUUGUGCCUUUGAUGUAGCGAAGAAUUCUCUUGGCUGCAUUCAAAUGAGACUGGUCUGGUGUCUCCAUGUAUCUGCUGAUGAGUCCGACUCCGUAGAGUAUAUCCGGUCUGGUACAUGUCAAGUACCUUAAGCUUCCUACUAAGCUUUUGAAGUAAGUUGGAUCAACAUUUCCAACCUUACUCUUCCUCAAUUCCACUCCAUUCUCAACUGGAGUUGAUACCGGAUUGCAGCUUUCCAUCUUGAACCUUUCAAGAAUAUCUUUGGCGUAACCGCUUUGGGAUACAAAAAUCCCUUCUUCCUUCUGCGUUACUUCUAAGCCAAGAAAAUGUGACAUUAGACCAAUGUCAGUCAUUUCAAACUCCUGUACCAUGCUUCGUUUGAAGUCUUCAAACAUGGUAGGGUUGUUGCCGGUGAAUAUCAAAUCAUCAACAUACAGGCACGCAAAUAAGAUGCUGCCAUCUGCUCCUUUCUUCACAUAUAUUGCGUGUUCAUAUGGACAUUUUUCAAAUCCAUUAUCUUGAAAAUACCUGUCAAUUCUGGUAUUCCAAGCACGCGGAGCUUGCUUCAAACCAUAGAGAGCCUUCUUCAACUUGUAUACUUUGCCUUCAUUUUCAGCAUCAAUGUAUCCAAGUGGUUGUUCAACAUAGAUCUCUUCUUCUAGGAAGCCAUUCAGAAAUGCUGACUUCACAUCGAGUUGAUAGAUCUUCCAUCUAUGUUGUGCAGCUAGUGAGAUCAUCAGUCUGAUUGUCUCUAGCCGGGCUACUGGAGCAAAUACUUCUCCAUAGUCAAUGCCUUCUCUCUGUUUGUAGCCUUUAGCCACUAAUCUGGCUUUGUAUCUUUGCACUUCUCCUUUGGCGUUCUUCUUCGUCUUGUAGACCCAUUUGACACCUAUUGCUUUCUUGUUUUCUGGUAGAUAAGUCAGCUUCCAGGUAUCAUUCUUCUCAAUGGCAUGUAUUUCUUCAUCCAUUGCUUCUAUCCAUUUCUCUUCUGUGAUAGCUUCAUCGAAGCUUAGUGGGUCACUAUCUGCAAAGAAACAAAACAGAGUUGUAUCUUCCAUGACCUGAGUGGUAUCGUACAACUCUUCAAGAUUCCUCAUCCUUCUUGGUCCUUCUGAUGAGGAUGUGUGGUGGUGUUGAUGAUGAUGCUCCUGGUGUGUUCCUCCUGUUGAAUACAGGGAAACUGUGCCGGACUUUGUGGUUCAGCUGCUGGCACAAUCGGUUCUUCGACAAGUACUGUUGGUACUUCUUCACCUUCAAGGAUCAAAUCAGUGUUGAUCCAUUGACUGCUUCUUGAUCACCAUUCCAUGCCCAAGAUUUAUCUUCUUCAAAGAUAACAUCUCUACUCGUAAUCACCUUCUUCGUGAUGGGAUUAUACAGCCUGUAUCCCAUCCUUCUUUCACCAUAUCCGACAAAGAUGCAUUUCUCGCUCUUAUCAUCGAGCUUUCUCCUUCUUGCAUCUGGGAUCUUUGCAUAUGCCACACAACCAAAGACUCGUAGAUGAGUAACACUUGGUUUGUGACCACUCCAUGCUUCUUCUGGAUGACUCCUUGCAAACUUCUGGUUGGGCAGCGAUUCAGUAGAUACACUGCACAUGAUACAGCUUCAGCCCAGUAUUGCUUGGGCAACUUCUUUGCUUUGAGCAAACUUCUGGCCAUGUCAAGAAUCGUGCGAUUCUUCCUUUCUGCUACACCAUUCAGCUGUGGUGUAUAAGCUGGUGUCGUCUGAUGUCUGAUGCCUUGUUGUGUACAAUAGGCUUCAAAGUCAUUUGCUGUAUAUUCUCCACCUUGAUCAGAUCACGGUUCUGAUCGUAACCAGUUUGCUUCUCCACAAUUGCUUUAAAAUCUUUAAAACAAUUGAAUACUUCUGACUUCCUCUUCAGAAAGUAUAUCCACGUCUUUCUACUAAAAUCAUCAGUAAAAGUGAGGAAGUACCUAUUUUGUCCAGUCGACAUAGGCGUAAUUGGGCCACACACAUCUGUGUGUACUAACUCCAGUGGCCUCUUUGCUCUCCAGUUGACUUCUUUGGCAAAACUGGAUCUGUGAUGUUUGCUGAGGACACAACUCUCACAGACUUCAUCUGGAUGAUCAAUGUGAGGCAAACCUUUGACCAUCUUCUUGCUUGCUAGCAUCUUCAGACUUGUGAAAUUCAGAUGUCCAAGCCUCAGGUGCCAAAGCCAUUCUUCACUGUUGGUGAUGGCACUCAAACACCUUUGCAUCAUACUGGAUGUUCAAAGGAAACAUCUUGUUCUUGGACAUUUUCACAUAGGCCAUUAAUCUCCAAUUGUUGUCUCUAAUUGUCAGAUGACAAUUCUUCGAGUAAAAAGUAUAUCCUCUCUCCAAAAGUUGACCUAAGCUGAUCAGGUUCUGCUUUAUGGCUGGGACAUAAUACACAUCGGCGAUGUAGCUGGAAUCGUCAUUCUUCAACUUGACUGGGAUGUUGCCUUUACCUUUGAAUGGAACCUUUGUGGUAUCUCCAAAAGUAACUAGACCUUGCUUGGUCUCAUCUAGAUCACCAAAUAACUCUCGGUAGCCGCACAUGUGAUUGCUGGCUCCAGUAUCUAGAUACCAUAUAUCUCCUUGUUUCUCAUCAAGUCCUUGUUGGACAAGAAAUGCAGCUUCUUCUCUGUCAUCCUUCUCUACAUAGUUGGCUUGCUCACGUAUCUCCAACGGAGCUUUCCUGCAUUCAGUGCUAUAGUGCCCAAAUUGAUUGCAGCUAUAACAUUUGAUAUUCCUCUUGUCACGGUUAUUGUAACCGCCUCCUCUUCCUCUAGGAGUGAAUGCUUGUUGGCCUCGGCCUCCUCUGGUGGUGUUUCUACCACCUCUUCCUCUGAAGCUUGUAUUCCAAGAUCUUCCUCUUGUUGAACCUCUUCCUUGGAAUCUCUAGAAUCCUCCUCUGGAUUGUUGACUUCCUGCUUGAGUGGUGUAGCCACUUGAUGAAGUCUCCCCUUGCUCAUAUCUGUCCUUGAAGACAGCUUUGCUUGUAAGGCAUGCUCAAUGGCCUUAUCUUCAUUUCGCUUUACAAUCUUCUGCUCAUGAGCUUGCAAAGAACUCAUAAGCUCAUCACUGUCAACUUGUCCACUUCCUUGGACUCUUCAAUUGCGACAACAAAUUCAAAUUUUGGAUCUAUGGAUCUCAAAAUUUUCUCAAUAAUUCGAGAAUCGAUGAUGGCUUCUCCAUUUCUCCUCAUCUGGUUGACUAUCACCAUAAUCCUUGUGUGAUAAUCAGAAAUAGACUCGAGGACUUCAUUCAAUAAUUCGAAUUCUCCUCUCAAAGAUUGAAGACGAAUCUUCUUGAUUCUGUCAGCACCUUUGUAUUUCUGUUGGAGAGCCUCCCAUAUAUCAUGUGUUUCAGCGGAAGCUAUUAUCUCGAAUGUAUCUUCAUCAAGACCUUGAUAGAUGAUGGUCUUUGCUUUGUUGUCCUUCUUUCUGUUGACUUUAAGGGCUUGCUUCUGUGCCUCUUGUAAAGCAUCUUCUCUUUCUUUGGACUCUGGUUCAUCAUAACCAGUUUGUACAAUAUCCAAACACUCUUGUGACCCAAGGAAUGCCUUCAAUCUGAUGCACCAACUAUCAUAGUUGUCUUUGGUCAGCUUCGGGAUGAGUGUAUGUGUACCUUUUGUAGUCAUUUUUCUCUUGUAAUGACUAUAUCACAUUUCUGGGAGCCUAAUUUGGCCAAACGGACACUGUAGAUCGAUCCAGAAUGGUCCAAAUAGUAGGGAACCGGUCUGACUUUGUAUAAAUCAGGUCAGAAAAUGGGUGAAUCGGUCAAAAAACCAAUUCUGUACGGCGGGCGGUUCGCUGGGUUGAACCGGGAAUAUUCGGGGAAUAUUCUGGGGAAUAUUCUCUCGGCGCGCUGGCGGCUCGGCUCGGCGCGGUGUACGGCGCAACUUGUGGCUCGGCUGGACUAGGACUCGGCUUACACGGCUCAGCUCGGCUUGAAUAUGGCGCGCGUGGACGUCAGUCGCCGUCUACCUCUGGGCGCGUGGGCUGCGCGUGGGAGAAGAAUGCAGAAUCUUCAGGCGGCGCGUGUGAGCUACCUCCGGCUCCGAUCAGGAUGAUUCUUGCGACAGUGAGUUCGUCUUGAUGAGCUCUACACUGUGGAAUGAUCAAAACUUGUUUUGGACAACUUUGAAAAUUCAGAUAUACCCCAAAACUCUUCUGUUUUCUAACGAACGGGGCUCUGAUACCAAUUGUUGGUGGGAGUAACCACUGGUGGUGGCUUUGAAACAUUUAGAGGGGAUAAAACACAAGGUUUUAUUACAAAAUCCGAAGCUUACAAUUAACACAAAAACUUAACACAAUACACGCCCUCUCUUUUUCUUUCUCUUUCUAGUGUUCCUCUCAAUUCUCUCCACACAAUUUAACAGAAGCUGGGCACUCUAUUUAUACACGAAAUCAGAAUACAAAAAUUCAAACUUUCCAAGUGUGAAGGCAGCUGGCGGCCGGUGGUGUGAAGGCGGCUGGCGGCUGCGGCUGGUCUGUGGGUGGUUGCCUUCCUUGACCUUCUAGAUGUUGAGUUUAAUAGUCAACAUUUAUAAGCCAAAGAAUGCCAUGAAACAUUCCCUAUAAUUGAAGCAAUCUGCUGUUUUUGUCGCUGAAAUGGCUCCACUGUCUACUGAAACGGCUAUGAUGAAAGGUGAUGAAAUAGUGCUUUGAAACGGCGUCGUCUUCCUAUCAAAAUGUAUAUUUCUGAUUUGGUCCUUGGCUGUUUUGACAAUUUUCUAAUCAAGCCCCCAGAUGAAUUGUAAUUGGAUCCCUUGAUUUUAGUUCCUUUUCCAGUUUAGUCCUUGGUUUCAAAUUGUUUCAAUUAAGUCCCUAAUUGGCCAUCAAACUUCAAUAAUUGGACCCCAUAACUUUAAUUACUUCCAAUAAAAGCCUAAAUUGACUUUAAAAAAAUCAAUUAUCUUGCAAUUAAACCCUCUAUAAAUUUAAUUAAACCUUGGAUAAAAUUUAAUUGAGUCCAUAAACAUCUUAUUUUGAACUUUUCUUUCUCAAUUUGAAUAUUUUUUAGUCAAUAGGGCUCUCAUCAGUAGAAAAUAUAACAUAAAAUUUCAAUUCUUGUAUUUCUGAAUCUCCUCAACCAAUUCCUAGCCAUUUUAUGAGUGUUUCAACAUCCUUUUCUUACUCCUGUUAUUAUUAAUUUUUUAUUCCUUCUUAAUAUAAUUUUUUUUUGUAUUUUUUCAGUUUUUGUAUGAGAACCCAAAAAUGAAUAACAAUAAAAGAGGUACUAUCAGUCAUUGUCUAAAUGCUUUCCUACAAACCUGAAAAAAUUAAGAGUUCACUACCAGCAUUCUAGUCUUAUGCUAUUUGUAAUUUCAUUCAGAAAUACAACUUACCUAACUCUGCAAUUUUCUUCAAAGCAAUCCUCCACCAAUUCACUCGCUCCAUCUCCUACUUGAAACGCUUUUAAUGAUCCAAUAAUGCUAUAGCGACUUCAGAUGGAUCCACAUCAUAGAAUACUAGCAAAACUAUGCAGUCAUUCCUCUUACACUCCAUGAUCAUUACAAGUUCAUCGAAGCACCACCUCGACCAAGCAUAAUUCAACAAUUAUUUUUCUCAUUGUUAUUUAUUUUGUUAUUUAUUAUUUUUUAAUUAAUUAAUUUUUCAAUUUUAUUUCUCAUCAUUUUAUUGAUGGGGGAUUUGAUUUUGUUAUUUUUGUAGGUUUAUCUUCUAUGAGGUUGGUUACAGUCUCAUAAUUUAGACUACAAGUUUUGAAAAUUAGGUUGAGUUCAUUUUAUUUUUUUAGGUCAUUUUUAAAAAAUUGAUAUUUUUUUUAAAUCAUCUUUCAACAUUGGGUUGGUUAGGGGUUCAAUUUCAUGAAUUGUUUUUUAUAUUAUUUCAAUCUCAUGUCUUGAGUCGUAAUUUAGUGGGUUAACACAUGUCCUUUUGUUUUUCUAUUGUUUUUUUAGAUUGGAUUGUUUUUCUCGGUUUUGCCCUUCAACAUUACAUCAUUUGAGAUUUGAGCUUUGUUGUUUUAUUCAUUUUUUCCUACAAUGUUAUCCUUGUCUCAGGAUUAGGUUAUGUAUUUGGCUAACUGACUUGGGUGGAUUAGUCAAGUCAAUUUUUUUUGUUUUUUUUUUAAUUUGAUUUGAUUUUUAAUUAUGUCCUUUAACAUUUGAUUGCUUAGAUUUGAGAUUCAUAUUUUUUUUUAUAAGGUUGUCACACUCUCAUUUGAUUUUUUUGCUUCAUUUUCAAAUAUUAUAAGGAUAUAUUUCUGUAAUAUUGACAAGCGUUUUUUUUUUAGUUGAUCAUUGUGAAUUUUUUUUAGUUCGAUUUGUUUAUUGUUGUUGUCUAUUUUUUUAAUUAUAUUAUUAAAUUAAUUAUAUUUAUUCAACUAAGGCAACUUAACAACCUACGUCUUUAAUUAUUUUUAUUUAAAAAAUAACACUAUCAUCACCUCAACAUCUUUUUUAAAUUGAAAAAAACUUUGCCCUACUAGUAAUACAGUUCAGGUAAAUAAUCUAGUUACAGCUAAUCACGUGGCCACAAAGCCCCAUUGGGAUUCAUAUUCCAUAAGAUUGCUCCAAUAUUAAAGAACUCUAAAAGGUAUGGGGAAAGCACUGCAGCUUCCCCACGCCUUUUAAUUAUACUUAUAUAUAAUAAUAAUAAUUAUUAUAAUAUAUAUUAGUUUUCUUUUUCAUUAUUUUUCUGUAUUUUUUUUUGUUUUUAUGCCUUUAUGGGUUUUUUUGAGCUUAUUUCUUAGUUUUUUUUUCCUUUAAAUUUUGUUUUUUAUUUAAUUUAGUUUGUUAAUUCAUCCCGAGUUUGAUGAGUUAACCUGAUUUGACGAGUUAACUAGAAUUUUUUUUUCUUUUUUUCUUUUUUUCUUUUUAAUUAAUUUUUUCAUUUAGUUUAGUUUGUUAAUGUUAAAUUUCUUUCUAUUUAAUUAUCAGACUUUCAUGACACGUAUUCCAAACUUGACAGGUUAACUCGUCAAUUUUUUUUUGUAUUUAGUUAUUAAACUUUCAUUACGCGAAUCUAAGGUAUGACAGGUUAUCCUGGUUUGAAAGGUUAACCCAGUUAAUUUAGAUUUUUUUUUCUUUUUCUUCAUGUUGGUUUUUUUUCUUUGUUUUUUUCUUUUUAAUUAAUCUAUUUAAUUUUCACACUUUUAUGACACGACCUCGCAACUAGACCCACAUUCAAGGCUCUUGGGCGUAGGAAAUUCACUGUAGCAGCUUUGUUUUGUUUUUUUUUUGUUACAUUUUUUUUUCUUUUUUUUACCCAAAAUUGACUUCUUUGUCUUUGUUUUUUUCUUUUUUUUUUCUUUUUUUUCAAAAUUAUCUUUACUAAUGUUUUUAAAUAUUGAGCUGUUUGAAAAUUUAACUAUGUAGUUUUUUUCUUUAAAACAUUGUGGAUUGCUAUAAUAUUCUCAUACAUUGUUUUUUUUUCUUUUUAUGAUUUAUUUAUUUUUUUUUCAAAAUGGUCUUAGUAGAUUUUAUUUUUUUAUAUAUAUAUUAAGUUGGUUGAGAAUUUAGCUUUGUAGUUUUUUUUUUAAAUCAUAUGGAUUGCUACAGUGUUUCUCCUAUAUAGUUUUUGUUUUGCUAUAGUGUUUCCCCACAUAUUUUUUAAAAAAAUUAUAUUUAUCGAAUUUAUUUUUUCAAUAUUGAGCUGAAUGAUAAUCUAGCUUUAGCUUUCCCCACAUUUCUUUUCUUUUUUUUUUCUUUUUUUCCAAAAUUUUCAAUUUUUACAAAAAAAAAUUUUCAGAAUUAUUUUUGUUGAUUUUAUUUUUUUACUAUUGAGCUGGUUGAAAAUUUAGUUUUUUUGUUUAUUUAUUUAAAACAUUGUAGCUUUCCCCACGUGUUUUUUUUUCGCUUUUGUUUUCUUUUUUUUUACAUGUUUUUUUUCAUUUAUUUUACCCAAAAUUGACUUUUUUUAUAAAAAAAAAAGUCUUUGUCGUUUUUUUUAUAUUGAUCUGGUUGAAAACUUAGUUUUGUAGCUUUUUUCAAAAAAAAAAAACACUAUGGAUUACUACAAUAUUAGCUUCUUUUUUUUCUUUUUAAUUUUUUUUGUUUGAUUUAGUUUGUUAAUGUUAAUUUUUUUUUAUUUAGUUAUCAGAUUUUCAUGAUACGGAUCUCGGGUUUGAUGGGUUGACCUAAUUUGACGAGUUAUUUUUUUUUCAUUUAGUUUAGUUUGUUAAAAUUAAUUUUCUUUCUAUUUAAUUAUUAGACUUUCAUACUUUCAUGACACGUAUCCUGGGCUUGACGGGUUAACUUGGUUUGAUAGGUUAACCCAGUUAAUUCUGGGUAAACCUGUCAUUUUUUUUCUAUUUAGUUAUCAAACUUUCAUGACGUGAAUCCCAGGUUUUAUGGGAUAACCUGGUUUAAAGGAUUAACCUAAUUAAUUCAUUUUUUUUAUUUUUCUUCAUUAAUUUUUUCCUUCCUAUUGAUUUUUUUUCUUUGUUUUUUUUUUAAUUAGUCUAUUUAAUUAUCACAUUUUUAUGACACAACUUUAUAGCCAGACCCACAUCCAAUAUUCUUGAGUCCGGUGUUGCAGUCAGGCUCACUUAAACUUGGGUCAUGCAAGUUUAAUUUUAUUAUUAAUAUUAUAAAUAUUACUUUUAGGUCAGGCGUUGCAGCCAAAUCUAAGAUUCUUAGGUAUGACCUUGCAAAAAAAUCCAAGAUUUUUAAUUUUUUUUUUUUAAUAUUUUUAUAAAAAAAAAUGAUCCACGGCAUCGCGCGGGUCAUUUGUCUAGUUCAUUGGAUGGUGUGUAUGGUAGGCUAGACAUGUGAAGCCCAUUAAUUGAUUCUGUCCAUAUUAAAUUGAGUCACUGAGUCACAAAUCAAAUUGAUUUGACUGUUGGGCUCUAAGGACACUGAGUCACAAAUCAAAUUGGCCUGCUUCAUACAAAAAAAUGAUGCAAAUUCAUAGCUGUACACUGAGUGCCAAAUUAUUUUAGGUUUUAAAAAGCUUUCAAUAUAACACCAAAUCUAAAACAAAUUCAACUCAGCCCAUCAUUAUUUUCACAUUUAAUUUCUUUUCAAAAAAACACAUAAUAAUUUCGUUAUCAAAAUCAUAACGGUCACUGCAAUAAUAAUUUCUAAAAAUAUGAGAAGCUAUUUCUGCUUUAGCUGCUACAUGUACAUCAUCACUAGAGUUUGAUGAGCUUCUAUCAUCAUCAGUUCCUUCCUCUUCGUGCAGCAUUCGUACACCAACCCUCUUUAUUUGAAAAACCAGAUCAUCUGUAAACACUGAAACACUGAAUUCAUCACCGUUAUCAAACGCCGGAUCAUUGGACCCAAAUUUCCAAUAGCUUAGCCAUAACAAUUCAGAUUUUUCAGCAGAAAUUCUAUCAGAAAAAUGGAGGGGUAAAAAACCCAGACUAGUCUACCCUUGGUAUUGUUCCUGAUUUCAAGAUAAACAUGAAGAUACGGAUUGGAUACUGGCGUAGCAGAAAACCAUGUGAAUAGAUUAAAGCCACAUAUCCGGUGUGUAGCAGGUGAGGAUAUUUUGAAUGACAUGUGCUCUUCAAACUCUUUCUGAAUUAGCCCUUCCUCCACAUAGAACUCCAACAUCUCAUUUUCAUCAUAUUCAAGGACAACAUUGAAUUUUCAUCAUAUUCAAGGACAACAUUAAAUUGAUUUAAGGUAAUUCAAAUUAACUUAUCUAAUGUUUUGCAGUGCUGGCUAAAAUGUUUUUUUGUCUAAAUUUUGAUUUUUUUAGUGUUUUUUGAUUCAUUUUAAUGUAUUAAUAUAAAAAAUAAUUUUUGGAUUAACCUUUUGGAUUAACUCUAGCUUAAUCAAAUCUUGGAUGUGAACUAAUUGAUCACAAUCACGAGCUAUGGUAAAAGGGAUCAGAUUUGCAAUUCUUUGCAGCGAAUAACAAUAGGACACGUCUAACCCAACCGAAUUGAAUGGAAGCUCCAGGAGCGUUUGAAGCAUUUUGCAUUCCGCUAAUGAAAGGUAAUUGAGUGUACCAAUGUCCUUAAUGCUUGGUGGAAGAAAACAAAUUGGAGUUCUACUAAAAUUUUGUGCCGUCAAAGAGUAUGGCAAUGUAAACGAGGUAAAUCUGGAAUUUUUCAUUUCUGAAAACCUGGAGGGAGAGAAUAGCUUCAAUUGAAGAGAUGUAAUGUAAGAUGUGCUUGCAACAAUUCUAUCACUUUGAUGCAACCUGCGUCGCUCUAAAUCCAUAUUCAAGCUCUCAAGUUUUGAGCAACCACACAAAACAAGCUCUUCAAGUGCUCAUUUCUUUUGGAAGUUCCACAAGACUUUUACAAUUCUUCAUAUUUAAGAUCACGAAUAUUUAAGAUCACGAGACAAUGUAAAUCACCAAUAGGUUCAGGACUAAAUAGAUGCAGUUUUCAAGUAUUAUCUUUUCCAGGCCUGGGGAUCCUGAGAAGUCUGGGGUUCUGAUGAGGUCAUGCGAGCCACGCAGAUCAAGAAUUUUCAAAUUUGGAAGAGUCUGCAAAAACAAUUACAUUUAGUUGUAAACAAAACUAGAUACUUACACUUGUUUCUUUCAAUACUGUAAAGGCUUCCAUGUGAUGCCAUAUUCUUUGACAUUUGGGUGAUUCUUGACGAGCAAUUUCCCUUCUCAUAUCUCUUACGAGUUGAUGCAUCCAUAACUUUUUUAUAAUUUUUUAUUUUGACAAUUUCUACUAGACAUCUAUUAAUGAGAUUGUCAAUUCUAAAUAUUGCACCUAUACCGAGUCCAUCUAGUAUCCUAACUGCAUAAUUGUAAUCCAUUAUAUUGAAGAAACAAGCAAUAUCAAGAAAUAAGUUCUUCUGAUUAUCAUCAUCAAGAGAGUCGUAACUUGUUGCAAGAACCUUUUGAACUUGAAAAUUCGGAAUCAAUAACACGUAGGGCCAAUGGAAGUCCAUUACAAUGACACUAUUCUCCAAGAGUCCUCUAAAAAAUCUUCAACUGGGCAUCCAAAGACAUGCCAACUGAAAAGCUCAAGUGAUUUUUUGUUAUCUAGAGGUUCAACUUUGCACUUGAUACACUCACCAUCAGCUACAAUCGAAGCCUUAUUUCUACUUACAAUGAUUUUACUUCCUUGGAAAAGCCAAUUUUGAAUGCCAACAAUUGCAUUGAAUUGGUACCAUUUGUCUACAUCAUCGAGAACAAUAAGAGUUCUUCUGCAACAGAAUGCACCCUUAAUCUUUAUAAUCCCUUCAUCGACAUCAUUUAUCUCAUCAGCAGUCUUGAUUAGGAUAUCAGAAAGAAGUUCCCUUUGCAGACAAACUACACCAUUGGAUUCGUUUGACUUUUCUCUAACAUUUGAUAGAAAGCUCCUGCCUUCAAAUUUAUAAAGAUCAAGGGUGCAUUAUGUUGCAGAAGAACUCUUAUUGUUGCUCCUACCUUCUCCACGAUAGAUUGGACAACCUGUGCCUCAUACCUGUAUCAGAAAGAAAAAUGUAAUGUAUAAUUCUCUCCGUAAAGUUUCAAUAUCUUAGCAUCCUGGAAAAAAGAAAUCAAACCAGGAUGUGCGUUAAUGAUGGAUUGCUACUUUUGCAGCUAUGUUAUCACCACAUAUUAAAACCAAAAAAGGAAUAAUGUAGAAAUCUUUGCUUCUUCAGGUAGUCAAGGAAAAAAAAAGAGAAAAAAGUAUCUUUUAUUUUUAUUUUCCUUGUAUGUUCUCUGAGUUGGGAGUGUUAUAGUUUCCCUAAAUUGUAGUGGUAUUAUCACUUAUCGUCUAAAUGCUUGACUACAAACCUGAAAAAAUUAAGAGUUCAGAACCAGCAUUCUAGUAUUAUGUUAUGUGUAGUUUCAUCAAGAAAUACAACUUACCCAUCUCCUAAAACCAUUCCUCCUAAAUCUGCAACUUCCUUCAAAGCAAUCCUCCACCCAUUGACUUGCUCCAUCUCCUUCUUGAAGUGCUUUUUGUUGAAUAAACUCAAUCCAGAAGCUCCCAGAUGGUCAAAGAAGGCAACCACUAGCUGCCACCCACCAGCCGCCACCCACCAGCCGCCAGCCGCCUUCACACUUGGAACAGUUAAUUUUAUAGUUUUUGAUUUCGUGUAUAAAUAGAGUGCCCAGCCUCUGUUAUAUUGUGUGGAGAGAAUUGAGAGAAACACAAGUAAGAGAAAGAGAGAGAGAGGGCGUGUAAUUGUUAAGCUUUAAUUAAUUGUAAGCUUCGGUUUUGUGUAAUAAAAUAGUGUGUUUUAUCCCCUCUGAGUGUUUCAAAGCCACCACCAGUGGUUUCUCCCACCAACAAUUGGUAUCAGAGCCCCGUUCGUCGGAAAACAGAAGAGUUUUGGGGUAUAUCCGAAUUUUCAAAGUUGUCAAAAACAAGUUUUGAUCAUUCCACAGUGUAGAGCUCAUCAAGACGAACUCACUGCCGCAAAAAUCAGCCUCAUCGGAGUCCGAGGUAGCCCACACGCGCCCCGAGGUUGAAGACGACUGAGCCACACGCACGCCAUAUUGGAGCCGCGCCGAGCCGUUAAGCCGAGUCCUAGCCGCGCCGCAAGCCAAGUCCAGCCGAGCCGUACUCCCGCCGAGCCGAGUCGUCAUCAAAGCUCAGCCGAGCCGAAAGAAUAUUCCCAGAAUAUUCCCUAGAAUAUUCCCGGUUCAACCCAGCGAAUCGCCCGCCGUACAAAAUUGGUUUUUCGACCGGUUCACCCAUUUUCUGACCCGAUUUCAACAAAGUCAGACCGGUUCCCGACUAUUUGGACCAUUCCGGAUCGAUCUACAGUGUCCGUUUGGUCAAAUUCGGCUCCUAGAAAGGUGAUAUAGUCAUUCAAAGAGCAAAAUGACUACAGAAGGUACACAUACACUCAUUCCAAAGCUGACCAAAGAUAACUAUGAUAGUUGGUGAAUCAGAUUGAAGGCAUUUCUUGGGUCACAAGAGUGUUUGGAUAUUGUACAAACUGGUUAUGUUGAACCAGAGUCCAAAGAAGCAGAAGAUGCUUUACAAGAGGCACAGAAGCAAGCCCUCAAAGUCAACAGAAAGAAGGACAACAAAACAAAGACCAUCAUCUAUCAAGGUCUUGAUGAAGAUACAUUCGAGAUCAUAGCUUCCGCUGAAACAUCACAUGACAUAUGGGAGGCUCUCCAACAGAAAUACAAAGGUGCUGACAGAAUUAAGAAGAUUCGUCUUCAAUCUUUGCGAGGAGAAUUUGAGUUAUUGCAAAUGAAGUCCUCGGAGUCUAUUUCUGAUUAUCACACAAGGAUUAUGGUGAUAAUCAAUCAGAUGAGGAGAAAUGGAGAAGCCAUCAUCGAUGCUCGAAUUAUUGAAAAAAUUUUGAGACCCCUAGAUCUAAAAUUUGAUCAUGUUGUUGUCGCCAUUAAAGAGUCCAAAGAAGUGGAUAAGUUGACAGUUGAUGAGCUUAUGAGUUCCUUGCAAGCUCAUGAGCAGAAGAUUCUAAAGAGAAAUGGAGAUAAGGCCAUCGAACAUGCCUUACAAGCAAAGUUGUCUCUCAAAGACAGAUAUGAGCAAGGGGAGACUUCAUCAAGUGGAUACACCACUCAAGCAGGAAGUCAACAAUCCAGAGGAGGAUUCCAGAGAUUCCAAGGAAGAGGUUCUUGGAAUACAAGCUUUAGAGGAAAAGGUGGCAGAAACACUACCAGAGGAGGCCGAGGACAACAAGCAUUCACUCCUAGAGGAAGAGGAGGCGGUUACAAUAACCGUGACAAGAGGAAUAUCCAAUGUUAUAGUUGCAAUCAAUUUGGGCACUAUAGCAUUGAAUGCAGAAGAAAAGCUCCGUUAGAGAUACGUGAGCAAGCCAACUAUGCAGAAAAGGAUGACAGAGAAGCAUCUGCAUUUCUUGUCCAACAAGGACUUGAUGAGAAAAAGGAGGAUAUAUGGUAUCUAGAUACUGGAGCCAGCAAUCACAUGUGCGACUACCGAGAGUUAUUUAGUAAUCUAGAUGAGACCAAGCAAGGUCUAGUUACUUUUGGAGAUACCACAAAGGUUCCAUUCAAAGGUAAAGGCAACAUCCCAGUCAAGAUGAAGAAUGGCGAUUCCAGCUACAUCGUCGAUGUCUAUUAUGUCCCAGCCAUAAAGCAGAACCUGAUCAGCUUAGGUCAACUUUUGGAGAGAGGCUAUACUUUUUACUCGGAGAAUUGUCAUCUGACAAUUAGAGACAACAAUUGGAGAUUAAUGGCCUAUGUGAAAAUGUCCAAGAAUAGGAUGUUUCCUUUGAACAUCCAGUAUGAUGCAGCAAGGUGUUUGAGUGCCAUCACCAACAGUGAAGAAUGGCUUUGGAUCAAUCUUGAUUUGAUCCUUGAAGGUGAAGAAGUACCAACAGUACUUGUAGAAGAACCGAUUGUGCCAGCAGCUGAACCACAAAGUCCGGUGUUUAUACCAGCAGCUGAACCACAAAGUCCGGUGUUUAUACCAGCAGCUGAACCACAAAGUCCGGUGCACAGAUUCCCUGUAUUCAACAGGAGGAACACACCAGGAGCAUCAUCAUCAACACCACCAUCAGCAUCCUCGUUAGAAGGACCAAGAAAGAUGCAGAAUCUUGAAGAGUUGUACGAUACCACUCAGGUAAUGGAAGAUACAACUCUGUUUUGUUUCCAUGCAGAUAGUGACCCAUUAAGCUUCAAUAAAGCUGUCACAGAAAAGAAAUGGAUAAAAGCAAUGGAUGAAGAAAUACAUGCCAUUGAGAGAAGAAAGAUACCUGGAAGCUGACUUAUCCACCAGAAAAGAAGAAAGCAAUAGUGGUCAAAUGGGUCUACAAGACGAAAGCCAAAUUAGUGGAUAAAGGCUACAAGCAGAGAGAAGGCAUUGAAGAGAGAAGUAUUCAUGCUUGGCAUGAUAUCUCUCGAUUGAGUUUAAAGGGGAGAUUUGUUGAAUAAACUCAAUCCAGAAGCUUCCAGAUGGUCAAGGAAGGCAACCACCAGCUGCCACCGACCAGCCGCCACCGACCAGCCGCCAGCCACCAGCCGCCUUCACACUUGGAACAAUUAAUUUUAUAGUUUUUGAUUUCGUGUAUAAAUAGAGUGCCCAGCCUCUGUUAUAUUGUGUGGAGAGAAUUGAGAGAAACACAAGUAAGAGAAAGAGAGAGAGGGGGCAUGUAUUGUGUUAAGUUUGAAUUAAUUGUAAGCUUCGGUUUUGUGUAAUAAAACAGUGUGUUUUAUCCCCUCUGAGUGUUUCAAAGCCACCACCAGUGGCUUCUCCCACCAACACUUUUCACGAUCCACAAAUGUUGUAGCAAAGCUCCUUGUUUGAUUUCUGACUUCAGACGGAUCAUAGAAGACCGGCAAAAUUAUGCAGUCAGUAUUGCUCUUACGUUCCAUGAUCAUUACAAGUUCAUCGAGGCACCACCGCGACAAAGCAUAUGCUUUGGAGAACACGAUUAUCGAUAUUUUUUAUUGUUGUAUUGCCUACUGGAGCUCUGACUUUAUAUUUUCUCCUCUCCCAAUUUCAUCAUCGUCUCUAAAUGUGUGAAUCCCUGCUUGAACCAGGGCUGUGUAGAGGUGAUCGGUAAAGUUCUUGCGGGUGUCUUCCCCUCUAAAACUCAAGAACACUUGAUAUUUACAAUUAGAAAACCGAGAAGAGUAGGAUUCUUGAUAUUUCCCAGCAGCCAUUUCGAGUCUAGCAAAGAUAAGACUUUACAAAGAUCUGGACAAAAAAAAAAGGAAUUGCAGGAUUCUAGAUAUUUCCCAGAAGCCAUUUCGAGACUAGCAAAGAAAAAAAGUUGCAGGAUGAAUGUCGAUAAUUCAAGAUCGAUAGCACAACAAUUAGCUGAAGUAUUUAUAUAUCAUUAUCCUACUUUUUCUUUAUAACAGCAAUCAACUCCCCCAGACCCUUUCAGAUAAAUAUCUGUACAUAUGUUAACCGCACUUGCUACCACGCAUUUAGAAGCACAGAUGGAGCAGGAAAGGAAAGUCAUUAAGGAUCCCCAUCUGGCUAUGUAAGCCUUAAUUAUUUAGAAAGCACACAUCUUGUAAUCCUUACAAAGCCCACGGGGGUGAAUUUGUUAGUUUAUAAUUUUUUGAGUGGCAUAAUAUGAUGAGAUGAUGAACAUGUAGUCACUAACAGUGGUUUAAUCUAAGCGAUUAUCAACAAAGAAAACAAGACAGCAGCUGGAUUGGAACCAAAGUAAACAAGAGAUAAGAAAGAGAGAGUACCUGCAAGUUUCCCUUCCCUUCUCUCUUCAGUUGUGGCUGCUGUUCUGUAUCAGUAAUCUAAGCGGUUCUGCUCCACAAUUUUAAGACAACCCUUCAAGUCUUUGUGGCACAAUAUUAUAAUAAAAUAUUUUAUUAUAUAGGAAUGCGAGGUAUAGUUACCAAAAGGGACAUUAGACACCCGCAUAAUCCAACUCAUCCACUCUCGCUGUGCCCCUGCUCUGGCCGUAUCUCUAUCCUCUCGCAUCCAAAACCAGCAUCAACACCACCCACCAAUAAGAAAAAGGCACGUGGAGGAUCAUGACUCUGAAUCAGCUACUGGGUCGGCUACCGAGUGGUGUUCCGUUUUGAGCCAUUGAGUAUUGCUGUGGAGUGGAGGGACAUUGAAGCUGCACAAUGUUUGGUGUCUUUGGCUAUAAAGUGUGGGCUUAAGGAAUCAGGGAUUACAAGUGCUGAUGGCAAGAGGGCUAUUGAGUGGGGGUUUUAUAAGAAUGGAGGUUCCAUGGAGUGAUAGUAAUAGGAUUCUGUUGUCAAAAGAGUGUGUGAGGUUUCCCGUUGACUUGGCUCGUCAGAAAAUUGGAAGAGAACUCGAGCGUUUUUUAGUUGUUUAAGAGAAAACAGCAAAUGGGCUCGUCAGAUAAAAAAUUACUAAUUAAAUUUUAUCAUGUGUUAUUUUUAUUUUAUUUUUUAUAUAAAAAAAUGAAAUAAAAUAGAUAAAAUAACAUGAAAAUUGGAAGGUUAACUUAUAUUUAAUAUGUCUUAUUAUAAAUGCAAAUUAAUAAAAUAAUAUCAUAUUACAUUUUUUAAUAUGAAACCCUUAUAAAUACUUAUAAAUAAAAGAUCUCAUGCUAUUUCAUGAUAAGCUUUCCAAGAAAAAAGAAAAAACUAUUUCAAAAGCUUUCCAGUUUUUUUGAUUUUACGGUUGAAAUCUAAAAAAGCAAACCUCUACUUAAUGAAACCUAAAAUAAUACAGGUUCUAGACCCUUCUUUGCAAAACUCCAAAAAGUGUAAUUGCGAGUCCUGUGUUUACCAUGGAAAGCACAAUUAUAAUUUCUAACUAUAUGAGAAGCUAUUUGUACUUUGGCUACGUGUGCUGCAUCAUCAUCAUCAUCGCUACUGUUGUGGGCAUUGAUAACUUCAUCCUUUCCUUCCUCUUCAUGCAACCAUUGUACACCAACGGUCCUUAUUUGGAUAGCUGGACCACGUGGACGCACUGAAAUACUCACGUCAUCACCAUUAUCAAAUGUAGGAUCAUUGCCCCCCUAAUUUCGUGUGCAAUAGCGAUUGGAUUUCCCGAUCACCACACGCGUACUGUUUGACAAAGGAUUGACAAAGCAAGGAUCGACCACUCGUAUUGUUUCUGAUUUCAAUAUGAACAUUACUAAAGCCACGGUAUGCUGACGUCACACAACUUAUGAACAGAUUAAAGCCACAUAUCCGGUGCGCAGGAGGUGAUGAGGAUAUUUUGAAUGAAAAGUUAUCUACAAACUCAUUCUGAAUUAGCCAUUUAUCCUCCACAUGAAACCCCCUUAACAUCUCAUCUUCAUCAAAUACAUAUACGGCAACGUUGAAUGUGCCAUCUAUAAAUGAUAUCUGUACCAUCAAAACAAUGUCUAUAAAAUGAGAAAAAGAAAAGUAUUCAAAUGUAGAUUUCCAAAACAAUAAAAUGGGUGAAGGAGGACCUGAAAUCUCGAUGGCUGUAUUUGAGCACUAACCGUUUCCAUUAUUGUGAACAUUUGAGAGUCUAACUUUUGGAUUAAUCCUUGCUUUAUCCGAUCUUGGAACUCGAUUAAGUGAUCACAACCAUCUCCUUCAGGCCUACUGUAUGGAUUUGCAAGUCUUUGCAGUGAAUAGCAAAAGGACACAUCUAACAACUCCAAAAGGAAUGGAAGCUCUGGGAGUGCCUGAAGCAUUUUGCAAUUUCUUAAAUAUAGGUGUCUGAGUAGACCAAGAUCCUUGAUGCUUUCUGGAAGAAAACGAAUUGGAGUUCCACUUAAAUCUAGACUCUCCAAGAAGCGUGGCAGUAAAAACGAGGUAAAUCUCAACAUUUUCCUCGUUGAAAACCUAGAGGGAAAGAAUAGCUUCAAUGGAAGAGAUGUAAUGUACGAUGCACUUGCAACAAUUCCAUCACUUUGAAGCAACUUGCGCCCCUGAUGAUGCUCUAACUCCAUAUUCAGGCUGUUAAGAUUUGAACAACCAUCUAAAACCAGCUCUUGAAGUGAAUUCAAUCUACUCAUUCCUUCUGGAAGCUCCAUAAGACUUGUACAAUUUCUUAGAUUUAAGAUUAACAAUCUUUGUAAAUCACCAAUAGAUUCGUGAAUUUGAACCAAACGGAUGCAGUCUUCAAGUAUUAGCUUUUCAAGGGCUGGGAGACCCGAGAAGUCUGGGGUUCUAAUGAGAUCUUGAGAGUGACGGAGAUCAAGAAUUUUCAAUUUUGGAAGAAACUGUGAAAAUACAUGAAUUUAGUUGUUAUCAAUUGAAAACGAGAGAGAUAACUAUAAAGAGACUUGAUACAUACCGGUGUUUUCCCUUCCAAGCAUCAACUAGACAACUUCUGGAUAGAUCAAGAACCACCAGCUUCUCCAAGCAUACGUGAUUUGGUAUGGAGCUCCAAGACAAUCCAUGCCAACAUAACCAUAUCAAAUUCCUGGGAAAGUGCUCAAAACUUCCAUGAAAAUUAGUGUAGUUUAGUUGGAGAAAUUUUACAUCUGUCAUCUUUCUAAAAGCAUUCGUGCUGAGGAUAGGAAACAAACUUGUUUGGCCAGUUUGUAAUUUUCCCUCAUAGGAAAAAUCAGAAAGCCAUUGUUGAAAGAAGUUAACCCUGCGGCGCUUUCGGCAAACCAUUGAAUCAGUACAGACAACUUUUGCAUAAUUAUCUUCCAUUAAUGCAUGCAUAUCAAUAGUAAGGCCACGCAAAUUUUCAGCAUCCUACAUAAUAAUAUUAAGAGUACAUGAGAAAUGAAAGUAAAUGAAAUAAUAUGUUAAGGCACCACAAACCAUUUAAGUAGAUAUAUUAAAAAAAUUGAGCUACUUACAGUAGUUCCUUUCAAAACUGUAAAAGCAUCCUCGUGACGCCAUAUUCUUUGACAUUUGGGAGAUUCUUGACGAGCAAUUUCCCUUCCCAUAGCUCUUACGAGUUGAUGCAUCCACAACCUUUUAUCAUUGUUGAUUUCAAUAAGACAUCUAUCGAUGAGAUUGUCAAUCCCAAAUCUUGCACCUUUAUCGAGCCCAUCCAGUAUCCUAACUGCAUCAUCCACAUCCAUUCCAUUGAUGAAACAUGCGAUAUCAAGGAAUAAGUUCUUCAGAUAAUCACCAUCAAGAAAGUCGUAACUUAUUCGAAGAACCUUAUGAACUUCAAAAUUAGGAAUCACUUCCAUUUGUUGUAAUGCACUUUCCCAUAUCUCUCUUCCUUUUCCAGACAAUGAAGAGCCAAUAACUCCAAGAGCUAAUGGAAGUCCAUUACAAUGAUGUACUAUUCUCCAAGAGUCUUCUACAAAACCAUCAACAGGGUCAGCUUGUCCAAAGGCAUUCCAACUGAAAAGCUCAAGUGAUUUUCAUCAUCUAGCGGUUUGACUUUUGCACCUGACCCACUCAAUAUCAUUAGCUGAAAACAGACCCUUAUUUCUGGUUGUUACAAUGAUUUUACUUCCUUUACAAAGCCAAGUUUGCAUGCCAAUGAUUUUAUUGAAUUGGUCCCUUUUGUCCACAUCAUCUAGAACAAUAAUAGUUUUUCUGCAACAUAAUGCAUCCUUAAUCUUCAGAAUUCCUUCAUCAGGAUCAUUUAUCUCAACAGUCUUGUUUAGGAUGUCGAAAAGAAGUUGUCUCUGCAGGCAAACUAUAUCCUUUAACCUAAAAUUUGAUAGAAAGCUCUUUCCUUCAAAUUCAUAAAAGUUAUGGUUAAAAACACUCUUAGCUAUGGUUGUCUUACCAACUCCACCAAUUCCAUAGAGUAAAGCAAUGGCAGCACCAUGGGACCCAUCUUGCAACCAUGAGUUGAUAUCUUGUACUAGAGGAUCUCUUCCAAUGAAAUGAGGGGUACAUGAAACAUUUUUUUGAUCCAAAUUCUUUAAGACUUCUCCACAAUAGAUUGGACAAACGGUGCCUCGUACCUACAUCAAAAAGUAAAAACAUACAACGAUAAUUAGUAGUCUCUCUAUAAGCAAUAGAAAUUAAAGCAGGUUGUGUGUCAAUGAUUUGAUAGUUUAAACCAAAUCAUGAUUGGAAAAAAAAAAAACAACGAAGAAAUCAUGAGUAUUUUAUUUUAUUUUUGUUAUAUGUUUUCUUAUCAGUACACUUAACUGAAAGAAAUUAAGAGUUCACGACCAGCAUUCUAAUCUUAUGCUAUGUAUAGUUUCAUAAAGAGAUACAACUUACCCAUCUCCUAGAACCAUUCCAGCUAAAUCAGCCACUUCCUUUAAAGCAAUCCUCCACCCAUUCACCCGCUCCAUCUCCUUGUUGAAGCUCUUUUCAUGUUCCACAAAUGCUGCAGAGAAGCUCCCUGUUUGACGUCCGACUUGGGAUGGAUCCACAUCAUAGAAUACUGGCAAACUAUGCAGUCAGCAUUCCUCUUACGUUCCAUGAUCAUUACAAGUUCAUCAGGCACCAUCUCGACGAAGCAUAGUCUUUGGAGAACACGAUUAUCGAUAUUUUUGAUUGUUGUAUUGCCUUCUGGAGCUCGAAAUCUAUAUUCUCUCCUCUCCGAAUUUCAUUAUCAUCUCUAAAUGUGUGUGAAUCCCUGCUUGAACCAGAGCCGUGUAGAGGUGAUCGGUAAAGUUCUUGCGGGUGUCUUCACCUCUAAAACUCAAGAACACUUGAUAUUUACAAUUAGGAAACCGUGAAGAGUAGGAUCUUGAUAUUUCCCAGCAGCCAUUUCGAGUCUAGCAAAGAUAAGACUUUUCAAAGAUCUGAACAAAAUAAAACAGUUUUCAAGAUUGAGAGAGAAAGGGUGGAUUGUAAAUUUAAGACAAGUCAUCCCCACAAGUCCACUCUCUCUAUGGUAUGGAACGUUUCCGCGUGAGGAAUUUUCCAUGGCUAAUUAAUGUCUAGGCGUGGAAAAUUUUGCAUGGAAAGUUUUGGUGCCGGGAAUUGAUGGCUAUUGACAUCGUGAAGUAAGAAUCAAGUUAGAAAAAUCUAAUUAAGAGGAGAAGUUUAUGGCUAUUCACAUCAUUUCGGCCAAAAAUUCUAUCGAAAAAUUAAGGGGUAAGAAACCCAGGCGAUAAGAAACCGCGAAGAGUAGGAUUCUUGAUAUUUCCCAGCAGCCAUUUCGAGUCUAGCAAAGAUAAGACUUUUCAAAGAUCUGAACAGAAAAAAAAUAAAAUAAAACGAGUUGCAGGAUUGAUGUCGAGAGUUCAAGAUCGACAGCACACCAAUAAGCUGAAGUAUUCAUAUAUUGUUAUCUUACUUUAUCUUUAAAACAGUUUUCAAGUUAUUUCCCAGCAAUCAAAUCCUCCAUGCCCUUUCUGAAAAAUAUCUGUACAUAUGAUUAAUUUAAGUGAUUCUAAAAAAUAUUUUUUUUAUUUUUUUUAUUUUUAUUUUUUAUUUUUUUUAUCCUUCAAAAAAAAAAGAGAGAGUACCUAUAAUCUUUACUUGUAAGACCAUCUCCAGGAGAAAAUGUUAUUUUGAAGAGUUUAAUUGAUAAAAUAAUAUUUUAAAUAGUAUAUAUAUAGUGUUUUUAUUUUUUUAAUAAGUUUAAUGUUAUUUUUUUAUAUGUUUAUAUUUAAUUGAUUUAUUUUUUUAUGGUCUUAUUUUGUUGGUUUUGAUGUUUUUAAAAGAUACGUAAGAAUAAUAUUUGUGAUAGAGAAAAACAAUUUUAUUUAAUAUUUUUUUUUAAAUAUGUAAAAUAAACAUAAAAAAACUAAAAUAAUAUUAAGAUGAGGAUGCUAAAAAGUCAGCCUUGGAAGUCGCUGUGAUAUAAUUACCAAAAGGGACAUUAGACACACUCACACGGUUCUUCUUACUUCACCCACCAGUAAGAAAAAGGCACAUGGAGGAUAAGGCUCUCCAUAUCUGACUUGGAAAGUUUACUAGGGCCUGUAAUUCUUGCUGCAUCAUUUGAAUCUGCUGAAAGUAAAGUAGAUUUACGAAGAAUUAAUUGAAAAACAAAGCAAUUGGUUAAAUUAAAUAAAUUACUCAACUAGCAUAAUUUUUUUAUUAGUAUUUCAAUUAAAUAAUUUGAUUUGUUUUUUAUUUAGAAUUUGAGAUUUAUGGAAUUUGAGGUGUUUAAUGGUUUGUUCUCAUAUAUAAAAAACUCGUGAAUUAGACUUUUUAUAAAUAAAAUUUAAAUUUAAAUAAAAAAAAUAUUAGUUGAACUAAAUCUUGCUAACUCCCAAUAAAAUUGAAUCAUAUCAACAUCAAAUAAUUAUUUUUAAAACAAAAAGUAAAUUAAUCUUAUUUUUAUUAAAUAAUUGACUCAAGUUAAUUAUUAUUAUUUUUAUAAAAUAAUUGACUUAAGUUAAUUGGAUAACGCAGUUAUCAAAACUUAUUUUAAAAGCGUGUUUAGAAAUGUGAUAGCGAUUAUUUUUUAAAAUAUUUUUUAUUUAAAAAUAUAUUAAAAUAAUAUAUAUUUUUUAUUUUUUAAAAAUUAUUUUUGAUAUAAGUACAUUAAAAUAAUAUAAAAAUAUAAAAAAUAUAUUAAUUUAAAAUUAAAAUAUUUAAUUUUAAAAAAAACACUUCUAACACAUAAUACCAUGCACACCCUAUAUUUGUAAUCGGACCAGUCUACAACUGGGGCCCAAGACAUGGGCAUGGUUUUAAAAUUGAGAGAGAAAGGGUGGAUUGUAAUUUUAAGACAAGUCAUCCCUACAAGUCCACUCUCUCUAUGGUAUGGAACGUUUCCGCGUGAGGAAUUUUCCAUGGCUAAUGCAUGGAAUUGAUAUAUUGACAUCGUGAAGUAAGAAUCAAGUUAGAAAAUAAACUUCAGAAGUUGAUGGCUAUUGACAUCAUUUCGACCAAAAAUUCUAUCGAAAAAUUGAGGGGUAAAAAACCCAGACUCUACCCUUCGUAUUGUUUCUGAUUUCAAGAUAAACAAGACGAUAAGGAUUGCAUACUGACAUAGCAGAAAACCAUGUGAAUAGAUCAAAGCCACAUAUCCGGUACUCUUGUUCUUCCUCCUCGUGAAACCACAUUAACAUCUCAUUUUCAUCAUAUUCAAGGACAAUGUUGAAUCUGUUGCCCUAAAGUUGUAUCUAUUCCAUCAUAGCAGAAUUUAUAAAAUGAGCAAAGGGAAAAUUUUCUAGAUAUAUAAGAGCAAAAAUGUAGAGUUGAAAUAAAGCAGAACUUAUAAAAUGAGCAACGGAGAUCAAGAAUUUUAAAUUUUGGAAGAGACUGUGAAAACACUUGAAAUCAGUUAUUGUCCAUUGAAAAUAAGAGAGAUAGCUGAAUAGAGAGACUAGAUACAGAGCAUGCCUUUCCAAGCAACAAUUAGACUGGUUCUGAAUUCGAUUAAGAGCCACAAGCUUCUCCAAGCAGAAGUGCUUUGGUUUGGAUCUUGUAAUAACCCAACCCUUUUAUUUUAUUUAUAUUAUUAUUAUUAUUUUCCUUGAAAAAUGAUAAUAAAAAAAUAAUGAAAAAAAACAAAUAAAAAAAUAAAAUAAAUGAAGAAUGAAUUAAAAUUUGGGUUAACGGUAACAUGAGUGAAAGUUUUGGAAUUUAAUUAAACUUUGGAUUAGUUUUAUUAACCAAAUUAAGAGCUUAAUUGAGGAAUUGAUAAGUUUGAGACUUAAUUGAACUUGAAAUUAGUUAAUUAAUGAAAUCAGGGGCUUAAUUAAAUAAACAUCAAAGUUUAGGACUGAUCUAGUUACAAUUGCAAGAAAUUAAAAGCCAAUGACCAAUUUGUAAAUGGCGCUGAGAUCUAGGGGUCCAAUUAAAAUGUAUCCAGGGGGCUUGCUUACAAAGCUUUCAAAACAUCAGACCAAAACGAAAAUGGCCAUCAACACUGUUCAUUUUCUUCAACGAACUAGACCAGAAACGGAUGCCCCACGAUCCGCCUCAUUAUUUAGAGGCGACCGCAUGGCAUUAUCUGGCUCUAUAAAAAGCCAGAGAAAGACCAGGCACUCCGGGGGGGGGGGGCUGGGGGAAGGAGAAACGUAAAGAAAAACAGAGAGAAAGAACGAACAUCAUUGAAAAACUAAAGGGACGCCCUUGUCUUCUUCUUCGGUGGCAGCUCCAAAAGCUCCAUUUUCAGCAGGCACUGCUGUUAUUGCUUGAGAAGACCUAAAAAUACAGAGGGAAAAACUGGAAAAGGGAACAAACCAGGGGACUAAGGAAAACCAAAAGAACCCGAGAAGGAAACAGAGGUAGAAACCCGGGGAGGACAAAGAAAAAAAAACAGCCGAACAGAGGAGAGGGAGUGAAAGUAGGAAACACAGAAUCCGCAGAGAAGAACAGAGCAUAUACGGGGAGACUAAAAGAAAAAUAGAAAAAAACAAACACAGGCAAAGGUUGCACCGAGAGAAAGCUAAAGAAAAGAAAGAACCAGAGGAAAAGUAAACGAAAGGAGGAACAGCACGCCAUCGCCUUCAUCCUGCUCCCAGGUAAGUGUCUCCAAUUUUGCAAAAUAAUUCACCAACACUGUGCCCACUAGACCUAACCUAAAAAAAAUAAAAAUAAAGAUAAAAUAAAAUAAAAACAAGUAAAAUAAAAUAAAAUAAAUAUAUGCAUGCAUACAUAAAAAAUAAAUUUGGUUUAUUUACUGAUAACAGAGUUAUGAAUAAAAAUACUUAUUUAAAUUUAUUUUAUUAUAUUUUGUUAUUAUUAUUUUCUAGCUACGUAAUAUUUACUAAUGCUAGAGUUGAAAAUAUUUAUAGUUGAAUAUUCAUUGACACUAGAGUCGGGAAUAUUACAAGCAAACCAUCAGAGCAUAAACCAAUAAUUUUUUAGGAAUUUAAAAUAAAAUCAACAAUGCAGCCUGUCAUAGACAGGAAGUUUAAGAAGUGAUAAUAUCUUUAUUUUUAUAUAAUCAGUCUUGUACCAUAGAAUCUAUGUUGAUCAGUUAGGAUUUCUAGUGAACAUAAUACUAGAUGAUGACUCUUUAAACAAGAUCAUUCCCCCUAAAAAAACAAGAUGUCAAGUGUCUAUGCUUUUCUCUUAUAAGAUUUCAUUUUUACAUGGUCGCGCGAAGUCCAAUGUGACAUAUCUUAAAGGGAAUCCAUAUCAACAUAACUACAUCAAAUUCUUGGAAAAGUGUUAAUAACUUCCAUAGAACUUGUGUAAUUUAGCUGGAGAAAUUUUACAUUUUACAUCUUUCUAAAUGCAUCCGUACGUGCUGAGGACAAGAAACAAACUUGUUUGGUUAAUUUGUACUUGUUCCCCCAAGAAAAACUCAGAAAGCCACUAUUGAGAGAGGAGUGUAGGAAGAAGACAUUGUUGAAAGAAGUUAAACCUGUAGCGGUUGCAGGCGCACCAUUGAAUCAGUACAGACAACUUCUGUACUUAUUCAUGCAUAUACAGGGUAAGGCCACACAAUUUUUCAGCUUCAUGCUUCCAAAAUAUUGAAAGUAAAUGAGAAAAGAAAGUAAAAGCAUGAACAUUUUAAGACACCUAAAUACCAUGAAGAUAGGAAAACAGAACCAGUUACUCUUACACUUGUUUCUUUCAAAACUGUAAAAGCUUCCAUGUGUGAUGCCAUAUUCUUUGACAUUUGGGUAAUUCUUGACGAGCAAUUUCCCUUCCCAUGUCUCUUACGAGUUGAUGCAUUUAUAAAUUUUUUUUCAUUUUAUUUUAACAAUUUAUGAGAUAGUCAAUCCUUAAUCUUGCAUCUAUACCGAACCCAUCAAGUGUCCUAACUGCAUAAUUCUCAUCCAUUCCAUUGAAGAAAUAAGCAAUAUCAAGGAAUAAGUUCUUCUGAUAAUCAUCAUCAGGAGAGUUCUAACUUUUUGCAAGAACCUUUUGAACUUGACAAUUUGGAAUCACUUCCAUUUCAUGUAAUGCACUUUCCCAUACUUUUCUGCUUUUACUAAAAAAUGAAGAACCAAUAGCACAAAGGGCUACUGCAAGUCCAUUACAAUGAUGUACUAUUCUCCAAGAUUCCUCCAUAAAAUCUUCAACUGGGUAAGCUUGUCCACAGGCAUGCCAACUCAAAAGAUUAAGUGAUUUUUUGUUAUCUAGAGGUUCAUCUUUGCACUUGACACACUCACCAUCAUCUACAAUCAAAGCCUUAUUUCUAGUUCUUACAAUGAUUUACUUCCUUCGCGAAGCCAAUUUCGCGUGCCAACAAUUGCAUUGAAGUGGUCCCAUUUGUCCAUCUCAUCAAGAACAAUAAGAUUUCUUCUGCAACAUAACGCAUCCUUAAUAUAAUUAAUCCCUUCAUCAACAUCAUGUAUGUCAUCAGCAUUGUUUAGGAUAUUUGAAAGAAGUUGCCUCUGUAGGCAAACUACACCAUUGGAUUCUUUUGACUAUUCUCUAACAUUUGAUGGAAAGAUCCUACCUUCAAACUUAUGAAACUGCUGGUUAUAAACACUGUUUGCUAUGGUUGUCUUCCCUACUCCACCAAUCCCAUAAAGUAUAUCAAAGGCAGAACUGUGGGAGCCAUAUUCUUCCAACCAUAAGUUGAUAUGUUUUACUAGAGGAUCUCUUCCGAUGAAAUGAAGGGAGAUAUGAAAUAUUUUAUUUGUCGUAUAAGAUCAUGGUCACAAGAAAUUGUCGUAUUUUUUAAUUGUUGGUCCGUUUAUGGUUUAAGAAAAGUCCUCUUCGAUAAAAAGAUCAUUAUUUUAUCGGGUAAAAUCUAACCACUCUAACGUCAAAAAAAGAAUUUAAUAUCCUGAAUACGUCUUACGUAUAAGAUCAUAACCCUAGAUAUUAAAAGAAAAAAUAUAUUUUUUUGAAGUUUUUUUGAAAUAUUGGCCUAGUUCUCGCGAUUUUAAUAAACUGGUUAUUAAAGUCAAAAUGCAUGCUAAUACAUAUUUUUGAAGUUUUCUUUGUUAUAUGAAAGUACAAUAUGAUUUUUUUAGAGACUUGGCCGUAUGUAUGAAAACAAAAUAUUUUUUAUGUUUUGCCGAAGACCAGGUAUUUUAAUAUCGAAUUUGUAUCUUUACAGUAUAAAAAUACAAACCGAUAUUAAUUAAAAUGCAGUACAUUUUUUUGCAGAAAAUCACAGAUUUUUUUGAAAAAAAAACAAUUUUUUUUUUUUAAAACCGGAACUAGCCCAGGUUAAGCCAGUGACCCGGCUGCUUGCUCAACGAUUCAAGUGAAUUAUAAUUCAGUUGCUCAUUGAACUUGAACAGUAAAGAGCAACAAUUACUGUUCAAGUGAAUUAUAAUUAAUUCACUUGAACAGUAAAAGAUAACAAUGAAAAAAAGAAAAUGCAUGCAGUGACAGAAACAAUGCAAUGUGAAGAGAAAUGUGUGAGGCUUACCUAGUAUCUGAAACAGAUGAAGACGAUUGCAAUGAAACUGCUGCGCAGGAUCGGAGGUGACUGAUUUUGGGGACGAUGAAGACGAUCAACGCUGGGUCUUUUUUCUUCUGGUUUUUCCCUUCCCUUUUCUUCCUGUUUUUCUCCCCUGUAUUCCCCUCUCAGCGGUUCUUGGCGUGGCUGCUGGGAUGAAGAAGAUGAUGAGCUGACAAUGGCGUUGGCAGUGCUGGUGCAGUUGUGAUGGAGAAUGGCAGUGGCUGGUUUCUGGAAGAAUUGAAGAUGAUGACAAUUUGGUUUUAUUCCCUUGCCUCUGGUUCCAAAGGUCAAGGGACAGCGACGAUGGAGGCUGGUUGCUGUUGGUUUUUUUUCUUGCUUCUGUUCUUCUGCUCCUCUGUUAUCGUCUCCCUAUGCUUCCCAGUUCUCCUUCCUGUCUCCCUCUUUUUCUUUUUAUUCUCCCUGUUCUCUCUCUCUCCCUCUCUGUCUCGUCUUUCUCCUUUCCGUUACCCCCCUCUCUCUGUUUUUCUCCUGUCCGUUGUCCUCUCUGGUCUUUUUUUUUCUGUCUUUCCUCCUCCUUUUCAUCGUCUUUCUCUGGCUUUUAGAAGCCAAAGAAUGCCCUGCGGUGCAACGUUCAGCUUGGUAACGACAUGUAGAGGAAUAGUAGCCGUGAAAUAUUCCCCAUAAUUGAAGCAAUCUGCUGUUUUUGUCGCUGAAAUGGCUCCACUGUCUACUGAAACGGCUGUGAAGAAAGGGGAUGAAAUAGUGCUCUGAAACGGCGCCGUCUUCCUAUCAAAAUGGAUAUUUCUGAUUUGGUCCUUGUCUGUUUUGACAAUUUUCUAAUCAAGCCCCCGGAUGAAUUGUAAUUGGAUCCCUUGAUUUUAAUUUAUUUUUCCGGUUUAGUCCUUGGUUUCAAAUUGUUUCAAUUAAGUUCCUAAUUGGCCAUCAAACUUCAAUAAUUAUGCAAUUAAGCAUCUGAUUUGAUCAAAUCAACUCUUUAAAAUUAUAAUUGGACCCCAUAACUUUAAUUACUUCCAAUAAAAACCUAAAUUGACUUUAAAAAAUCAAUUUUCUUACAAUUAAACCAUCUAUAAAUUCAAUUAAACCUUGGAUAAAAUUUAAUUGAGUCCAUAAACAUUUUAUUUUAGAUUUUUCUUUCUCAACUUGAAUUUUAUUUGUCAAUAGAGCUCUCAUUAGUAGAAAAUAUAACGUAAAAUUUCAAUUCUUGUAUUUCUGAACCUCCUCAACUAAUUCCUAGUCAUUUUAUAAGAGUUCCAGCGUCUUUUUCUCACUCCUGUUAUUAUUAUUUUUUAUUUUUUCCAAAUAUAUUUUUUUUGUAUUUUUUUAUUUUUUAUAUGGAAAUCUAAAAAUAGAUAACAAUAGAAGAGGUAAUAUCGUUCAUUGUCUAAAUGCUUUACUACAAACCUGAAAAAAUUAAGAGUUCACUACCAGCAUUCUAGUCUUAUGCUAUUUGUAAUUUCAUUCAGAAAUACAACUUACCCAUCUUCUAAAACCAUUCCUCCUAACUCUGCAAUUUUCUUCAAAGCAAUCCUCCACCAAUUCACUCGCUCCAUCUCCUUCUUGAAACGCUUUUCAUGAUCCAAUAAUGCUAUAGCGACUUCAGAUGGAUCCACAUCAUAGAAUACUGGCAAAACUAUGCAGUCAGCAUUCCUCUUACACUCCAUGAUCAUUACAAGUUCAUCGAAGCACCACCUCGACAAAGCAUAAUUUAACAAUUAUUUUUUUAAUUGUUGUUUGUUUUAUUUUUUAUUAUUUUUUUAUUGAUUAAUUUUUUAAUUCCAUUCCUCAUCAUUUUAUUGAUCAGGGAUUUAAUUUCCUUAUUUUUGUAGGUUUAUCUUCUAUGAAGUUGGUUACAGUCUCAUAAUUUAGACUACAAGUUUUGAAAAAUAGGUUGAGUUCAUUUUAUUUUUUUAGGUUAUUUUUAAAAACUGAUAUUUUUUUUUAAAUCAUCUUUCAACAUUGGGUUGGUUAGGGGUUGAAUUUCAUGAAUUUGUUUUUGUAUUAUUUCAAUCUCAUGUCUUGAGUCGUAAUUUAGUGGGUUAACACAUGUCCUUUUGUUUUUCCAUUGUUUUUUUUAUAUUGGAUUGUUUUUCUCAGUUUUGCCCUUCAACAUUACAUUAUCUGAGAUUUGAGCUUUGUUGUUUUAUUCUUUUUUUUUUUACAAGGUUAUCCUGGUCUCAGGAUUAGGUUAUGUAUUUGGCUAACUGACUUGAGUGGAUCAGUCAAGUCAUUUUUUUUGUUUUCUUUUUUAAUUUAAUUUUUUUUUAAUUGUGUCCUUUAACAUUUGAUUGCUUAGAAUUGAGAUUCAUAUUUUUUUUAUAAGGUUGUCACAGUCUCAUUUGAUUUUUUUGCUUCGUUAUCAAAUACUAUGAGGAUAUAUUUUUGUAAUAUUGACAAGCGUUCUUUUUUUUACUUGAUCAUUGUGAAUUUUUUUUAGUUCGAUUUGUUUAUUGUUGUUGUCUAUUUUUUUAAUUAUAUUAUUAAAUUAAUUAUAUUUAUUCAACUAAGGCAACUUAACAACCUAAGUCUUUAAUUAUUUUUAUUUAAAAAAAAACAACUUGGUUGGCCGGAAGAAUUGUCAUCUUCAAUGUCGGAUGACAGAGGCAAACUAUAUUCUUUGAUCUAAAGUUUGACAGGAAGCUCUUUCCUUCAAAUUUAUAGAAGUUCUGGUUAAAAACACUCUUAGCUAUGGCUGUCUUUCCAACUCCGCCAAUUCCAUAGAGUAAAGCAAUGUCAGCACCAUGGGAUCCAUCUUGCAACCAUGAGUUGAUAUAUUGUACCAGAGGAUCUCUUCCAAUGAAAUGAAGGGGGACAUGAAAUAUUUUUUGAUCCAAAUGCUUUGAGACAUUCUCCACAAUAGAUUGGACAAAUUGUGCCUUGUAACUACAUCAAAACGUAAAGUACAAUUUACGAUAAUUGCUAGUCUCUCUCUAAAGGAUAAAAAUAGACAUCAUUUAGCUAAGAAAUUAAAGCAGGUUGCAUGUCAAUGAUUGAUAGUUAAAUUUGUAGGUGCGUUAUCACCACCUACUAAAACCAAAUCAUGUUUGGAAAAAAAAAAAAAACAAACAAAAAAAAAAAGAAAUUAUAAGUAUUUUUUUUUCUUUUAUGUUUUCUUAUCGGUCUUCCUUUAAAUACUUAACUGAAAGAAAUUAAGAGUUCACGACCAGCACUCUAGUCUUAUGCUUUGUGUAGUUUAAUCAAGAGAUGCAACUUACCCAUCUCUUAAAUCCAUUCCAGCUAAAUCUGCAACUUCCUUCAAAGCAAUCCUCCACCCCUUCACCCGCUCUAUCUCCUCCUUGAAGCGCUUUUCUUGUUCCACAAAUGCUGCAGCGAAGCUCCCUGUUUGAUUUCUGACUUCAGAUGGAUUCACAUGGUAGAAUACCGGCAAAACUAUGGAGCCGGCAGUCCUCUUAUGUUCCAUGAUCUUUACAAGUUCAUCGAGGCACCAUCUCGACCGAGCAUAGUCUUUGGAGAACACGAUUAUCGAUAUUUUCGAUUCUUGUAUUGCCUUCUGGAGCUCCAACUCUAUAUUCUCUCCUCUCCGAAUCUCGUCAUCAUCUCUAAAUGUGUGAAACCCUGCUUGAACCAGGGCCCAGUAGAGGUGAUCGGUAAAGUUCUUGCGGGUGUCUUCACCUCUAAAACUCAAGAACACUUGAUAUUUACAAUUAGAAAACCGAGAAGAGUAGGAUUCUUGAUAUUUCUCAGCAGCCAUUUCGAGUCUAGCAAAGAUAAGACUUUACAAAGAUCUGGACAAAAAAAAAGAAAUUGCAGGAUUAAAGUCGAUAGUUCAAGAUCGACAGCACACCAAUAAGCUGAAGUGUUCAUAUAUUAUUAUCUUACUUUGUCUGUAAGACAAUUUUCAAGUUAUUUCCCAGCAAUCAACUCCUCCAUGCCCUUUCAGAAAAAUAUGUGUACAUAUGAUAAAUUUCUAUGCUGAACCACCAAAAUCGGUUGAUGAGAUCAUCAAUAAUUAGUUUCUAACAGUGAAUUAAUCUAAGUGAUUCUCAGUUACAGCAGAGUUACAUUCCACAAUAUAACAUAAUACUAAAUAGAUAAGAGAGAGAGAGUACCUGUAAUCUUCACUUUCCCUUCGCUGAUGUUCUCUUGUUAGUUCAUCAAUUUUCUGCUUUUAAGUCUCUGUGGUAUGGGCCAUUUCCGCGUUAGGACCUGUUUACUGGGGCCUGUAAUUCUUGUUACAAUUACCAAAAGGGACAUUAGACACACACAAAACACAUAAUCCCUCUCAUCAACUCACACGGUUCUUCUUCCUUCACCCACCAGUAAGAAAAAGGCACGUGCAGGAUCAAGCCUCUUCAUAUCUGACUUGGAAAGUUUAUUAGCCUGUAAUUUUGCAUCAUUUGAAUUGAUUCUAGCCUUUUCUUUCUGUUGAAAGCAAAGUAGAUAUAAGAAGAAUUACUCGGAAAAACAAAGCAAUUCCAUAGGUGAAAACAUGUCAGACUUGAUUAUAUUGGCAAAGAGUUGCUAGUGGGCACUCCGUAUAAAAUGCUGGCGAUGAUCAUGUUGGAAAUGCAGAGUGUUUAACUGAGAGUCCUGUCUUGAACUCUGAGGCUGAGAAACAUCAGUUGGUUUCUUCAAACUGGGACAACAACUACUAAAGAAGUAUGCAAAACUGGGGAAAGACAUACUGAAGAAUUUUGGAUGGUUAGAUCUCGGGAGGAAGGUUUAUCCUCGGGAGGAUGGAUUGCAUAUUCGACUUCCUAUCACUGAAGACCAAGAACACCCAUAAUUAUAGGAAGACUUCCAAAAAUAUUCAAUUUUUAUUCAUUUGUCAAAUCUAGAAUUUUUAAACUCAACCCGGUUCAAGGUCUUUGGUCACUAGGUUGCCUAGGUAAAUUUUGAUUUUUUUUUAAAAUCAAAACAUCAUUUUAGUAAGAAAAAAGUCAAUGAGUUGAAACUGGAUUUUUAACCAAGUUUUACCGGGUCAUCUCGGGUUUUGAUUUUUUCUAUUUUUUCUUAAACUCGGCUUGGUUCCAGCCCCGGGUCUCGGACCGGGUUUCAAAACUAUGAUCAAACCUAUUACAACCCUUUAUAUAGAAAUACUAAAAACAAAAACCCUUAUUAAUGUUAAAAAAAAAAAAUAGAAAAAUUAUUCUAUUCAAAUAGAAAAACUAAAAAAGCCCAGAAAUACAUAAUAGGAAAAGAAAAUAUAAAAAAAUAAAUUAACUAAAAAAAUAUUUAUUUCCAAUGAACUGGAUAGCAUGAAUUUGUUCAAUCAACUCGCCACCUAGUUUUUUAAAAACUCAAUCCAGAACAUUUCUCAACUUUCUCAAAUUGACUUGUAUAUAUUACACACACCCAACCUCUAACCCUCCCAUCUCUUCAUUUUUAUUAACUCAAACUCCUUUGUUUAUUGCUCUUGUAGGCUCAAGCUGAGCUGAACUCUGAACUAAGCUUAGUCCCGAGAAAACAGAGAAACUUCCCCCACACUUCCUCUCCUCUCAAAAACAAACCUCCCCAGUCCCCUCUCUCUCUCUCUUUCAUUAUCCAACAAUAUGGAUAGGCCACAAAGAAUAUCCACGAAAGAACCUCAAGCAAUCCUCUCUCCAUGCAGCAGUAGAAGUAGGAGACCAAGCAGUGAUUCAAACUCACCCGAAUUUGAGUUCUGGAUCCAAAACCCAUCUUUCCCUCAACCAAAUCUUGUUUCAGCUGAUGAACUCCUCCUUGUUGAUGGCGCCCUCCUCCCUCUCCACCUCCUCCACCACCCUGACCCUGACUCAACCGAACCCAAACCUCCCAACUCUCAAACUAACCCUGAACCCGAAAUUUCACCACCAAGCAUAACCAUGGAGCCAACAACAAGUUCCAAGAGUUGGGAAGGUACAAUAUUCAAGAAAGGUGACAGGAAAACUUCAACAGCUGCCAAGAAACAAGACGAGAAAAAUAAAGAAAAUGACAAAAAGAGAGACAGGAGUCAAAUGGAACGAGUUCAGCUAAGCUGAAUACCAACAUAUGGCCAUUUUCUUUUAGUUAGUUUACAGUAAAAAAGAAAUACAUAUAGAAAAAAAUAUAAAUAUAUUUAGUUGGAGAAACAAAAAUAUAAAAUAAAUCUAUUUUAGGAACAGUUUUAAAAUAAAUUUUUAUUUUUUUCAAAUAUGAGAUACGGGGAGAUAUCUCCUUCGUUCCCCCCUGUUCUCUGUUUCUUUUUUUCUCUUCGUUCCUCCCUCUUCUCUGUUUUUAUCUUCGUCCCUUCUGCCUCUCUUCCCUUCCUGUUCUGUGUUUGCUCUGUUCUUGCUCUUCGAUCCCCCUCCAUGUUCUUUUUUUUUCUUUUUUUUUAAAAAACCCUCCCUAUAGCCAGAGAAUGCCAUGCGGUUACCCAGAUAAUAAAGAGCUUAUGGGACUGUUAUUGCAGAAGUUUGAAAUUCUACAGAAGGUAACCUUGUGUAUGUGCAACAGCACAGGUCGAGCUUUUAAUACCUCCAUCACUGCCAUCGGGCCACUCCCACCGCCUCCUCCACUCAGUUCUUAAAAAAGAAGCAAAGAUGGGGUUUGUGAGGGUCUACACAAAACCACAGCUCUGCGGCGUUGGUCAUGCUCUUCAAGAUGAGGUUGCCGUCUAUUUCUCCUCAGACAUACUCAGCAAUUUCUUCAAGAUUUAAACCUGAAAUACUUUUAGCACUUGAUAUAGCUCCAACAGCCAACCAUUAAAAAGUCCAAGUGAUCAGAACUUUGUGGCUUUCGCGUCUCCUAGAACAACUGUUGCUGUCAAAAACCAGGGAAAUGAAAAACACAUUUCAAGAUCCUCAUAAUGUUGAUAAAAAGAGGGUCAAAAUGUUUGAGGUCAUGGGUGACAGUGCAGUGCUGGUAUAUGAAAACCAUGAUCAUGAUCAUUAAUCGAAAUCAUGAACAAAUUGCGUCUUUUGAUUCAGGAUAACGAGACUUUCAAACCAUGAUCUUAAAAUAACUGUUUUUUUAUGAAAAGAAAGAGUCUCAUAGGCAGUCAAAGUUAUUGGAUACUAUAGAAAAUUUUACGAUUUCCACUUUUUGUUAUUGAAUUUUAAUUCUAUCUUUUAAUUUGAUAAUUUUCAAUCAAAAUUAAUUUUUAAAUUUCUAAUUUUGAUAUUAAUUAUAUUUUAUUUUUACAAUAAAAAUAUCUAUGUUAAUUUAUUAUGAAAAUUUAAUAAAAUCCAUUCAAUUUUUAAUUAAAAUGAAAUAUAUUCAAAUUAUAAAAACCUCUCAAUUAUAUUUUAAAGACAUGCCUAUUUAUUUUUUAUUACAAGUGAACUUAUCUCGUGAGGAUAUAUAUAGAAACAAAAAAUUAAUUACCAAUUAAAUUUCAUCAUGUGUUACUUUUAUUUUUACAUAAAAAGAUGAAAUAAAAUAGAUAAAAUAACAUGAAAAAAAUGGACCUUUACAUAUAUUUUGGUCAAUAGAAAAUUGACACAUAAAAUAAGAUAUUUAAUACAUCUUAUUAUAAAUAUAAGAUUUUAUAAAUAAAAAUUAAUUAAUAAAAUAAUAUCAUAUUACAUUUUUUAAUAUGAAAGCCCUUAUAAAUAUUUAUAAAUAAAAGAUCUCAUGCUAGACAAAGAAAGGAGGAAGAUUACUAUUUUCUAGACCUUUCUUUGCAAAAUACCACCAACAGAUAUUGCGAGGACUGUAUUUACCAUGGAAAGCACAAUAAUAAUUUCUAAAAACACGAGAAGCUAUUUUUACUCUGGCUACAUCUUCCUUUGAUUGGAUAUCAUUUCCUUCCUCUUCAUGCAACCAUUGUACACCAACGGUCCUUAAUUGGAUAGCUGGACCAAGUGGACGCACUGAAAUACUCACGUCAUCACCAUUAUCAAAUGUAGGAUCAUUGCCCCCUAAUUUCAUGUGCAAUAGCGAUUGGAUUUCACGAACACCACGCUUGUAUAUCAUAGAGAUGACAAAGGCUCGACGAAGCAUGGAUAGACCACUGGUAUUGUUUCUGAUUUCAAUAUAAACAUAACUAAAGCCACGGUAUACUGACGUCACACAACUUAUGAACAGAUUAUAGCCACAUAUCUUGUGCGCAGGAGGUGAUGAGGAUAUUUUGAAUGAAAAGUUAUCUACAAACUCAUUCUGAAUUAGCCAUUUAUCCUCUUCUUCCUCCUCGUAAAACCACCUUGACUUCUCUUCUUCAUCAAAUACAGAUGCGACAACGUUGAAUACGCCAUCUGUAAAUAUUAUCUGUACCACCAAAACAAUGUCUAUAAAAUGAGCAAAAGAAAAGUAUUCAAAUGUAGAUUUCCAAAACAAUAAAAUGGGUAAGGGAGGACCUGCAAUCUUGAUGUCUGUAUUUGAGCACUAACUGUUUCCAUUGUUCUGAACAUGUGAGAGUCAAAUAUUUGGAUUAAAUCUUGCUUUAUCCGAUCUUGAAACUCGACUAAGUGAACUGGCUUUCCAAGGUAUUGCAGUGAAUAGCAAGAGGCCACAUCUAACGAAUCCAAAUGGGGUGGAAACUCUGGGAGUGCCUGAAGCAUUUUGCAAUUUCUUAAAUAUAGGGCUCUGAGGAGACCAAGAUCCUUGAUGCUUUCUGGAAGAAAACGAAUUGGAGUUCCACUUAAAUCUAGACUCUCCAAUAAGCGUGGCAGUGAAAACAAGGUAAAUCUCAACAUUUUCCUCGUUGAAAACCUAGAGGAAAAAGAAUAGCUUCAAUGGAAGGGUUGAAAUGAAUGAUGUAGUUGCAACAAUUCCAUCACUUUGAAGCAACUUGCGCCCCUGUUGAUGCUCUAACUCCAUAUUCAGGCUACCAAGAUUUGAGCAACCAUCUAAAACCAGCUCUUGAAGUGAAUUCAAUCUACUCAUUUCUUUUGGAAGCUCCAUAAGACUUGUACAAUUUCUUAUAUUUAAGAUCAACAAUCUUUGUAAAUCACCAAUAGAUUCGUGAAUUUGAACCAAACGGAUGCAGUCUUCAAGUAUUAGCUUUUCAAGGGCUGGGAGACCCGAGAAGUCUGGGGUUCUAAUGAGAUCACGAGAGUGACGGAGAUCAAGAAUUUUCAAUUUUGGAAGAAACUGUGAAAAUACAUGAAUUUAGUUAUUAUCAAUUGAAAACGAGAGAGAUAGCUAUAGAGAGACUUGAUACAUACCGGUUUGGCCUUCCAAGCAUCAACUAGACAGCUUCUGGAUAGAUCAAGAACCACCAGCUUCUCCAAGCAUAUGUGAUUUGGUAUGGAGCUCCAAGACAAACCAUGCCAACAUAACCAUAUCAAAUUCUUGGGAAAGUGCUCAAAACUUCCAUGAAAAUUAGUGUAGUUUAGUUGGAGAAAUUUUACAUCUGGCAUCUUUCUAAAAGCAUCCGUGCUGAGGAUGGGAAACAAACUUGUUUGGCCAGUUUGUAAUUUUCCUCCAUCAGAAAAAUCGGAAAGCCAUUGUUGAAAGAAGUUAAGCCUGCGGCGCUUGCGACAAACCAUUGAAUCAGUACAGACAACUUCUGCAUAAUGAUAUUCCAUUAAUGAAUGCAUAUCAAUGGUAAGGCCACGCAUUUUUUCAGCAUCCUGCAUAAUAAUAUUAAAAAGUACAUGAGAAAGGAAAGUAGAUGAAUGAAUAUGUCAAGGCACCACAAACCAUUUAAGUAGACAUUUAAAAAAAUUUAGCUACUUACAGUAGUUCCUUUCAAAACUGUAAAAGCAUCCCCAUGAUGCCAUAUUCUUUGCCAUUUGGGUGAUUCUUGACGAGCAAUUUCCCUACCCAUAUCUCUUACUAGUUGAUGCAUCCACAACCUUUGAUCACUGUUGAUUUCAACAAGACAUCUAUCGAUGAGAUUGUCAAUCCCAAAUCUUGCACCUCUAUCAAGCCCAUCCAGUAUCCUAACUGCAUCAUCCACAUCCAUUCCAUUGAAGAAACAUGUGAUGUCAAGGAAUAAGUUCUUCGGAUAAUCACCAUCAAGAAAGUCGUAACUUAUUCGAAGAACCUUUUGAACUUCAAAAUUAGGAAUCACUUCCAUUUGUUGUAAUGCGCUUUCCCAUAUCUCUCUUCCUUUUCCAGACAAUGAAGAGCCAAUAACUCCAAGAGCUAAUGGAAGUCCAUUACAAUGAUGUACUAUUCUCCAAGAGUCUUCUACAAAACCAUCAACAGGGUCAGCUUGUCCAAAGGCAUUCCAACUGAAAAGCUCAAGUGAUUUUUCAUCAUCUAGCGGUUCAACUUUGCACCGGACCCCCUCAAUAUCAUUAGCUGAAAACAGACCCUUAUUUCUGGUUGUUACAAUGAUUUUACUUCCUUUACAAAGCCAAUUUUGCAUGCCAAUGAUUUUAUUGAAUUGGUCCCUUUUGUCCACAUCAUCUAGAACAAUAAGAGUUCUUCUGCAACAUAAUGCAUCCUUAAUCUUCAGAAUUCCUUCAUCAGAAUCAUUUAUCUCAACAGUCUUGUUUAGGAUGUCGAAAAGAAGUUGCCUCUGUAGGCAAACUAUAUCCUUUGACCUAAAAUUUGAUAGAAAGCUCUUUCCUUCAAAUUUAUAAAAGUUCUGGUUAAAAACACUCUUAGCUAUGGUUGUCUUUCCAACUCCACCAAUUCCAUAGAGUAAAGCAAUGGCAGCACCAUGGGACCCAUCUUGCAACCAUGAGUUGAUAUCUUGUACUAGAGGAUCUCUUCCAAUGAAAUGAGGGGGUACAUGAAACAUUUUUUGAUCCAAAUUCUUUAAGACCUUCUCCACAAUAGAUUGGACAAACGGUGCCUCGUACCUACAUCAAAAAGUAAAAUACAAUGUACGAUAAUUAGUAGUCUCUCUAUAAGCAAUAGAAAUAAACAACAUUUAGCUAUGAAAUUAAAGCAGGUUGUGUGUCAAUGAUUUGAUAGUUUAAACCAAAUCAUGAUUGGAAAAAAAAACAAUGAAGAAAUCAUGAGUAUUUUUUUUUUUUGUUAUAUGUUUUCUUAUCAGUACACUUAACUGAAAGAAAUUAAGAGUUCACAACCAGCAUUCUAGUCUUAUGCUAUGUAUUGUUUCAUAAAGAGAUACAACUUACCCAUCUCCUAGAACCAUUCCAGCUAAAUCAGCCACUUCCUUUAAAGCAAUCCUCCACCCAUUCACCCGCUCCAUCUCCUCGUUGAAGCUCUUUUCAUGUUCCACAAAUGCUGCAGAGAAGCUCCCUGUUUGACGUCCGACUUGGGAUGGAUCCACAUCAUAGAAUACUGGCAAAACUAUGCAGUCAGCAUUCCUCUUACGUUCCAUGAUCAUUACAAGUUCAUCCAGGCACCAUCUCGACGAAGCAUAGUCUUUGGAGAACACGAUUAUCGAUAUUUUUGAUUGUUGUAUUGCCUUCUGGAGCUCGAAAUCUAUAUUCUCUCCUCUCCGAAUUUCAUUAUCAUCUCUAAAUGUGUGAAUCCCUGCUUGAACCAGGGCCGUGUAGAGGUGAUCGGUAAAGUUCUUGCGGGUGUCUUCACCUCUAAAACUCAAGAACACUUGAUAUUUACAAUUAGGAAACCGUGAAGAGUAGGAUUCUUGAUAUUUCCCAGCAGCCAUUUCGAGUCUAGCAAAGAUAAGACUUUUCAAAGAUCUGAACAAAAUAAAACAGUUUUCAAGAUUGAGAGAGAAAGGGUGGAUUGUUAAUUUAAGACAAGUCAUCCCCACAAGUCCACUCUCUCUAUGGUAUGGAACGUUUCCGCGUGAGGAAUUUUCCAUGGCUAAUUAAUGUCUAGGCUUGACCAGUUAUGCAUGGAAAAUUUUGCAUGGAAAGUUUUGGUGCCGGGAAUUGAUGGCUAUUGACAUCGUGAAGUAAGAAUCAAGUUAGAAAAAUAUAAUUAAUAGGAGAAGUUUAUGGCUAUUCACAUCAUUUCGGCCAAAAAUUCUAUCGAAAAAUUAAGGGGUAAGAAACCCAGACGAUAAGGAUUGCAUAAUGACAUAACAGAAAACCAUGUGAAUAGAUCAAAGCCACAUAUCCACUGGAUAUUUUGAAUGACAAGUACGUACUCUACAAACUCUUUCUAAAGUAGCCACUCCUGUUCUUCCUCCUCGUGAAACCACAUUAACAUCUCAUUUUCAUCAUAUUCAAGGACAAUGUUGAAUCUGUUGCCCUAAAGUUGUAUCUGUUCCAUCAAAGCAGAAUUUAUAAAAUGAGCGAAGGGAAAAUUUUCUAGAUAUACAAGAACAAAAAACGUAGAGUUUAAAUAAAGCAGAACUUAUAAAAUGAACAACGGAUUAAAUUUUGGAAGAGACUGUGAAAACACUUGAAAUCGGUUGCUGUCCAUUGAAAAUAAAAGAGACUAGAUACAUAACGGUUUGCCUUUCCAAGCAACAAUUAGACUGGUUCUGGAUUAGAUAAAGAGCCACAAGCUUCUCUAAGCAGAAGUGCUUUGGUUUGGAUCAUGUAAAAACCCAACCCUUUUAUUUUAAUUUAUUAUUAUUAUUUUCCUUGAAAAAAAAAUAAAUGAAGAAUGAAUUAAAAUUUAGAUUAACAGCAAGUACAAGUUUUGGGAUUUAAUUAAACUUUGUAUUAGUUUUAUUAACCAAAUUAAGAAUUUAAUUGAGGAAUUGAUAAGUUUGGGACUUAAUUGAACUUCAAAUUAGUUAAUUAAUGAAAUCAAGAGCUUAAUUAAAUAAAUAUCAAAGUUUAGGGUUGAUUCUAGGUAAAAUUGCAAGAAAUUAAAAUUAAAGGACCCAUUUACAAUUGGCGUUGACAUGUAGGAGUCCAAUUAAAGUUUAUCCAGGAGCUUGCUUACAAAUCUUUCAGACCAAAACGAAAAUGGCCAUCAACACUGUUCAUCUUCUUCAGCGAACCAAACCAGAAACGGACUCCCCACGAUCCCAAUUACUCCUGCAAUAACAACGGUCGGUCGCCUCAUUAUUUAGAGGCGACUGCAUGGCAUUCUCUGGCUUUAUAAAAAGCCAGAGAAAGACCAUGCACACGGGGGACUGGGGGAAGGAGAAACGUAAAGAAGAACAGGAAAAAAAAAAAAAAACAGAAGAGAGAAACAAGGGAUGACAGAGAAGAGAUUGAAGAUAAAAACAGAGAGAAAGAACGAACAUCAGUGAAAAACUAAAGGGACGCCCUUGUCUUCUUCUUUGGUGGCAGCUCCAAAAGCUCCAUUUUCAGCAGCAAAGGUUAUUGCUUGAGAAGACCAAAAAAUACAGAGGGAAGAACUGGAAAAGGGAACAAACCAGGGGACUAAGGAAAAACCAAAAGAACCCGGGAAGGAAACAGAGGUAGAUACCCGGGGAGGACAAAGAAAAAAAAAAGCAGCCGAACAGAGGAGAGGGAGUGAAAGUAGGAAACACAGAAUCCGCAGAGAAGAACAGAGCAUAUACGGGGAGACUAAAAGAAAAAUAGAGAAAAACAAACACAGGCAAAGGUUGCACCGAGAGAAAGCAAAAGAAAAGAAAGAACCAGAGGAAAAGUAAACGAAAGGAGGAACAGCACGCCAUCGCCUUCAUCCUGCUCCCAGGUAAGUGUCUCCAAUUUUGCAAAAUAAUUCACCAACACUGUGUAUUAGAGAUUUAAUUACAUGGAAACUGUAGUGUCGCACCCCAAAAAAUAACAAAAAAAAAAUUUGUUUUUUGCGACAUUCGACUGGCGACUUUCGUUUUGUUCUUUUUUUGCUGAUUUGGUUCUUUGGAGUCGCCACCUAGUAUUUUGGUCACUAGGAACCCUAACUGGUCUUUCAGAGAUUCUAAGGCAAGGGACUGGUUGCGUAAAGGGAAGGUAUUAGCACCCCUAGUACGCCCUAUCUAAGGUAAGCUGUUUGGUGUUUUGGUUUGCUCUAUAAUUGCUAUGGUGUUGGUAUUUUCUAGACUCGUCAAUUGAUUUUGGAUAGAAAUCUAAGGAGAUUCCAUGUGCUUUAAAAGCUCAUUUUUCCCUUAGUAUUUCAAGAGUUUGCGACUCAUAAAUCGUGGAAAUAAAAAAAAAUUAAAAUUUUAAAAUGUCCUCGAUUAUAAUCAAGGCUUCUUUCAAGAAUAUGUGCGGAUUUAUUACUCCCGAUAAUAUUUUGGAUAUUCAUCAUUUUAAGGAUUUCUUUAUCCAAACAUUAGCGGUGAAUAAUAAAUAAAUUUCCUCCCCAAAAAUAAGAUUUUUAUAGUUUUUGGAAUAUUGGUCAAUACCCUUUGAAGUUUUACAAACAUGUUGUAAAAUCCAGAAAUGCAAGAAAAUAAUUUGUGUUUAAGAAAUCUAUGCGAAAACACACUUUCGAAGCUUCCAAUAUAUUUUUUUUUAUAAAAAGAACAUUCAAAACAUGUUAGAGUAUUGGCCGUAUGCAGCACGCAACAAAACAUUUUUUUUUGUAAACAAUAUAUUUUUUUUUUGACGAAAUCGAGUAUUUUAAUACUGAAUUUGUAUCUCCACAGCAUAAAAAAUACAAACUAAUAUUAAGUCAUUUAAAAAAAAUGUACGGAAAAAAUCAACAAUAUUUUUAAGGAAUUUUAGAAUUUUUUUUUUAAAGCAAAAAAAAUUUAUCUUUGAAAAUUUUGGGUGUCUCGACGAAAAUCAGAUAUUUUAAAUACUGAAUUUAUACCUCCACAAUAUAAAAAAAUACAAACCCCCUUAAAAAAAAAAUAUAUAUAUAUAUAUAUAUGAAAAGAAAACAACAACAUUUUUUAGAUUUUUCAAAUUUUUUUUUUUUAAAAAAAAAUAUAUAUAUAUAUAUAUAUAUAUAUACACACACAUAAUAUAAUAUAAUAAUAUAAUAUAAUUAUAAUAUAUUAAUAUAUUAAGGGGGCUGGGCCGGCCCAAAUAAAUGGGCCAGGCUCAGCCCAAAAAAAAAAGGGCCGACCUCGGCCCAAAAUUAAAUUGGGUCGAUCUCGGCCCAAAAACUUCUACAGUCUGGGCCAGGACCGACCCAGACUUGCAAGGCUGGGCCAGCACCCUCGGCCCAGCGGAGGGAAGAAUUAAUUUUCUUCCCCCCGCUUCCUGCAUGCAGGAGGCAACGCCUGCUUCGAAAGCAAAGAGGGAAGAAGAAGAUGUACCUGGCGUGGAGGAGGCGGUCGCUGGUGGUGCUGCGGUGGCGUGGCUCGUGGACGGCGGCGCUGCGGCUGUUUCCAAGUGUUCGGUUCGCUCUCUCUCUCUCCUCCCUUCUCCCUGUUUCGGUUCUCUCUUUUUUUCUUUUGUUUUCAGUUUAGUUCCAAUAUUCCCUUCUCUCUCUCUCGUGCGUGCUCUCUCUUUUCCUCCCUUCUCGGUUUGUUGUUUUUUUUCUUUUUUGUUUCCCCGGUCCUCCCUUUUUCUUCGGUUUUCCUUCCUAUUUAUAGGGGCGAAAAGACGAUGCCUUUUGCUAGUGCGCCUUGGGAGUAAAUCACGCAACGGCUGGUCGGCCAUUGACGCGUUCGGUGGUGAUGGUGGGGGCGAGGAGAGAGAGGCGGGAAGGUUUGAAAACGGAUUUCUUCUUCUUUUGCAGGUUCGGGGGGGGAAGAAGAAGAGGAACAGUGUCGUUCAAAACGACACCGUUCCGGUCUCUUCUUUUUUUCUUUUUUUCUUUAACAUGAAACGGCGUCGUUUUGGACAAAACGCGCCGUUUCAUUAAAACAGGGCGCCAACACGCGCCAAACUUCAAAUCAGCCCUCAAUCAUCUUUAAUUCAUUUCAAUUGCAUCCCUGCCAAUUCAGUCCCCGUCCCUCUUGUUGGCCGCGUUUUUCACUUUGGUCCUUGGCCUCUGAUUUAUGCAAUUAAGCCCUCAAAUUGAUCAAUAAACUUCCAAUUUCUUCAAUUAGGCUCCUGAUCCAAAGCAAAACUGCCCCCUCUAUUUACCUGGUUUUUCCAAAUUGAUCCCUGGUUUCGGUUUUUCACAAUUAAACCCCUAAUUGGCCAUUAAACUUCAAUAUUUAUUCAAUUAAGCCCCUGAUUUGGCCUAAUAAAUUCCUAAAAAUAUAUAUAUUGGCCCCAGAACUUAAAUUUCUUCUAAUUAAAGCCCAAAUUGACUUAAAAAUCAAUUUUUCUUGCAAUCAAAUCCCCUAUAAAAUCAAUUAAAAAUCCAAUUAAGUCCAUAAACAUCCAAACUUGGGCUUUUCUCCUCAAAAUUCAAAUUUCCUUCUCAACAGGGCUCUCAUCCUUCAAGAAUAUACUGUCAAAAAUUCAAUCCUUGUAUUUUUAAAUUCCUUGACCAAUUUUCUGACUGUUUUCUGAGCGCUUCUGCCUCCUGUUAUUUUUUCUAACCUCUUUUGGCUAUUUAUAUUAUUUUUCAUGGGGACCAAUUCACACAUGUUUGUGGGUAAAAACCUAACCCAAAAAAAUAAAAAUAAAAAUAAAAAUAAACAACUAAAAUAAAAUAAAAUAAAUGUAUGCAUGCAUGCAUACAUAAAAAAUAAAUUUGGUUUAUUGGUUUAUUUACUGAUAUUAGAAUCAUAAAUAAAAAUACUUAUUUAAAUUUAUUUUAUUAUAUUUUGUUAUUAUUAUUUUCUAGCUACGUAAUAUUUACUAACGCCAGAGUUGAAAAUAUUUAUAGAUGAAUAUUCACUGAUGCUAUUGUCGGGAAUAUUACAAGCAAACCAUCAGAGCAUAAACCAAUAAAUUUUUAGGAAUUUAAGAUAAAAUCAACAAUGCAACCUGUCAUAGACAGAAAGUUUAAGAGCUGAUAAUAUCUUCUCUUUUAUAUAACCAGUUUUGUACCAUAAAAUCUCUGUUGACUAGUUAGGGUUCUUAGUGACCAUAAUACUAUAUGACAACUCUUUAAACAAGAUCAUUACCCAUAAAAAAACAAGAUGUUAAAUGUCUGUUUUUUUUUCUUAUAAAAUUUCAUUUUUACAUGGUCGCGCGAAGUCCAAUGUGACAUAUCUUAAAGGGAAUCCAUGCCAACAUAACUACAUCAAAUUCUUGAAAAGUGUUCAUAACUUCCAUAGAACUUGUGUAAUUUAGCUGGAGAAAUUUUACAUUUUACAUCUUUCUAAAUGCAUCCGUGCUGAGGACAAGAAACAAACUUGUUUGGUUAAUUUGUACUUGUUCCCCCAAGAAAAACUCAGAAAGCCACUAUUGAGAGAGGAGUGUAGGAAGAAGACACUGUUGAAAGAAGUUAAGCCUGCAGCGGUUGCAGGCGCACCAUUGAAUCAGUACAGACAACUUCUGUACUUAUUCAUGCAUAUACAAGGUACGUAAGGCCACACAAUUUUUCAGCAUCAUGCUUCCAAAAUAUUGAAAGUAAAUGAGAAAAGAAAGUAAAAGCAUGAACAUUUUAAGACACCUAAUACCAUGAAGAUAGGAAAACAGAACCAGUUACUCUUACACUUGUUUCUUUCAAAACUGUAAAAGCUUCCAUGUGUGAUGCCAUAUUCUUUGACAUUUGGGUGAUUCUUGACGAGCAAUUUCUCUUCCCAUGUCUCUUACAAGUUGAUGCAUUUAUAAAUUUUUUUCAUUUUAUUUUAACAAUUUCUACAAGACAUCAAUCGAUGAGAUAAUCAAUCCUAAAUCUUGCAUCUAUACCGAACCCAUCAAGUGUCCUAACUGCAUAAUUCUCAUCCAUUCCAUUGAAGAAAUAAGCAAUAUCAAGGAAUAAGUUCUUCUGAUAAUCAUCAUCAGGAGAGUUCUAACUUUUUGCAAGAACCUUUUGAACUUGACAAUUUGGAAUCACUUCCAUUUCAUGUAAUGCGCUUUCCCAUACUUUUCUGGUUUUACUAAAAAAUGAAGAACCAAUAGCACAAAGGGCUACUGGAAGUCCAUUACAAUGAUGUACUAUUCUCCAAGAUUCCUCUAUAAAAUCUUCAACUGGGUAAGCUUGUCCACAGGCAUGCCAACUCAAAAGAUUAAGUGAUUUUUUGUUAUCUAGAGGUUCAUCUUUGCACUUGACACACUCACCAUCAGCUACAAUCAAAGCCUUAUUUCUAGUUCUUACAAUGAUUUACUUCCUUGGCGAAGCCAAUUUCUAGUUCUUACAAUUUCUAGUUCUUUCAAAACUAUAAAAGCUUUCAUGUGAUGCCAUAUUCUUUGACAUUCGGGUGAUUCUUGACGAGCAAUUUCCCUUCCCAUAUCUCUUACGAGUUGAUGCAUUUAUAACUUUUUAUCAUUUUUUAUUUUAACAAUUUCUACAAGACAUCAGUCGAUGAGAUAGUCAAUCCUAAAUUCUAGUUCUUACAAUUUGCACUUGACACACUCACCAUCAGCUACAAUCAAAGCCUUAUUUCUAGUUCUUGCAAUGAUUUACUUCCUUGGCGAAGCCAAUUUCGCGUGCCAACAAUUGCAUUGAAGUGGUCCCAUUUGUCCACAUCAUCAAGAACAAUAAGAUUUCUUCUGCAACAUAACGCAUCCUUAAUAUAAUCCCUCCAUCAACAUCAUGUAUGUCAUCAGCAUUGUUUAGGAUAUCUGAAAGAAGUUGCCUCUGUAGGCAAACUACACCAUUGGAUUCUUUUGACUAUUCUCUAACAUUUGAUGGAAAGAUCCUACCUUCAAACUUAUGAAACUGCUGGUUAUAAACACUAUUUGCUAUGGUUGUCUUCCCUACUCCACCAAUCCCAUAGAGUAUAUCAAAGGCAGAACUGUGGGAGCCACAUUCUUCCAACCAUAAGUUGAUAUGUUUUACUAGAGGAUCUCUUCCAAUGAAAUAAAGAGGGAUAUGAAAUAUUUUACGAUCCAAUUUCUUUGAGACCUUGUCGACAAUAGAUUGGAAAAGCUGUGCCUCAUGCCUGCAUCAAAAAGAAAAAUGCAAUAUAUGAUAAUUAGUAAGUCUCUCUGUAAAGUUUCAAAAUCUUAGUAUCUUUGAAAAAAGAAAUUAAACCAGCAUUCUUUUUUUUAGUUGAUCAUUUUGAAUUUUUUUUUUGUUCGAUUUGUUUAUUGUUGUUGUCUAUUUUUUUUAAUUAUAUUAUUAAAUUAAUUAUAUUUAUUGAACUAAGGCAACUUAACAACCUAAGUCUUUAAUUAUUUUUAUUUAAAAAAAAAACCACUAUCAUCACCUCAACAUCUUUUUUACAUUGAAAAAAACUUUGCCCUGUAAUACAGUUCAGGUAAAUAAUCUAGUUACAGCUAAUCACGUGGCCACAAAGCCCCACUGGGAUUCAUAUUCCAUAAGAUGGCUCCAAUAUUCAUUCGAUGGUGUGUAUGGUAGGCUAGACAUGUGAAGCCCAUUAAUUGAUUCUGUCCAUAUUAUUUAUGUUAACCCGACCCGGUUGUGCUUUUUGAAGGUCCACCAGGCUUGUUCCCCUGUUCAGAUCUUAGCAAAAAAAUAUUGAGUGAUCGAUCUACAUGAGCAAUUUUGUUUGUUGCGUUAGCCAUGUUUCUUAUUUGUCAUGCAUGCUGUAAGGGGCAUUGGAAACCCUUUUAUACACAUGAAUUACUCGCUUCAGGAUGAGGAAAGUUUUAUAGCUUGUGGAUUUGAUUGAUUCCCAAUGGAGAAAGAAAAUCACUCAGAUUUUGUUGCAACUGGUCAAUACGGAAAAGACAUGCCUGUUGCAUAUGGAGAAAGUGAACGGUUGUUGGGAAAAGUUUUCUCACUUGCAGGAGAUAACUUGGAGGCCAUCGUGCAAGAGAUAAACCCACUUCCUUUCAGUAUACUCAAACCUUGGAUUCUAAUUCAAAUAGAAUCUUUCCACAAUUCAAUCUCAAGAAGGCCAUCGUUACGCACUCAUCAUGGUGCUUUGGAGACCAGAGGCAAUUUUCACUUCUUCACCUUCUCCAUAUGCUCUACAAAACUUCCUUUCCGGGAUCCUUGCUCCUUGGUUGCAGAGGAGAAAGCAUCUAGCAGUGAUAAUGAGAACUCUCCUGCAACAAAGGGUACUGGAGAGUUUCAAAAGAGGAUUUGUGAUAAAGGCACCAUGAAGGAGAAACGUGGAAAGCCAGUGGUUGCUUCAGAUAGACCUGGAAAAGGGGACAAGCUACACAAGCACAAUAUCCACCAUAGCGACGGUGCCAAAUAUAUGUCAUACUUGAAGAUAAGCAAGAAGCAGCACCAACUUGUUAAGAGCCUGAAGCAAUCCCAGUAAAAAAAAAUUCAAUCUAAACCUCUUAACUGUGCGUUAGGUGACCUUGAUAAUUUGCAUGUACAACCAUAUAAAGAAUUUGUGAAAGAGGAACAUAAGAAGUUGCAGGAGCAUUGGAUACAAUUGGCAAACGAAGAUCGUUCUGCAGCAUAUGCAGGCUGUGUUUCGGGAUCAGAUUGAUUAAGGUGCAAACAAACAUGGAGGAUGUGCUGGAAUAAUAAUGGAGCAAGAAACAAAGAAAUCGACAUUUCUGACUCUAUGGCAAUUCUGGUUUUAAUUAUCUCCCCACAGGAUCAGUCUCUGCAGUUUAUUUCUGUUGUUCAAAUGGUAUUUAGAAAACUUAGCUUAAUCAAAGAACAAAGGGCAUAACAAGAACAUCUAGGUUACUGUCAUCCCUCAAAUUUAUUUAUAUGCAAAAUAAAAAAUUACAAGAUCUUUAUCAUAAAAAAAAGAAUCAUAACAACCAUAAUUCCUUUCAUCUAAGGGAUUACAUAACUACAUAGACUUAUUCUAAAUCAAAAAAAAAAUAUCUAGAUAAACUCAAGUCUAAAAAUCAGAACAUAAAAAAAUACCAUAACAUAUAGAUAAAUAUGGCUGAAAACUAGCUGAUAACAAUUUCCUCCCUUUCUGUUGGCUACGAUCCUAAUCCUAUGUAUAUGAAUAUGGAAAAUAAUCAUGUCCAUUUAAACUCUGAUUCAGAUGAAGCUUCUCCACAUGUAUUUGAGUACUUCUGCAGCAUGCAUGUUGCUGAUGCUCCCAUUGAUCAGGGAGUCCCUAUCUCUUCUUCUAGUGGACAUGUUUGGUCAGCAGUUAGCAUACCCAGUUCAUAUUAACAUCUACUGGUGGAUUGUCACAGACACAUCAAGUUAAUGAACAGCAACGUUCCUAUUCGAUUGAUUUGGAAUUGAAAGUGCAUGAAGAAGACACCGGGAAAGAUUUGAUGCACGGAGAAUCUGAUGAUGGCCUUCUUAACUACUUCGAUGAGGCAAAAUAUGAUUUGGUUUGUGAGGGUGGUGUUAUUUUUACACUUGGCCAAGGACACUGACUCACAAAUCAAAUUGGCCUGCUUCAUACAAAAAAUUGAUGCAAAUUCAUAGCUGUACACUGAGUGCCAAAUUAUUUUAGGUUUUAAAAAGCUUUCAAUAUAACACCAAAUCUAAAACAAAUUCAACUCAGCCCAUCAUUAUUUUCACAUUUAAUUUCUUUUCAAAAAAACACAUAAUAAUUUCGUUAUCAAAAUCAUAACGGUCACUGCAAUAAUAAUUUCUAAAAAUAUGAGAAGCUAUUUCUGCUUUAGCUGCUACAUGUACAUCAUCACUAGUGUUUGAUGAGCUGCUAUCAUCAGUUCCUUCCUCUUCAUGCAACAUUCGUACACCAACCCUCUUUAUUUGAACAACCGGAUCAUCUGUAAACACUGAAACACUGAAUUCAUCACCGGUAUCAAACACAGGAUCAUUGGACCCAAAUUUCCAAUAGCUUAGCCAUAACAAUUCAGAUUUUUGAGCUGAAAAUUCUAUCGUAAAAAUUGAGGGGUAAAAAACCCAGAAUCUACCCUUGGUAUUGUUCCUGAUUUCAAGAUAAACAUGAAGAUACGGAUUGGAUACUGGCGUAGCAGAAAACCAUGUGAAUAGAUUAAAGCCACAUAUCCGGUGUGUAGCAGGUGAGGAUAUUUUGAAUGACAAAUGCGAUUCAAACUCUUUCUCAAUUAGCCCUUCCUCCUCAUAAAACCCCAACAUCUAAUUUUCAUUAUAUUCAAGGACAACAUUGAAUCUGUUGCCCUGAAGUUCUAUCUGUUCCAUCAAAGCAUAAAUUAUAAAAUGAGCAAAGGGAAAAUUUUCUAAAUAUCCAAGAAGUACAAAAAUGUAGAGUUGAAAUACAGUAAAAUGGGCGAGGGAGGAACUGAAAUCUCCAUGUCUGCAUUUGAACGCUGACCAUUUCAAUUAUUCUCAACAAGUGUGGGUCAACCUUUUGGGUUAAUUCUAGCUUAAUCAAAUCUUGCUUCUGAACUAAUUGAUCACAAUCACGAGCUAUGGUAAAAGGGAUCAGAUUUGCAAUUCUUUGCAGCGAAUAACAAUAGGACAUGUCUAACGCAACCAAACUGGAUGGAAGCUCUAGGAGUGUUUGAAGCAUUUUGCAUUCCGCUAAUGAAAGGUAAUUGAGUGUACCAAUGUCCUUAAUGCUUGGUGGCUUGGUGGAAGAAAACAAAUUGGAGUUCUACUUAAAUUUAGUGUUGUCAAGGAGUGUGGCAAUGUGAACGAGGUAAAUCUGGAAUUUUUCAUUUCUAAAAACCUGGAGGAAAAGAAUAGCUUCAAUGGAAGAGAUGUAAUUUAAGAUGUGCUUGCAACAAUUCUAUCACUUUGAUGCAUCCUGCGUCCCUGAUGAUGCUCUAAAUCUAUAUUCAAGCUCUCAAGUUUUGAGCAACCACACAAAAUUAACAAGCUCUUCAAGUGAAUUCAAUCUCCUCAUUUCUUCUGGAAGUUCCACAAGACUUUUUCAAUUCUUCAUAUUUAAGAUCACGAGACAAUGUAAAUCACGAAUAGAUUCAUGAAUCUGGACUACAUGGAUGCAGUUUUCAAGUAUUAUCUUUUCCAGGCCUGGGGAUCCAGAGAAGUCUAGGGUUCUGAUAAGGUCAUGCAAGCUAUGCAGAUGAAGAAUUUUCAAAUUUGGAAGAGACUGUGAAAACAAUUACAUGUAGUGGUUAUCAAUUGAAAAUAGGAGGUGUAGCUAUAUAGAAAGAGACUAGAUACAUACCAGUUUGCCUUUCCAAGCACCAAUUAGACUACUUUUGGAUAGAUCAAGAACCACAAGCUUCUCCAAGCAAAAGUGUUGUGGUAUGGAUCUCAAAGAGAAUCCAUGCCAACAUAACCAUAUUAAAUUCUUAGGGAAGUGUUCAUAACUUCCAUAGAACUUCAUGUAAUUUAGUUGGAAAAAUUUUACAUUUUGCAUCUUUCUAAAAGCAUCCGUGCUGAAGAUGGAAGACAAACUUGUUUAGCCAAUUUGUACUUGUUCCCCCAAGAAAACUUAGAAAGCCAUUCCUGAGAGAGUUUUUGUACGAAGACGACAUUGUUGAAAGAAGUUAAGCCUGCAGCUAGCCAUUGAAUCAGUACAGACAACUUCUGUACUAUUAUCUUUUAUGAAUGCGUGCAUAUCUAGGAUAAGGCCACGUAAUUUUUCAGCAUCAUGAUUCCAAAAUAUUAAAAGUAUAUGAGAAAAGAAAGUAAAAGCAUGAACUUUUUAGGAUGCCUUAAUACAAUGUAGAUAUGAAAACAAAACUAGAUACUUACACUUGUUUCUUUCAAUACUGUAAAGGCUUCCAUGUGAUGCCAUAUUCUUUGACAUUUGGGUGAUUCUUGACGAGCAAUUUCCCUUCCCAUAUCUCUUAUGAGUUGAUGCAUCCAUAACUUUUUAUCAUUUUUUAUUUUCACAAUUUCUACUAGACAUCUAUUAAUGAGAUUGUCAAUUCUAAAUCUUGCACCUAUACCGAGUCCAUCUAGUAUCCUAUUUGCAUAAUUGUAAUCCAUUCCAUUGAAGAAACAAGCAAUAUCAAGGAAUAAAUUCUUCUGAUAAUCAUCAUCAAGAGAGUUGAUCCAUCUAGUAUCGUAACUUGUUGCAAGAACCUUUUGAACUCGAAAAUUCAGAAUCACCUCCAUUUCAUGCAAUGCACUUUCCCAUACUUCUCUACUUUUUUCUGGACAAUGAGGAACCAAUAACAUGUAGGGCCAAUGGAAGUCCAUUACAAUGACGUACUAUUCUCCAAGAGUCUUCUAAAAAAUCUUCAACCGGGCGAGCUUGUCCAAAGGCAUGCCAGCUGAAAAGCUCAAGUGAUUUUUUGUUAUCUAGAGGUUCAGCUUUGCACUUGACACACUCACCAUCAGCUACAAUCGAAGCCAUAUUUCUAGUUGUUACAAUGAUUUUACUUCCUUGGAAAAGCCAAUUUUGCAUGCCAACAAUUGCAUUGAACUGGUACCAUUUGUCCAUGUCAUCGAGAACAAUAAGAGUUCUUCUGCAACACAAUGCACCCUUAAUCUUUUAUAAUCCCUUCAUCGACAUCAUGCGUCUCAUCAGCAGUCUUGUUAGGAUAUCAGAAAGAAGUUGCCUUUGUAGACAAACUACACCAUUGGAUUCUUUUGACCUUUCUCUAACAUUUGAUAGAAAGCUCCUGCCUUUAAAUUUAUGAAAGUUGUGGUUAUAAACAGUCUUUGCUAUGGCUGUCUUCCCAACUCCACCAAUCCCAUAGAGUAUAGCAAUAGCUGCACCAUGGGGGCCAUCUUGCAAACAUGAGUUGAUAUAUUUUACCAGAUGAUCUCUUCCAAUGAAAUGAAGGGGGGCAUGAAAUAUUUAACGAUGCAGUUUCUUUAAUAUUUUACCAGAUGAUUGGACAAGCUGUGCCUCAUACCUGCAUCAGAAAGAAAAAUGCAAUGUAUGAUUUAGUAGUCUCUCCGUAAAGUUUAAAAAUCUUAGUAUCCUAGAAAAAAGAAAUUAAACAAGGCUGUGCAUCAAUGAUUGAUUGCUAUUUUUGUAGCCAUGUUAUCACCGCAUAUUAAAACCAAAACAUGGAAUAAUGUAGUAAUCUUUGCCUUUUCAGGUAGUCAAGGAAAAAAAAAUGAGAAAAAAGUAUCUUUUAUUUUUAUUUUCCUAGUAUGUUCUCUGAGUUGGGAGUAUUAUAGACUUAUAGUUUCACUAAAUUGUAGUGGUAUUAUCAGUUAUCGUCUCAAUGCUUAACUACAAACCUGAAAAAAUUAAGAGUUCAGAACCAGCAUUCUAUUAUUAUGUUGUGUAGUUUCAUCAAGAAAUACAACUUACCCAUCUCCUAAAACCAUUCCUCCUAAAUCUGCAACUUCCUACAAAGCAAUCCUCCACCCAUUCACUUGCUCCAUCUCCUUCUUGAAACGCUUGUCAUGAUCCACAAAUGCUGCAGCAAAGCUCCCUGUUUGAUUUCUGACUUCAGACGGAUCCACGUCAUAGAAGACCGGCAAAAUUAUGCAGUCAGUAUUGCUCUUACAUUCCAUGAUCAUUACAAGUUCAUCCAGGCACCACCGCGACGAACCAUAUGCUUUGGAGAACACGAUUAUCGAUAUUUUUUAUUGUUGUAUUGCCUGUUGGAGCUCUGACUUGAUAUUUUCUCCUCUCCCAAUUUCAUCAUCGUCUCUAAAUGUGUGAAUCCCUGCUUGAACCAGGGCUGUGUAGAGGUGAUCGGUAAAGUUCUUGCGGGUGUCUUCACCUCUAAAACUCAAGAACACUUGAUAUUUACAACUAGAGAACACUUGACAUUUAGAAGCACAGAUGGAGCAAGAAAGGAAAGUCAUUAAGGAUCCCCAUCUGGCUAUGUAAGCCUUAAUUAUUUAGAAAGCACACAUCUUGUAAUCCUUACAAAGCCCACAGAGGUGAAUUUGUUAGUUUAUAAUUUUUUGAGUGGCAUGAUAAGAUGAGAUGAUGAACAUGUAGUCACUAACAGUGGUUUAAUCUAAGCGAUUAUCAACAAAGAAAACAAGACAUCAGCUGGAACCAAAGUAC
rnacentral:lncRNA from 1 species